rnacentral:lncRNA from 1 species
UUGUUCCUUUUAUUUCGAAAACCCAUUAAUCAUCAACACAUACACGCCCAAUUUUAAAAAAAAAAAAUAAUAAUAAUAAAAUAUUUAAGUCGUCCUCUGUUCAAUAAUCAAAAACCCAUUUAAAAUCUAUUUUAACUUUAGGUAUAUGGGUUAACAAGUCCCAAUAUUGUCCUCCAUCUUUUCUGCACUUCUCUGCUAUCAACGGACAUCCCCCGAUGUAUAAUUGCAAAAGUGAGGAAGGCAGGCCCUUCUCCGGAAAGUAUUUGAGCUUGGGACAAUCCUCGAGUUCCAAGUGAGUGAGGUUUUGAAGAUCAACAAUUGAAGAAGAUAGGCGUUCCAGAUUUGGAAAAUUACCAAUCAUCAGGGAUGCUAGACAGGCAGGAAGAGGAAGCGUGGUCCUCAAUCUUAUGUCCUCCGGUGGGAAUGACACCAUGUCGUCAUCGCAUCCGCUGAUUGUAAGUUGUCGCAGAGAGGAGAAUCUGUGGAAUCCCCGACCCCACUCAAUCGUUGACUUCCAAAUCUUCUUAUUAUCAAUAAUCUCCAGCCUAUGAAGGUUGGUGGGAAGGCCAUCAUCUUCUUCAAGGCUUGGAAGCUCACCUCCUUCUCCUAUUGUUAAUUGUUGAAGAGAGGUCAGAUUGUGCAAUCCCUUGGGUAAGACCUGUAGUCUCUUACAAUAAGAUAUCUCUAGCCUCGUGAGUUUCGCACAAGGCAAUCCCCCUUGGGGAAAGGACACCAGAUUUUCACAUUCCCAUAUCCCUAUCUCUUGAAGCUGGCGGAGAUUAUGUAAACCACUCGGUAAAAUUUUCAGAUUUUCACACUCAGAAAUACUGAUUGUUUCAAGAGAUGUGUUGUUGUCCAACCUUUCUGCUAUUGACUCCAGCUCUGAACAACUCCAAACAUCAAGGGACUUAAGAGACGGAGGUAGAUUGCCAACUUCAAGGGACUCAAGCGUGGCAGGUAACUCGUUUUUUGAAAAUAUACACGUCAGUGACGGACACCUGCUAAUAUGCAAGCCCUCGAGAAGAGAUGAGGUGUACCUUCUGCUGCUGCUGCUGCUCUGGAUGCCCUCUUCCACCGUCAAAGUCCUUAUAUUAUCGCAAUGGCGGAUCUCCAACCACUUAAGGCUCGGUGGUAGUUGGACUCCAGCAAUAUAUGUCAACGAAUUGCAAAUCCAAAUCUCCAAGAUCUCGAGAGAUGAAUUGGUGUCGCACAUCCAUGCCUCUGGUAACGAUUUCAGUGCAUCACAUUCUCUAAUCUCAAUUUUCUUCAACUUGGAAGGCAGAGCAACCUCAGGAAAGGAAACAAGGGAACUGCAGCCGUAGAUUUCUAUCUCUCUCAAGGAGCUGAGGCUGAGAGGUGAUUGUGGCAGCUUCACAAGGUCUUGGCAAUCUCUCAAAUCUAUAUAUUCGAGUAUGCACGACAACUGGCAGAGCUGCUGUUGUUGGUCUUUCUCUUCCUCCGCCACCAAGGAUUGAAGUUUGGGACAACUUGUAAUCGUCAGUCUUUUGAGAGAGCAAAUGUCUUGCAGCAAUUCGUUAUGACUCUUCCAUAUAUAUGUCUGCUCUUUCAUAUCAUUUAUCUCCAAUUCUUCCAAUUUUGGUAUUCGCGGCUUCAAUGGCCCUGCGAGAAACACUUGAUUUGAUGUAUCUCUACAAACUACUGAAUUCUGCGAUCCGAGAUGACCAGUUGCACUUUCCCACACAAUCUUUUUGCAUCCACCAAUUAUGAAUUUGCAAAGAGAUGGAAGACUCGAAACUGAAACUAACAAUUCUUCACAUCCUUCAAUAACAAGCAUCUCCAAUGCAGGAAGGUGCUCUGGAAAUGUUCCUUUCAGUUUAGAACAUCUUAAAAUGUGAAGCUCUCUCAAUUUAGGAAACCGUUCAACUCCCUGACUGAAUCCAUGAGGAAUCCAGUCUUCCCAUCCUUGCAUGUCUUCAAAAUGAAGCGUCUCCAAGCAUGGAAAAGGAAUUGGAGUAUCAUUCCCAUAGAACUCUGAACCCAACCUCUUUACACUAGUCAUUCCACAUACUGCAAGAUGCUUUAGAGAGGGUAGUUGGCCGACUGACGGCAGGGUAGGACACAUGCCACAAUAUUCAAAUUUUAAGGUCACCAACUUUAAGAAUGAGGAAUCUCCGAACCAAGUUGGAAAUUUUGCGCCUCCAUAGCCGCUGAUACAAAAUUGUUCCAGAUUUUUAUGGGGUUCUAGCAUGUCAAGCACGUCCUUUUCAGUUUCCGCCUCCCUUGAAGACGAGCCAUCGGUACUGUUUGUCCACCGAAGCAUUAACACUUUAAGGUUCUUCUUUCCAUCCAAUUGAGCCUCCUUUGCAUCACCAACGUCUUUUACGUUCUCCAAUUUUGAAAUGCAAAGUGUCCCACGAAGGUGCGUCAACAACUUUAGCUCUCGUAACCCGGAACCACUGUCUUUUCCUACAACAAAAUUACACAACGUCUGAAGACAAGUCAACUUGCCAAUUCCUAGUGGCAUUUCCUCCAACGACUUCGUAUUUGAAUUCUUAAGAUGAUGCAAUUUGGCGAGGUUUCCCAUGUCUGCACACAACUUCUUCAGCCGAUCACAAUCUUCCAACAAAAGACUAUGCAAAUUGUAAAGCUUGUUGACUGAUUCAGGCAGAGUUCUAAUCUCAGUUCCAGACAGGUUAAGGUACCUUAAAUACCUCAAAGCACCAAUUGAAUCCGGCAGCUCAGGGAUGCGGUAUCCACGCAAAGAGAAGACCCUCAAGCGUUGGAGUUUGAGCAACUUAGGAAGAAUGCUAGGAGCCAAGUAUCCAGACAGUGAGCUAUUUGACAGCAUUACGGGUAAAAAUGUUCGCAAAUGUUGGAUAUCGUACAAGUCCUCAAACCUUUUAACACCAUCGUAAUCUCCACGAAUAUACGACAGAUGACGAAGAUUUCUUGAAAAACUUUGUUGCUUGUCAACCUCUGAGAUAUACUCCAUUCUGAAGUACAUUUCCCCAGCAGCCCAUUGAGCAAGGUCAUUGACGAGGUCGUGCAUCACAAAUCGUGAUAUACUGUUGCUUGAUUGCUGGAAAAAAGAUCUUGCACGUAGUUCUCGAAAGAACUUUCGACCUAGAUCUUCACUAGGAUUCCCGCUCUCUCCGUGAUCCAAGAGACCCACAGCACACCAUAAUAAAAUUAUCUCCUCCUCUUCAAAUUCAUAAUCCUUUGGAAACAAUGAGCAGUAUGCAAAGCAUUGUUUCAAAGGUGCCGAAAGAUAAUAGUAGCUCACUCUAAGCGCAGGUAUAAUGUCACAUCUCUCUUCUGGUAAAUCCCAUAUCUUGCAACUGAGCACAUCUUCCCAAUCACUUCGGUCACGUUUACCACGUAAGAGUCCACCAAGAGUUUUCGCAGCUAAGGGCAAGCCGUUGCAUUUGAUCACUAUAUUCUUGCCAAUGUCCUCCAAUGACUUAUGUGAACUGAAAUCUGUUGUCCCCAAAGAGUGCUGAGCGAACACAGACAGACAGUCCUCAGUUGACAAGCUUUUGAGUUCAUAAGCUUGAUCCAGGCUCAUGAUUUUGGCAACCUCUUCAUUGCGAGUGGUGACAACAAUCUUACUUCCCUGUGCGCCAGCUUGAAAUGAAAGGCUGAGGUGAACCCAAUCAGUGUAAUUCUCAUUCCAAACGUCAUCUAAAACAAGCAAAAAUUUCUUUCCAAAUAGUUGUUUCUUUAGCUCCUCUUGAAGCUUAUUCAAGUCGUGAUUAUCCACAUUCUGGCCAGGAGCAAUGGAAAUUAGGAUUGAUUUUGUAAGCCUGCUAACAUCAAAAUCAUCGGAGACGCAAGUCCAUGCCUUGAGAUUAAAAUGAUCCUCCACCUGCUUAUCAUUGUAGACAAGCUGAGCAAGAGUGGUUUUACCCAGCCCGCCCAUACCUAUAAUAGGAAUAACAGAGAAUCCACCAUCCUUUCUUGAAUCAUCCUUCAACAACAAUUCAACAAUUUCCUUCUUUUCUGUUUCCCUGCCAUAUACUUUGGCUUCCUCCACCAAAGAGGUUGUCUCUUGCCUUUGCCUGGCUUUUUUGGAUCCCCCAGCUGAACUUUUUAUCAAAUUCAGCGAGCCUAUUCUUUCUUCAAUAUCUUGAAAUCUAUCGUUGAUUUCUUUGAUUUUGGACAUCAUGGCGUAAUCGAACUGAAUCGAUUGUGGAGUAAAAGUGGUGCAGCAAGUAGGAAUGAGCUUCCGAAACUUACUUUUCGUGCUUGUACGACUGCUGCUGGGUUGAUCAUGAGCAGCAGCUGGUUCUCCAUUUCCAAGCAGCAACUUCCUCCGGAAAGCCUCAGUUUGGAACUCAUCCAACAAGUCUUCAACGUCAUAAGCCAAGUUCUGAAGCUCGCCAAGCCACAACUUCACAGAAUCAUCAGUCGUCUUCUUCUGCUCAGCAUCAUCAAGCACCGCCUUGAUCGUCACCAACUUCUUCUUCCACUUCACUAGAUCGUCUUUGAUUCGACCUUGGCGUUCAAAUAAACGAAGCCCCUCCGAAGAUAACUUAUUGACCAGCAUCUCAACGGACGCCUUCAGGAUUGCCUCUCCGAUGAUCGACAUAUAUUUUUUUUUUUUUGGGACAAAGAAUGAAACCAGAUUAUGAGCUUGUGGAAAGCAGAAUGAGAAAAGUGAAUAAGCAGCGUGAGUUUGUGAUUGUGUCUAGCAAGCCUAGAAAUCAAGAAAAACCCACCGUAAAAGUGAAAAGUAAAACGGAGCCAACCACAAAUAUAAAAUCAGAGGAUCACAGAAAUUAAAAAAAAAAAUCAAACACGUAAUGAUUUGUAAAGUUAUUAGCGAUUUGUAAAAAUCAAACAUGCGUCUUCUUCCUCUGAGUGUUUUUUUUUUUUUUUAACUUUAUUAAUUAAUUAGUGAAGUAAAUUUGUAAAGAUCACGGGCAUCAAAUUAUUGGGAGGUAUUAAUUGCGCUUAGUAUUUACAAUUUUUUGUAAAACUUUUUAAUUUCGUUGAAAAUGUAUCGUUAUUAAGUUAUUAUUGAUUUCACUCUCUUUUACUUUUUGACGUUGCGAAAAAGACAGUAAAAAACUUGCUAAAUGUCAUCAAAUACUUGUAUCUCAUCUCACAAAUUAGCAAUAUUUGUUUGGUAUUUCAUCUCAACGGGACGAAGGAACGAUAGAAAACGCGUUCCCUCAUCAAAAUUUUCUUUCGUGAGACCGAUAAUAAAUAAUAAAAUAUUCUUUUAUGGGAUCGAUUAUAAAUAGUAAAUUAAAGAAGGGUCGACAGAAAACGCGUUCCCUCAUCUAAUUUUUCUUUUGUGGGACCGAUAACAAAUAAUACAAUAUUCUUUUGUGGGACCGACUACAAGUACUAACAUAAAGAAUAAAAAAAUGAAAAAAAGGAUAGUGAAAUAACUCAACGGAGAAGUCUAUAAAUGCUUUUGUUUGGUAGCUGGCUAAAGCAGAAUCUGUAAGUUGCAGAGUCAAGUUACACUUAGCCUGCUCCAUAACUCUAAUGUGAAACAAAAAAAGUCCUGCCACCAAUAAUUCAGCAAGCUUCACUUUAUUACACGAAGGUGAAAGCAAAAAGCCAAAAACAGCCCCCACCACCAUCAAUAAUUUAGCAAGCUUCACGCGCUUGUGCUUGUCUUGUCUGCUUGACGAACUGGACAUGGGUGGACCAAGCAUCCAUUGAAUAACUGGAAAAAGUAAAAAAUAAAAAACAGUGUCCCGCAAAAAGAAUCCAUCUUUAUGUGUUGAUAUGCACAUCUACCGAACAUCUACAAAAUGGAAGUAGAAAUUGAAACUUACGUUUUUUAGUUAUGGCUCAUAUAUAAUACAAGUAUCAAUAUUUAAGUAGAAUAGAGUUCACAUAUACACAUGCGUCUAGUUUUAAGUUUUAACCGAGAGAUAAAUUAAUCAUUAAUACUCAGGUGUUUCUAAAUAAUUGAAUAAUGAUAUUAUACGAACCUUCCCUUUACAAGUCUUCAAACUCAUAAACCAAGUUAAAAUAAAAUUAAAAAAAACGUUUCUCUCUCUCUCUCCUUUUGCUAUAUGAUUACUUUAUUUAUUGAAUUAAUUUCCAUGCUAUAUCAAAGACUUAAAAGUACACUAUAAUUUUUUAUAAUCAUAAUGGUAAUUUCUAUCAUCAUAUUAAAUUAUUGUCGUGUCAAAAUAAAUUAUAACAAAAUUUUAGCUGAACAUAAGUUCGACUCAUUUAUUAAAUAUAUAUACUUAAUAAAAUAAUAAGACGAUUAAUAUGUUAUCAGUGAUAUAGACCCAACUGAAAUAACUCUAAUGUGAAAACAAAAAAAAUCCCGCCACCGAUAAUUGAGCAAAUUAACUUCACUUUAUUACACGAAAGUGGAAGCAAAAGCCAGAGGCAGUCCCCACCACCAUCGAUAAUUGUGCUUGUCUUGUCUGCUUGACGAACUGGACAUGGGGGGGGGGGGGGGGGGGGGGGGACCAACCAUCCAUUGAAUAACUGGAAAAAGUAGAAAAUAAAAAAAUCAGUGUCCAGCAAAAAGAAUCUACCUUUAGGUGUUGCUUCCUAUUCAGUACAUGCAUAGAUAAUGUACAUCGACCUGGAAUUAAAAAAAUGGAAGUAGAAAUUAAAACUUACUUUUUUAGAUAUGGCUCAUAUAUAUUACAAGUAUCAAGAUUUGAUUAGAGUUCACAUAUUUACAAUGUGCCUAGUUUUAAUUGAGAGACAAACUAAUCAUUAAUAAUCAGGUUUUUCUAAAUGAUUAAAUAAUGAUAUUAAUUAUUGAUAUUUAAAAAAUUUGUAAGAAGUAUAACUAAUAUGUUGGGAUAUGUAUUUGUGUAGAAUGGCAAAUAUAAAGAAUAGCAAUAAAAAUAGUGGAACUUUAAUAUGAUGAAAAAAGGUAAACUGUAGAAAAUUAAUAUAUAAUUCAAGGUACGUUACAAAUAUCACUUUCCUUCAGACAUUAUUUACCCCACCAAUUGAGUGAAUGCACAUGAGUUAAGCAAAUAUGUCUCUAGGAUAUAAUGAAACGCUUCUUUGUUUGCUUGUAUUGUGCAUCGACAAAAGUAAAUCUGAAUAUUCCUUAAUGUUGCAAGCUUGCCACGAAUUAAUAUAUUGUUAUUGUAAAAAAAUAAAAAAAAUAAUGUAUUGGAUAUUUGAUGCAUAAAAGAAAUAGAUAUUAUUAGAUGAAAUUCAUUUUGAGAAAUAGGGCUACAAAAAGAGUGGUGUAAUGUCGUUUUAUUAAUGUCUAAAUGGCAUAAAUAUGACAUCUAUUUACAAAUAUAUUUAUGCUCUUUUAUUUAAGUUAUCGUCUUUAGUAAUGCCCUUGAUUCAUAUCCAUUAGAUCAAGCAACCUAAUCCCCACUAAAACUAACUUAUUGAACAGUAACUCAACGGAUGCUGUAAAGAUUGCUCUUGGAUGAUUGACAUUUUUUUUAAAAAAAAUUUGGGCAAAGAAAGAAACUGAAUUAUGAGUUUAUGGAAAUUAAAGCAAAUGAGAAAGUGAAUUAGCACAAUGAGUUUGUGAUUGCGAAGGAACCAGCAAAUCAAAAAACAAUUAAGCAAGAGAAAAGGACAAUGAACACUUUAAUAUUCUAGAAAAGGGAUAUGAAACCUCUAAACAUUUUAAAAAAGAUAUAUAAUCUCCUUUUUAUUAGUAAAAUCUGUUUAUUUCAGUAGUAACAUAAUCUUUAAUUUACAUUUACUAUCAUGUCCCUAUAAUAAAUAAAUUAAUAUAUUUAAUUUAAAAGAGUGAGCCCUCCAAUUUUACUUCCCAUUUGCUCAAUUGCCUUUCAUUCAUAUACAAGCAUGUUUAACAUCUCAUUUUGCCUAAUUUGCCUUGGAAGAAAAUAAAUUUGAUUUUAUUUUUAUCUAUUAUUCAUCAUUUUUUAUCAUCUUAACAUUGGGAAGGAUAUAUUCAUAAUUUAAAGUGAAUAAUUUGGAUAAAAGAUAAUUAUAUCUUAAUUUUAAGUUUUAAAUAAAAAGUUGUUGGUUUUAUUAUACAUGUCAUUGAUGACAUGUCUUAAAUUAAUAUAUUUAUUUAUUUAUUAUCGGGAUAUAAUAAUAAUUAUAAAUUAAAAAUAAAUUUAUUAUUAAAAUAAAUGGAAUUUAUUAACAAAAAUAGGAAUUAUAUAUCUUUUUUAAAAUAUUAAAACAUUAUUUUUUUUUAGGGUAUCACUAUCCAUUUCCCAUUAAGCAAAACAAAAGUGAAAAGAAAAAUCAGAGCCCACUAUAAAUAUAAAAUUAGUGGAGCUCAUGAUGAUGCAUUUGCUUUACAUACUAAAUUAAAUAAAAGCCGAACCAAGAAUCUUUGCCUUAGCUUAACAUGAUUAAUUAGGCACUACUUCAUAGAAAACGCGAAAGCAAUGAACCCUUUUUUUAAUCUUAAAUGUCAUGAAUAUAAUUCUUCUGCGUUAAUUAAUCAUUCUUCUCUGACCGUCUCUUCAGGUUCAUUUCAAAAGUUUGAAGAUAGUUUAUCAAUUCUUCUACUUAUAAAAGCAAGUUAAAUUAAAAGAUUUUAAUCUCUCUUCUUAUUACUAUAAGUGCACUGUGCACGACAUUUUUUUACAAUAAACAAUGCCAAUUUGUAAUGUAAUGUUAUAUUCAUAUUCCCAUCGCGUCGAACUCUUUUUUUCCCUCUUUUUUAAAAGGAGACGGUGCGGUUUGGUUGUUCGCAAAAUUAGUGGUGUGGGGCUCUAUUUGCUUUUGUUUUCACUUUAUUAAUUAACUAGCGAAGCAAACAUGUAAUCAUUUGUAAAGGAGUCACUAGCACCGGAUUAUGUAAGAUGAAUUCGUAAGACUUAUUAAUUUCAAUUGAAAAUGUAGCGUUAUUAGGUUAUUAAUUCACUAAGUUAACUUGAGGUUCUAAUAUUUACUAAUUGUGGUGAUUAAUUUAUUUAACUUGUCAUAAUUUUCAUUUGAGAAUGAAAUUCAAUCAAUGUAUGAAAAAAGAUAAUUUUUUAAAAUUUUUAAUUCCUAUGAUUUGAUUUCACUUUUUUCCGGAUAUUGACGCUGUAAAAGCUUGCCCAAUGUCAUCAAAUGCUUGUAUCCCAUCUCACAAAUUAGCAAAUAUCAUUUGGUUUCUUUAUACGUGGCCAUCACAAAUUAAAAGUAACAACAUCCACCAUAUAUCGAAAAUUAAUUUUGAGAAUACUUUUGACUUUUAAAAGAAAAAUGCGAGUACAAUUUAAUAAGAGAGAACAAGAAUUGAUCAUGUCCCAAGAGACUGAAAAUAAGAUUAUAUAAACUUGAAUGCAGGCAUAUCAUAUGUUAAUCUUAAUUUUUUUUUGUUGCUGAAAAUUAAUUAAUUUGUUCCACUAUUCCUUUUUUAAUUGUAUGGUGAGAAACACAUUGGCCACUUCUGAAUCAUGUUGCAUAUUUGUUAACUCAAAGAAACAGUACACUUUUGUAUCAAUCAAACUCACUUUGUUAAUAUUCUUCAUUAUUAUGGUUAAUGGCUUAGCAAAUGUAGAAGGAGGAGUCAACCAAAAUGUAGCACUUUCUCUUGUAUUAACCUUUUAUUAAUUGUUGAAGUUAAAAAAAAUGUUAAAACAAGUUAAAAUAGUUCCAUCUCAAAAUCAGUAGGGUGUAAGUAGGUUGUUAUAAAUAUUUUUAAAUUUUAGUCUAAUUUAAUUGUGUGAUGCACAAACUUUCUCACUUCUUUCAUAUAAAUAAAGGGGAGAACUAUUUGAACUCAUUAAAUCACUUUUUAAAUUCCUCUACUUAUUAAGGCCAUCAUAAAAAUUCAAAAAUCCUUUUUAUACUCACUACAUCUCUUAAAAAUAUCGCAAAUAUGACACAUUUGUCUUCACCUUCUAUUUAUCUUCAACAUUCACAAUUUUUAUUUGAAUCUGUAAUAUGUUUAACACUGUUCAUUCACUCAUUAGAGUUCCAAUAAUAGAAUAUAGAGAUUAAAAAUAUCAUUAGCAAAUUAUUUGUUUGUGUUCUAUAUGAUAUUCUUGGUUUGGAAAAAGCUUCAUCGGCAAUAUAUGUAAAUAAAAGACUAAGAACUUCCAAUAAUUCAGAUUUGAUCGAAACUUCACAAACUUAUUUUCACUUAAAAAAAUAAAAUAAAGUAAAAGAAAUUCUCGUGUUUUAAAAGAAAAACUGCCAGACAUGUUUCUAAAACAACUAGAAACCAAACUAGGCUUGAAGCAGUGAGUUUUGAAUUAUAAAAAAUACAUAAUUGUAAUUUCACCUAAAUCAAAUGAUGAAUUUCAUGACAACGGAUUUAGACUAUAGACCAAUACACAAAGAAUUGGAUGUUCAUCGCAUUUGUUCUUGAAAUUGUUUUGCGCAAAAAAGUUAACUAUUGUAUUAUGUUGUAUUGCAUUAUUUUAAUAUAAGUGUAUUAUAUUAUGCUGUAUUGCAUUAACACUGUAUUAUAUUAAUACUAUACAACGUUUGGUUCUACAUUGUACUAUAUUAAUUUUUAAUUAUACAUACACUAUAUUAUGCUAUACUAUAUUAUUUUUUUGGUGGUUAAUUUCAAUUAUAUGUUUGGAAAUAAUAUUUAUUAGUACUUAGCAAAAUAUAAAAUAUAGAACCUUAAAUUUUAGAAUAUUUACAUCAAUUUUUUUUAGUAUAAAUGUAAAUAAUUAUAAUAAUUCUUCAUUAAACUUAUGUAAAAAUAACAAAUUCUGAAUUUUUGCUAUCGUAACAUUUUUUUUUUAACGGCGUUUUUCAAAUGUAUACCUUAUUGAUGAUGCACCAUAAAAAUAAAUAUCAAAUUUUGCGAUCAUGAUCAAGUCGAGUUUUACAUUAUGAAAGCAUGACACAAAAAUUGAAAAAAAUAAUGGCCGGCAAAAAGUUAUACAAGCAACAACAAAAGUGCUAAUUACUCGGAAAAUAAACAAUCAAGAGCCGCUGAUAGAUAUGAGUCAUAUGACAAGGUAGAGGAAUACAGAUAUCUGCAUACAUUUUUAACAAAGAUCAUCUUUGUAACCAAUUGUUGGCUUUGGCAUUAAAAGAUCAUCUUUGUAACCAACUGGGUAGCUAUAAAAUGAAUACUAAGUCAAUCAAACGGGAAAGCUUGCUACAAGACUUUGAAGCAUUAUUCUGUUGCAUCACCUUCCUCCUCUGCCUCACUUCCUGCAUCCCAAAUUAAAGAACAACAAAUAUUAAAUAACAAAAACAAAAUCUUCAAUAGACUUUUCAUACUCCAUGGAGCAAAUCUAUGGGAAUCCACAAAAUAAUUGAAAUAUAUCAAUGCUGCAGGUCAUAGUAACAAAUUACAGAUACACAAUCAUGCAUAUGCAACUAAAAAAUGCUUAUUUAUUACAGCCGCUUUUUGGCAUGACUACUUCAUAAGUUAUAUAUGAUAGAUAACAUUAUUAUUCUAAUCACAUGGUUAUGAUUUUAGUUGGACAUACAAAAGCUACGUGCAUGAAUCUGUAUCAUGCCACCUUUCAUGAGUCAAAAAUUUAAAUCAAAUCAAUUUGGUUGAGCCUUCAAAUUCCUAUUCCAGUCAAAGGAGAUGAUUUUUCCAAAGGUAAAGAAUGAGUCCGGUUACUUAAGCAUGUCAACCUUUUUUCUAGGCUAAGGUUUAUCCCUUUCCAUUUCACUAACUCUCCUCUCACUACCUUGCGUCAACAUUUGCAUACUUGAUAUACUUUCACAACCUUAAUCUAAUACUUUCAUUUAUGCUGAUAUAAAGAAGAAGUUUGAUUUAAAUCUGGACAGGUAACAAGAUUAAAAAACUGCCUUGUAGUAGAGCCAAUUCUUCCAACAAACAUUUCUUGAACCAAUAUCUAAGAUUAAGCUGGAUCACGUAAGACAAAUAUGCCAAGAAGAUUUUUAACUCACCUGACACUAUGGAUCUCCAAAUGUACUCAAUUAGCUUAGGUAAGCCAUACUUCUUCUCAAUUAUGAGCCCAGUAAAUAGGACCCGAAAAACUUGCAUUCCUCUGCUGACAUUCAUUUCAGUGUUGCAAGAAUUACAGAUUCCAUGACCAUGGACUGAAGUUCUUUUGUUAAGACAGGCGCAAGAGAGUACGCCCCUAUCCCACUAGUAUUUGGCCCGGUGUCACCAUCACCAACUUGUUUAUGGUCCUGACAAGACAUUAGAGGUAUGGGCGUAUGGCAUUCUCCCCAUCCACGAAGUCCUUUAGAACCAAAAGCAUUGUUUACAAGCAUCGAAUCAACAACUUCUAUGAAUCAUCCAAUGUCAUAGUUAGAGCUGGUAAAAUUUGACACGAUCCAAUUAUUCGACACGAACACGACACUAAUAAAUGGGUAUGGGUCGUCAAAUUUAACACGAUUAUUAAAUCGGUCGGGUCCGGGUCAACACGAUUUUUUUCCGUGUCGGGUUAGGGUUAAAAUUCUUGACCCAUUUACCCGAUCAAUGACUCGAUUAUAUUUUUUAUUUUAAAAUAAUUUAUAGAUUCUUGUCAUCAAAACUUAAAUAUUAGAGAAUUUUUUUUUAUUCUUUAAAAAGAUGAAUAUAGACACAAUAUUUUAUUUAUAAAAUUUUAAAUAUAUUUAGAGCUUUAAUAAUGUAAAUGUAUAAAAUAUUGGUAGAUACGUAUAUUUUAUAAUAUUGAUAUAUAAUAUUAUUUACAUAUAUAUAAUUAAAACCUCAAUAAUGUGUGUAAUAUUUUAGUAGAUAUGAAAAUUUUAUAAUACUGAUAAAUUAUGUAUGUAUGGAUGGAUGUUGAGACAAGCUAGAGAAGCCAUGAAUGAGAUUUUUCCUUUGACUCCUGCUAUGUGGCAAGAAUUUGCGAGAGAUGAAGCCUCUAUUUCAACCGGGUAUCUGUCAUUUCCUUUUUACAGUGGUUUUUGAUUUUGUGAACAAAUACUUUUUUUUUCGCUUAGAGAUAUAGAUGUUUAUGUUAGUUAUUUGCUAAUGUAAAAAGGAACAAAAACUGCUUAAAAGGUAUUAAAGAAAGAAAAAAGGAACCAAUUUGAAGAAGGGGAUACUCAUAGCGGGAGUUCUGCUUUGGGGUUUAAUUGAUGGGAAGAAGAAAUAGUUUAUAUGUUUACAGAAUUAAACAAUUGAUCACUGAGUUAGUUGAGGAAGAUAAUUAAUCACAAUGUCUGAAGCUGUUGCUGUUGGCGUCACCUAUUGUUAAGAUUUCAUCCUUUUUUAUGGUUUUACAUAGCUGUGACCUAAAGCUUAAUGUAUACGUUGAUAAUUACAUAAUUGGUUUCUUGCUGAUACUUGGCUUUAAUUUGUAAGCCUGAGGCUCUUUCGGGAAUUGAGAAGAUUUACGGAAGAGGAGUUUCUGAUUAUCUGGUUUGUUCUCUUUAUGCUUACAGAAUUUGAAUUAACGCUCUGCAUGAAUUUAUGAUUCAUUUUUUUUGGAGAAAUAUUUUAUGAAAUUGAAGCAUUGGAGUAAAGCGUACUAGUCGUAAGCUUGAUUCACUUUGUUUUGAUUUUAUUACCAAGAGGUGCUAACAGUUCAUGAUGCAUAAAAGAGGGGGAAAAAAACUCUUCUUGGUAGAUACAUAAAUUUUAGUUUCUGAAUCAUUUUCAACGAAAGAAAUAAUUUUACAGAGGCUGAAGAGCAGCAUUUUCAUUUAUAUGAAAGUUCAAUUGUUAUAUCAUCUGUUUCCAUAUCUUUUGUGGUAAAUAAAGUCCUUGAUGAUGGCAUAAGAGCACAGAAGAGUUGUUAGUUUCAUAUGUGGAGAUUUUCAUCAUAGUAGUUCAUUGAAAGUGAAGGCAGCUGAAUACCCUUUUUUCUGAUGCAGUCUGUCCCUCUUUGGUGUGAUUAUUUAAAAUUUGUGCAAGAAUAUGAUCCAUCUAUACGCGAAUGUUUACCCAAUGGCACUUCAAAGGCAAGGAAUCUAUUUGAGCGGCUAUUACUGCUGCUGGUCUGCAUGUUUUAGAAGGCAGUGAAAUAUGGGAAUUGUACAGAGAAUUUGAGCUAGCUAUAUUUAGUAGGAUUGAUAAGAUUAACUUGAAUGUGAAAUAUUUUAAUUUAUUUUACUUUUUUUUGGGCUUAAAUAACGAGUUUAUUCCCAUCUAUAGAAAGAAAAAGGGAAGGUUUUUUUUUUUUUUGCUGGGGGGGGUGUUUCCAACCCUAGCACAUGACAAGCAUUCCAAGACCCUUGCUGCUUGUUUUGCAGGAAAAGGAAAAACAGGUUCUGCGGAUUCGAAGUAUAUUUCAUCGCCAGUUGUCUGUUCCCCUUGCUAACUCAAGUGCAACUCUUCUUGCCUACAAAUCUUGGGAGCUCAAACAGGGGGCUGUUCUUGAUGUUGAAUCUAGUAAUGUAGAUGGGAUUUCUUCUAAUGUUGCCGCAGCAUACCAAAAGGCAUUGGAGAUGUGUAAUGCACGAGCUCAUGUUGAAGAGCAGAUUUCUAGGCAGGAUUUAUCUGACUCAGAGAAAUUUCAACAAUACAUGGCAGAUGACUUUACUAUCGUCAUUUGAUAGCUUUUUAUAGUAAGUGAAAUCCAGCCCUAAAAAUUUUAUUAAUAUGAAUAUUUUUUUGGGGGGAUUUCUUCUUAUGGCAUUAUUAUUUUGCUUUUGUGUAGCUAACAAUUAAUAUGUGCACUUUAAAUAUUAUCUAUUGUUUCUUAGCAAAUAAUAGUAAUAAUAAUAAGUAAUAAAUAAUUAAUAUCUGCAUUGUCAAAUAAUAAUAAUAAUAAUGUCUGCUCUUUUUACUCUUGGGGGGGGGGGCAUGCAGUGUCAUUAUCUUCCUUCUUCUCCUUUUUCUAUUUUGUGCUUUCAAGUUUAAUAUUAUUAUAUUAAUCUGUUAUUGUUGUAGAUAUACUUGAAGUAUGAGCAAUCUUCUGGAGAUCCUGGUAGAGUUCAACUUCUUUAUGAACGGGCUAUUACCGACUUUCCUGUAUCAAGUGAUCUCUGGCUUGAUUAUACUCGUUAUCUUGACAAAACAUUAAAGGUUUAUCCUUCUAUUUUCUAUUUUACUUCUUCUGUUGCAGCUAUUUGUAUACUAAUCGACUCUCCUCUUCAGGUUGGUAAUGUUGUGAGAGAUGUUUAUUCCAGGGCUACAAAAAAUUGUCCCUGGGUAGGAAAACUUUGGGUACGAUCUUUGCUUUCUCUGGAACAUGGCCGUGUUUCUGAGGAGGAGAUAUCCACUGUAGGUUUAAUUGUUACCCUUCAUUCUGAGCUUAAUCAAUUUUCCUGAAUGUAUUCAUUCUGAGCUUAAUCAAGUUUCCUGAAUGUAAUUGAUUUUGAUUGUUUGAAGUUAAAGAAAUGAUCAGCUUCCUAGGCAAAUUUCUUGGCAAGCACUUGAUUGUGGGAGUAACUGAGGAGAAGCAUUCCCUAGUGUUUUUUUUUGUUUUUCUCCUCCCCUAAAAUUGCAAUAUACUUCCCUUGAAGAGUAUUUUUUGCUUUAGCAUUUACACAUCUGUACAGAAGCAAACAUGAAUCAGAGAGAUUUAGUGGGCAAAUUCACCUGUGCUGACAAAUUAAAGCAUAUUAAAUACCGCGGUGGUUGUUGGAAUGCUCCAAAAAGUGUUUUCUUGGUGCUCCUGCUCCUUUUGCACUUUCAUAGUGUUUUAAUAACUGGGUUGUUUAAAUGUCCUGUACUUAUUUUCUUUACAAAUGUCUUUGUAUUUUUUUAAAUUUAUAAAAGAUUGUUCUAAUUAUAUUAAUAGCAACAAAUUGCGCAAACUCAAAUCUUAAUUUCAUUCUGCCCCUAUUACAUAUAUACGGGAUUCUCCUAUUAUUUCAUCAAAUUUUCCAUUACUAAUUUCAGGUCUUUGAGAAGUCACUACUAUGUACUUUUUCAACCUUUGAGGAGGUAGAGAUAUAAUCUUAUGUCUUCUGUACAUACCUUGGUUUCUUGAGCUGUAUGAUUUGGUAUAUAUCUACUUCUGAUUCAUCAUGCAUUUUUUUGUUAACUGGUUCUUUUUUGUUUGAGUACCUAGAUCUAUUCCUUACUUGAAUAGAUGGUUUGAGGUGGAGAAUUUUAUUCUCCGGUGAAGUUGAGGGCGCCUUGGAUUAUUCAUUGAUAACGGAAACCCUUCAGGUUUGUAAACUUAUACUGUUGGCUAUUCAAUAUUAAAAUUGGUUAUACUCCUUAAUAUCAAGAAAUUGAAGCUUCCCAAAUCAUACCCAAGAAAUGCUCUAUUGUGGAUUACUGGAUGGAGCUAGUUGCUAGAUGAUACCUUUAAGAUUCAAGACAUAUGUUGUUUUGUGUAUGGCUAUCAAGUACUUUGGCCUGCAAUUGUGGCAUAUUGGUCUUACGCCAGCAUCAGGUAUAACAUUGUGUCUGGCAUAUAUACCAUUGGAAUUCUGGGUUUCUGUUGAGUGGGCUCCAACAGCUAUAUUUGUGUCCAAUGUUGUGGGGUCCUCUUCUUUGGUGCUUUUAAGUGAAGUUUUAACUUUCCUUGUCAAAAUUUUGUUACAAAUCAAGUAGAAGGCACUGCACUGAAGCAUUGGUACUUCUAGAUUGCUUGUUUUGCAUGGUAGAUUUCAAUCCAUUGCUUUUAUUUCUUGGAUCAUGUUUAUCAUUGAGGACUUUCUUGGCCAGUCAUAGAGCUGACUAGUGCUACCAUCAUCAUUGGUAGGGCAAAAAAGUCAAUUCCUAUGGGAUGCUUUCUGACUUAGAGAAGAUGUCUUCAAGAAUUUGUGGAUUUAAGUCUUCACACGAUGUUCAACUCUUGAUAGUCUAACCUUGGUACAGGAUUUAUAGCUGUCUUCCAAGUUUGUGCUCAUAAAUGAGUAACCUGUCUGUCUUUAUGAUACCAGUUAAAUUUGUUAGCUUUCCGGGAUUUGGAGGUUGUAAAUGUCCAUAAACAACAAUGUCUUCUCUUCCUUACAGCGUGCAUCAGAUUACUUGUCAGAACAGAUGAAAAAUAACAAUGGUUUGCUGCGUUUGUAUGCUUAUUGGGCACGUCUUGAACAAACUAUGGGAAAAGAUACGGUUUCAGCUCGUAGUGUCUGGGAGAGGCUACUUAAGAUCAGGUUCACCAAUUUUAAUUUUUGCCAGUGCAUACAUAGCAAAAUUUCUUUAUAUCUAUAUAUUUUCGGAUAACUUGUGCUUCUCUUAAUGCAGUGGUACAAUGUUGGAAGCCUGGCAAAGUUAUAUAUCUGUGGAAAUUGAAUUGGGUCAUAUUAAUGAAGCUAGAUCCAUCGACAAGAGAUGCUACAGUAAAAGAUUUACAAGGACAGGUUCAGAGGUAAAUUUCUUUCAUCCUGCUUCUUUAAUGAAUAUUAACUGCUUAACAACGUACCUUGUUGUUUCCAUCUUGUUUGUUUAACUGGUCUUAUUUGUAAACACCUGAAAUCAUACAUCUUAAUUUCUGAUAAUUAGAUGUUAUUUUAGAUAUCUGUAUCUGUUAAUGUUCUUUCAAGUCUGAUUCCAAUGCAUAUUUAGUUAAACUGCUCUUUACUGCAUUUUGGAUUAGUUGAUAUCUUCCUUUCCUAAAAACAGAAUCAUUCAGGACAUAUGCCAUGCUUGGCUGCAAUUUGAAUGGGAAUUUUGUAUAAAAUUUUUAAUGAAUUUAUGGGUUUGAUGAGUAAAAUUAGGGGUUCAUAUAGACUCACCCAUAAAUUGAACCCUUAUUUUAUGUUGAUGCACAACUUAACUUAACAAAAAUAAUGUUCAAAUUGUCACAAAAUUUGAAAAAAAAAUCAUACAGUUAAUUUUUCUUCUACUUUACUCCAUUAUUCAAUGGGCAUAUAAUAAAUUAGGAGAGGGGAGAAAUAAAGGGGAAAAUUAGAGUAUUGUCGCAAUGAUACACUGAUACAAAUGCCCAUUGAGUGAUUGUCAAUGGGCAUAUAAUAAAUUAGGAGAGGGGAGAAAUAAAGGGGAAAAUUAGAGUGAUUGUCACAAUGAUACACUGAUACAAAUGCUUAUGUAUGUGUAGUGUGUGUGUGGGGCGUUCUUUAAUUUGACCAAAAAUAAAUGCAUUUAUUUGUAUUUUUAAUCAAAAUCGAGGGAUAUAAACAAAAAUUUUACCACUCCAGAGUCCAGACAUGUAUCAUUGCCUCGUUAAAAAAAAUUGCAUAAAAUUAAAAAACCAUUAGUGGCUGAAAGAGAGAAACAAAUUAAGAAAGGGUUCAAAAGAUGGAACCCGAAGAGAAAACCCUAGCAACAAUCCCAGAAGAAGAAGAAGAAGAUGGAGACACGGCCAUGCCCGACGUCAAGAACAACCCUAAACCAACAACAACAGCCAACUCUUCGGACUCGAGCGAUGCCUCUGACUCAGACUCGGACUCUGACUCAGAAGAUGAAGCAAAACAGAACAUGGAGCUUCAAACCCUAGAGUAUCAGCUAUCCAAUGAACCCUCCAAUUACGACACCUAUGUUCAAGUAACUUCAAUACACAUAUUUAUUGAGUGAUUUUGUGGAUAACCGUUUGCUUGUUCUUUCUUGGGUUGUGAUAAAAAUGGUUUUUAUCUUUUUUUUUUCAGUAAAUAAAGGUUUUGAGAAAAAUGGGUGAGAUAGAGAAAUUGAGACAAGCUAGGGAAGCCAUGAAUGAGAUUUUUCCAUUGACUCCUGCUAUGUGACAAGAAUGGGUGAGAGAUGAAGCCUCUAUUUCAACUGGGCAUCUGUCAUUUCCUAUUGCAAUGGUUUUUUAUUUUGUGAGCAAAUGUUUUUUUUGCUUAGAGAUAUAGAUGUUUAUGUUAGUUAUUUGCUAAUGUAAGAAGGAACAAAACCUGCUUAAAAGGUAUUAAAGAAAGAAAAAAGGAACCAAUUUAAAGAAGGGGAUACUUAUAGUGGGAGUUCUACUUUGGGGUUUAAUUGAUGGAAAGAAGAAAUAGCUUAUAUGUUUACAGAAUUAGACAUUUGAUCGCUGAGUUAGUUGAGGAAGAUGGUUAAUCACAAUGUCUGAUGUUGUUUCUGUUGGCCUGAACUAGUUGUUAAGAUUUCAUACUUUCAUUCAACAAUACAAUAGACUUUGAUUGGGUCCACCGUAGUUGGGUGUUCUGAGGAAUCAAUGAGUGUCUUGAGAAAACUUGGGUGGAGUGCUGGUCAUUUUCAGGAUUCAGUUUCCAAGAAAACAAAAAUGAAGUCGUAGUUGUAGUUUAAAUUAAUUUAUGUUUUUAUCUUUUUCUGUGAGCCCAGUGAGCUUUUAUUUUCACUUUGUUCGCUUUUGUUUCUUUCCCUUCUUUUCCUACAGUUUCUUGAUAAUCAAACAGAUCAGGAUUAAGUGUUUACUUUUGGUUAGGGGUGGGCGUUCGGUUCGGGUUAACCCGAACUAAACCGAACCUGAAAUUUAUUUCGGGUUCGGUUCGGUUUGGGUUAACUCGUGCAACCCGAACGGAUUCAAAGCUUCAAUCUGUUCGGGUUAAAUUUCGGUUCGGGUUCAACCCGAACCGAAUUUUCAACCCGUUCGGGUUGAAGCUUUUUUUUUUUUAAAGAUUUAGCUUUUAAAUUAAAAAUAUAUAUACAUUAAUUAAACCAAAAAAUCCCUAAAAAUGAAAAAUCCCUAAACAAAAAUCUCUCCCUCUCGGCCUCCCCCUCCUUGCUCCCUCUUCUCACUUCUCAGUUCUCACUUUCUGUGAACUGUGGUUGAUGACAUCAGCACUUCAGCAGCAGCCACAGCAGCCCCGUUCAGCUCCAACAGACACCAGCCGGCCUCAUCGUCUCACUCCCUCCCCCUCCUUGCUCCAUCGUUUCACUCCCUCCCACGACGACAACACUCACAGGCCACAACAGCAGCCAGCAGCCCCGUUCACAGCAGCCCACUCGCGUCAGCCAGCACGCCUCGCCCGCAACUGCGCUGUGCGUUCAGCUCGCGUCCCACUCAGCCCAGGAAGUCUCGAUCUGCCAACGCUGUAGCUGCUCUGACCUCCGAGAUUAAGGUUUGUCUUGCCUUGCCGACGGCGACGCUGUAACUUGCUGACUUGCACGCAACUGAUGGCAACAACCCGAAUUGAAUUUUAAGUUUUUAACAGCCUGUUGCUAUUAAUUAAAUUGUAAAUUUUUAAUUAAUUGAUUGACAAUUAUUCAAUUAUUUGAAGUGGGUUUGUUGUUGUUGAUUGAUAAUUGAACCCGAACUAAUCCAAACUAACCCGAAUUAACCCGAACCGAAAUUGUAACCCGAAUUAUCAACCCAAUCCGAUCCGAAUUGUCAAUCCAAACCGAACCGAACCGAAUUGGUUCGGGUUGGCGUUUUCAACCCGAUUGGGUUCAAUUCUCCAACCCGAACGGGUUGAAACCCAAACCGAAACCCGAACAACCCGAACCGAAACCCGAAACGCCCACCCCUACUUUUGGUGUAAUUAUUCACUCUAACUCGAAUAGUACUUAGGUUUAGUGCUAACAAAAUAGGAAGUGAAUUAAUAUCUGAAGUUGACCUAGGAGUGGAAUGAAUGUUACCAAAAAUAUACUAUAUGGUAGAUAGAAUUUGCCUUUUAGGUAAGACAAAAAUAAUUACAGCUGUUAAUUUAUUUCAAUAAGUUCGUACAUCAUUGAAUAAUAAGUCCAAGAUUUUAAUGGUUUUGUUUCCUGAAAAUUUGUCACGAGUGCAUGAACAAAGUUCUAUGGAUGAACUUCUCUUAGUUAAUUUGAGUUCAAUGUCGCAGUUCCUCAUAUUAACUAUAUAAAACACUAAUCUUGCUCUUUACUUUGGAGCAUUUUAAUAAUUGAUGCUAAUUCCUUAGCCAUUUUAUUCAUCUUGUGCAUAAAUUAUGCAAUCAAUAAGCCAACUCCACUUUCAUCUUUAUUUAGUGAAAAAUUUGCAAGGUCACUAGGAGGUUUUUGUAUGUCUCAUGCUAACAUGGACGCCAUGGUUUCACUAUGUAAAUUUUCCCCACUGAAAUUCAUGAUCCCUCAUAUACCACUCAUCACUCAUGAAGCUGUUUCUGGGGCUUUAAAAGCGCCAAAUUUUAGUUUUAUCCUUUCUAGCUUAUUAACCUGUCCGCAUCUGCAUUAUUAUCUUUCCUGUCAUACGAAAGUUUCAUUUAUCAUCUUCCCAACAUAAACAUCCGUAGGUCAUUGUUGACUUUUUUGCUUUGACACUUAUUGUUUCUAAGUAUAGGCUACCAAGGGAGAAAAAAAUUGACAUUGAUGGUCAUCCCCAGCAUUUUUAUCCCAGGAGACUGGUCAUUCACUUUCUAUGAAGGACUAUAUAGACAUCCAGACUCUAUUUUGAAGGACAAAGCUGUGGCUGAGCUUGGUUGUGGAAAUGGAUGGAUAACCAUUGCCAUAGCUGAGAAGUGGUUGCCUUUGAAGUUUUGUUGGUUUGUCGUCCUUAUGCCAUGUGAGAGCUUUUAUUUCCUUCCCUACCAGUGCCUUCAGGGGCUCCAUCAUGAUUUCUCUCAUCAUUUUCUAUCUCUGUGUUUUGCAAGGCCAUUUGAUAUUUAUAACAGCAUUGGCACCAGGUUAUGGUGAUUUAAUGCACUCCUAUUAGGAAAAAUUACAUAAUUAUCAACUCUGUCCUUGUCCAAAAGUCUUUGUUGGAGUAUGUUGAAAAUAUAACCUUGUAGGAGUUCUUUUAUGCUGUCUGAAUAUCCUAUUGCAGGUCUAUGGCCUUGAUAUUAAUCCCAGAGCAAUAAAGAUCUCUUGGAUAAAAUUGUACUUAAAUGCAUUAGAUGAAUCUUUUUCUAAGCUUUUCUGUCACUGUCACUGCAAAAGGUCUUUUGUAUUGAGGGUUAUCUGUGGGGCUAGGAAAGGUCAGCCCAUCUAUGAUGCGGUGAAGAAAACCUUACUGGAUAGGGUGGAGUUUGAUGAAUCUAAUCUCCUAGCAUAUUGUAGACAUCAUGACAUUCAACUUGAAUGAAUAGUGGGGUGCAGACCUCAGGUACUCUCACUUUCUGCAACUCAUGAUAUUUCUAGGGGAUUAAAUUUUAGUGAAGUUUGUUUACCCAACAUCAAGUUGGAAUUUUAGUGUGCCCACAUGGAUUACUUUUAACUCCUAGUUUAACUUAUUCUGUUGUCUCCAUGCAGGUUCUCAACCCCAAUUCCAAUGCAAUGUCGAAAAUAAUCACUGAAAAUGCAAGCGAGGAAUUUCUGUAUUCAUUGAGUAACUAUUGUGGAUUGCAGGUUGGAAGAUAUUCUAAAUAAUUUAAUUGUGAUGCGCAAUUGCAAUUGCCGGGAAGUUAGCAAUUAAGUUGAUAGGCUUCUUCUGGUUUCACAUAUUUCUAAGUAACAACUUUGGUUUGAAGCUUGCAUACCUUAGGUAAGGUUGAUGUCUUUAGUUGGUCAAUAUCAAUUGGGAAAUAUAGCUAACCAGUGAAGACAGUGGGAAAAGGAUGAUGUGAGUUUGACAAAUGCUGGGAGGAGAUAGGGAAACUUAAUCUGAAAGAUUUCUUUUUUUUUCUUGGUUUAUUUAUUUAUUUACUCGUGUGACCUCUUCACAAUGCCAUUGAUUCCCAUAGUUCAUGUUGCUAGGUGAACUUAACAACAACCAUCUAUUAUGCCUUGUGGAUAACUGAGAAAAUUUAUUGCUUUGGACAAGUUGCUUUUUGAAAUAGAGUGCAAGUAGAUUGACUAAUAAUGAACUUAUUGUAUCAAGUUGUUACAUUUGAAUAUAUUAAGGUCAUAUAAAGCUUACUUGUUAUACUUCUUUUUUUCUUUUUUCCCUCCCCAUUUCCCUGUAUGGAGGGUUUCUUGGACGAUCAGUUUGGCUUAGGUCUAAUUUUCUCGAGCAGUUAAGGAAUUACUGUUAUCAAAAUAAAGUUUCCUCUCACUCACUAGCCAAUUGAGCAGCUCGUCACCGGUCGGAUUCAUUGCCGAUUGCAGCCCACCUCCAUCAUGUCAGUUCAGUAGCUUGUCGCUGCAGUCAUGAUCGGCCUCUUUGUUGUCGUUGAAGAACCAAUCAAUAAUGAUGAUGAUUGAUGAUGAUGAUGAUUACCAUUGUUGAUGAUUAAUAUUAUUGAUGAUGAUGAUGUAGAUGAUGUAAUUGCGGUGAGAUGAUGAAGAUGAAACUGAAUUGUGAUGUUGAUAAUGAAAUUGACAGAAGGAAGAAGAAGAUUGUGAAAAAUCUGACUUCUUCACUCGUAUUACAUUAGAGAAGAAUACAUAUUUAUAUACAUUACACCCUAGGAAUAAAAUGGUAAAAAAAAAACAGCUAAGAUAUUGCAAAUCAGUAUCCCUGAAAAUUAGGGAUUAUAUAUCCUAAAAUCUAGUAUUUAAGUCAACACAUAGCUGUAAAAUACAGCUAACAUCUACAACAAUAGUCAACACACAGCUGUAAAAUACAACUGACAUCUGCAACACUCCCCCUCAAGCUGGAGCAUAGAUAUUCUUCAUGCCUAGCUUGCAUACAAACUCUUCAAACUUGUGUCCAUGCAUUCCUUUUGUCAACAUAUCUGCAGUUUGUUGUCCUGUUAGAAUAUACACCAAACAGAUAACUCCAGUUUCCAAUUUCUCUUUAAUAAAAUGUCGGUCUACCUCCACAUGUUUUGUCCUGUCAUGAUGGACAGGAUUAUGGGCAAUAUUAAUUGCUGCCUUAUUGUCACAGUAAAGUUGCAUAGAACUAUUUUUUAUUAACUGUAGUUCUUUGAGAACACGUUCUAUCCACAUAAGCUCACAUACCGCAUGUGCUAGUGCUCGAAAUUCUGCUUCUGCACUGCUUCGUGCCACUACAGUUUGCUUCUUGCUUCUCCAAGUUACAAGGUUUCCCCACACCUUAGUACAAUAACCCGUUGUAGACUUCCUAUCCAUGAUGUUUCCAGCCCAAUCCGCAUCAACAAAAGCUUCUACAUUCCUUUUUUCUCCCUUCUCAAAAUAAAGUCCCUUUCCCGGUGUUGACUUCAGGUAUUGAAGUAUUCGGUUUACUGCCACUAAGUGAGCUUCUUUUGGGGCGUGCAUAAACUGGCUCACUAAGCUAACCGCAAAAGCAAUAUCAAGUCUAGUAUGGGAAAGAUAAAUUAAUCUCCCUACUAGCCUUUGAUAUCUCCCCCUCUCCACGGGUGCACUAUUUUCUUCAAGACCCAACUUGCUAUUUGGUUCAAUUGGUGUGGCAGCAGGUUUACAGCCAAUCAUACCAGUAUCCUUUAGCAAAUCUAGGGUGCAUUUCCGUUGUGUAACUAGAAUACCUUUAGCUGUUCUAGCUACCUCCAUUCCCAAAAAAUAACGUAGUGGUCCAAGAUCCUUGAUUUCAAACUCACCAGCUAAUUUUUCUUUUAAUCCUUCCAGCUCUUCUUUGUCAUCUCCUGUUAGUAUAAUGUCAUUAACAUACACGAUCAAAAUAGCUAACUUCCCUUCUUUAGACCGUUUGUAGAACAUAGUAUGAUCGGCUUGCCCUUAAGAAUAACCAUAGUUCUUCAAGACUUUCCAAAUCGAUCGAACCAAGCCCUAGGGGACUGUUUAAGGCCAUAGAGAGACCUUUUUAACCGACAAACUCUUCCAGCAGGUCCUUUUUCUUCAAAACCAGGCGGCAUAUCCAUGUAAACUUCCUCUUCCAAUUCUCCAUUCAAGAAUGCAUUCUUGAUAUCAAGUUGGUUGAGAGGCCAAUCUAAAUUUGCAGCAAGAGAGAGAAGGAUCCUUACAGUAUUAAGCUUUGCCACUGGAGCAAAAGUUUCUAGAUAGUCCACCCCAUAGGUUUGUGUGAAACCUUUCGCCACGAGUCUUGCUUUAUACCUGUCCACACUUCCAUCAACCUUAAAUUUGACUGUAAAUACCCACUUGCACCCCACAGUCCUCUUGUCUUUAGGUCUUGGUACAAGCUUCCAUGUGUUAUUCUUUAUUAAGGCUGCCAUUUCUUCUUAAACAGUUUUCUUCCACUCAUUUGACUCUAGGGCUUCAUGGAUGUUUCUUGGAAUAGUGGUAUUAGAUAGACUGGCCACAAAAUUCCUAUACUCCUUAGAUAGAUUUGCAUAUGACAAGAACUUGUUGAUAGGAUGUUUAGUGCAAUUUCUUACCCCUUUCCUUAUCGCAAUAGGCAAAUCUGUGGACUUCUGAGCUUCGUUCUCAGCAUAUUCAGUAGGUGGGUUUUGAUCCUCCCUUAGUUCAGAUCUCGGUUCUGCUUGGUCUAUAAGUGGCUGUACCUCUUGAGUUUUAUUCUUCUUUCGUGAAUAGACAUGAAACUCGCCUAUAGGUUCCUCCAAAUGUGAAUUGGUUUUUAUUCCUUCAUUCCUUGGUGACACUAUUGGUUGAUUAAGUUCUAUGGUGUUAGGUAGGUUAGGAUGAAUGUCUGGACUGAGGAAGGAGGUAUUUGGUAGAUUGAGUUCUAGGCUGGAAUUACUGGACAUAUUAGGUUCUAGGCUGGAACAUCUGGACAUAUUGGGUUCUAGGCUGGAACUACUGGACAUAUUGGGUUCUAGGCUGAAAUUACUAGGCAUCUUAGGUUCUAAAAUGCCAAGAAGAUCCCAGGAAUUAUCUUCUCUCAAAUUCUGCCCCUGAAGAGAAUUACUCGUGUAAAAAGGCUGAUUUCAAAGAACUUGACAUCCAUUGUGACGAAUAAUUUUUUGGUAAGAGGAUUAUAACACUUGAACCCUUUCUUGGUAGGAGAAUAUCCUAGAAAUAGGCACUUGAUGGCUCUAGGAGACAACUUUGUUCUUUGAAGACUCGGAAGAUAUACAAAGGCUGUACAACCAAAAGUUUUGAGUGCAAAAUUAGAGGUAACAAGGUGAUUUUGUGGGUAGCUGUCAAGAAAAACAAAAAUAGGUGUCUUGAAUUUAAGAACUCGAGAGGGCAUACGAUUUAUGAGAUAAGAUGCUGUAAGAAUGGCCUCUCCCCAAUAUAUUUUUGGUACAUUAGUUGUGAACAUAAUGACCCUAGCAACCUCUAAAAGGUGUCUGUUUUACGUUCUGCAACCCCAUUUUGUUGUGGUGUUUCGGAACAAGAACUUUGGUGGACAAUUCCUUGUUGUGAUAGGUAAUUCCCUAAAAUAGAAUUGAAAUACUCAGUUCCAUUAUCUGUACGGAGUACACGAUUUUCAGUUUGAAACUGAGUUUUUACCAUGACAUGGAAUUGUUUAAAAGUUUGUCCAGCUUCAGAUUUUUCCUUCAAAAGGUACACCCAAGUGGUCCUAGAGUGGUCAUCUAUGAAUGUUAUGAACCAUUUUGCUUUUGACAGGUUGUUAACCCUUGAGGGGCCCCAAAUAUCACUAUGAAUCAAAGAGAAAGGCUGGGAUGGUUUAUAAGUACGGGUAGGAAAUGAAACACGUGUUUGUUUAGCCAUUUAACAAAAGUCACAAUAUAAUAAACUCAAAUUUUGAUUUUUAAAUAAGGAAGGAAACAAGGUUUUUAGAUAUGGAAAGCUAGGGUGGCCUAACCUAUAGUGCCACAACAUUAUUUCAGAAGAAACAAAUUCACAUUGAGAGACCUGAGCAUGUCCUUUCACGAGUCUUUUAUUCUCGAGAUAGUACAGUCCCUCAUAUUCCUUUGCAUUCCUAGUCAUCCUCCCCAAGAUUGGAUCCUGAAAUAGACAUUUAGAACCACAGAAUUUAGCUACACAGUUUGUGUCUUUAGUAAGUUUACUAACUGAAAGAAGAUUGCAUUUAAGAUUUGGGACAUGUAAAACUGAAAAAGAGUCAAACAAUUUGAUAGUUUUACUGUUCCUUUUCCAGCAACAGUGGAUAAUGAUCCAUCAGCAAUCCUCACUUUAUAAUUACCUGGACAUGGAGUGUAACUAGAGAAAAAUUGAGAAGACCCUGUCAUAUGGUCUGAGGUCCCUGAAUCAACAAUCCAAGAACCUUUUUCAAGGGAUUGGAUGCUAAGGGCUGAUGGGUUACCUGUAUGGACUGCAUUACAACUAGAGGAGGUCAAGUCAUUUUUAUUUGCUUGCUGAUUUUGUAUAAGGAGCUGUUGCAGCAUCUCAAAUUGAUCUUUUGCGAGGGCAAACUGAUUAGUUUUCUCUGUCACCAUUCCCUUUGCUUCUUGCUGCCGUUUUGGUUUCCAAUCUGCUGGCUUUCCAUGAAGCCUCCAGCAUGAGUCUCGAGUAUGCCCUUUCUUGUGACAAUAGUCGCAAUAGGGACGUUCUCCAUGUUUUUGUCCCUUUUGGUUAGCUGACUGAUCUGUCUUUUUGGUCACCAGCGCUGAUCUCUCCGCCUCAGGUUCCUUCACCAGUCCCAUCAUGACUCUCUUUCGACUUUCUUCACGCCCCACCUCAACAAAAGCUUCUCGGAUGGAGGGUAGAGGAUUCUUUCCUAAUAUUCUGCCACGAACUUCAUCAAGUUCUUUGUUGAGUCCAUAAAGGAAAUCAAAGAGACGUUCUUUAUCCAACAUCCUCUUAUUUUGAUGGCAUCCUCAGAGCAAUGCCAUUGCGAUUCAUAGUAAAGGUCAAGUUCAUGCCAUAUAUUGUUUAGAGAAUUGAAAUAUUGAGUCACUGAAAGACUCCCUUGCUUUUGGUCACGUAAUUGUGACUUGAUUUCAAAGAGCUGAGCUGCAUUCCCCAGGUCAGAGUAAGUUUCUGUCACGGCUUCCCAAAGCUCCUUCGCAGAUGGUAGGAAGAGAUAAGUCCUACCAAUAUCCACGUCCAUCGAGUUGAUCAACCAAGUUUGCACCAUUGAAUUUUCAGCAUCCCACUGUGGAUAACCUGGAUCCAAGACAUCAGGGGCUUUGGUUUCCCCUGUAAUAUACCCUAAUCGGCCUUUGCCACGAAGAAAUAGGGUGACAGAUUGAGACCAUUGCAAAAAGUUUCUGCCAUUUAACUUGUGCAAAGUUAUUUGCAAAGAGGGGUUUUCGGUACCUAAGGAGACCGAAGAGAUGUCCUGCCUUGUUACAGAACUGGAGGAAAUCUCAGAUUCUUGUGUAGGGUUUGUUGUCUUCUCCAUUGGAUGGGUUGAGAGUUUAGAAUGAGAAAAAAAUUCAGAGGCUUAGUUUAAAAGAGUUGCUCUGAUACCAUGUGAAAAAUCAGACUUCUUCACUUGUAUUACAUUAGAGAAGAAUACAUAUUUAUAUACAUUACACCCUAGGAAUAAAAUGGUAAAAGAAAAAAAAGCUAAGAUAUUGCAAAUCAAUAUCCCUGAAAAUUAGGGAUUAUAUAUCCUAAAAUCUAGUAUUUAAGUCAACACAUAGCUGUAAAAUACAGCUAACAUCUACAACAAUAGUCAACACACAGCUGUAAAAUACAGCUGACAUCUGCAACAAAGAUAAUUGUGGUGAUGAUGAUGAUGUUGAUGGAGAAGAUGAAAUUGACAUGAUUGAUGAUGAAGUAACGAAGAAUUUGUAAAACACACACACACACACACACAGAGAGAGAGAGAGAGAGAGAGAGAGAGAGAGAGAGAGAGAGAGAGAGAGAGAGGAGAAGAGGAUAAAAAAAAAGAUAGAGAAAAACAGGAGAGAAAAUAAUAACAAAAACAAAAGAGGAAAAUAAUUAUUAUUGUUAUUAUUAUUAUUAACAAUAACUUUCUUAAUAACCAUAAUCAUAUAAUAGAUAAUAAAAAUAGAAGGUAAUAAUAACUAAGGGUAUUUUAAUAAUUUAAAUAAUUUAUUGUAAUUUCAAGGUAAAGUAAAUAUAUUAAUGAUAAUACAGUUUAUUUUAAUUUUGAUUCUUAUAAUUGAAGUAAAUAAUUUAUUUUAAUUUUUAUUUCACAUUUUAAUUUUAUUCUAUUCUGAAUUAGUAAACGCAUCAUAAAAUCAUGUGAUUCUACUCUAUAUGUGAGAUUGAUUUUUUUCUUUAAGGCCUACGACAUCCCAAUACAAGUCUAUAUAGGACCAAGCUACUAAGUGGACGGUCAUAAAAACUUAAAAAGGCAUAAAAUUGGAUGGCCGUCUAAUUAAUUUCCCGUGACCUACAACAAAAAUUUAAGAAGGAACUCCGAUACCAUCAAUUCUGCAUUUUAAUUUGAAGUUGGAAAACAGUGAAAACAGAAGGAUCGGGUGAUUUAAUUUUAUACAUAUUUAAUCAAGUAAAAAUGGCACGUGCGUUGUAAUUUGCCCAGUUAUCUUACUUUGAAUAAUAACAAAGUUCAAAUUUUGUAUUCAGUGAAAAAUCAAUUCUAUAGUGAAAAACACUAGCUAGAAAAAAAUCUAUGUCCUGAUGUCUUAGUUUAUAAGCUCAAACAAUGAAUAGUAUACAUACAACGCAUGAUAGAACACAAACUCAUAUAGAUUUUUAGUUUUGAAAUUCAUUUCAGAAAAUCUGUUCUGUUCAACAGGUUAUAGAUUAUCAACUAAACUCUGCCCACAUUCUUAGCUCUGCCAUUGGAAGUACGCAACUCAGCUGCCCAUCGACCGCCAAGCCAUCAAGACAAUACCAAGAUACAACAUCAAUAAUAAUAACAUCAAGAAUUACAUAGAGGCCGUCGCACGUUACACCCACUCCAACAGGAAACUAAUUAAUACCCUCCAAGCUCCUCUGUUUCAAAUCCAAAUCCACUGCUCGACCAUUUACUAUGACGUAAGGUAUAUGGAUUAAUUAACAAGUGCCGAUAUUGUCCUCCAUCCUUUUGUGUACCUUUCUUCUGGCAAGGCCUUUUCUGGAAAGUAUUUGAGCUCCAGACAAUUGCAGAAUUUCAAUUUGCUGAGGUUUUGAUGAUCAGCAAUUGAAGAAGACAGGUGUUAAUAAUUAUGAAGAACUGGUGUAAUUUAUAUCAUGUAGGAAGCCCUUCAGUUACUUUUUUGACCGUGCUCAAGCUCUUUUAAGGGCUAAUAUUAAAAUUUCGUGAUAUUGUGCCAAAAGAGCUUCGUACGUCAUUGUAAACUGUUCAUCGUUAUGUGCUGCUUCCCCAUUUAAUUACAUUUAUUUAACAUUUUAAAGAUGGAAGUAGAAAUUAAAACUCAGUUUUUCAGAUAUGGCUCAUAUACAAUGCAAGUAUCAAGAUUUAAUUAGAGUUCAAUAUACAUGCGUCUAGUUUUUAUUGAGAGAAACAAAUCAUAAAUACUCAGGUGUUUCUAAAUGAUUGAAUAACGAUAUUAUUGUUAUUUAUAAAUUUAUAAGGAUAAAUAACUAAUAGUCCACCAUAAAUACCGAAAAGGGUCCCCAGCAUAACUUGAACAACUUUACUUGUGUUUGCUCAUUGAAUAAUGUUAUAAGAAAGAAAUACAUAUGUCAGAAGAUUCAUAGUAUAUUGGAGUGUUUUUUGUACUUGAAUGAGAAUGAAUGAAGGUAUGUUAAUUUACUUUAAAUAAUUGUCUAAAAGGAAUAGAAAUGCUCUAUAACAUACCAAAUACUACCUUAAUCAAAAUUUAUUUGACAAAAAUUUUUAAAAAAUGGAAUAAUUAACCCUAAUUAAAUAAUUGUCUUAUAUCACCAAACUCUUUUUUUUUUAAUUAAGCCAUCACCAAACUCUGUAAAGCAUAAAAUAUAAUAGGCAAAUUUGAGUUAAAAAAAAAUGAAGUUAGGAAAAUGACUUGCAUAUUGUCUUUGAUGAGCGCAUAAUUUUCUUUUAAAAAAAAUGUUGAAAUGAACUCAAACUCGUUAGUGCAACUUGUCGGUUUUAAGUUGUAGAUACGAGUGACAUGUCAUUUUAGCUGAACUAGAUUCCAGAGCUCACAUUUGGGCAGUGUCAUCCAAGAACAUUAAAACUCACGUGACUAUUGCACGCAUGGUUUAAGCUGAAAUGACGUUGCUAGCAGUCGUUUAAGGAAGGCCUUUAAGUGUCACAUGAGUUGCUCGUGAUAGGAGGUUAAAAGCUGUUGGUUUUGGAGGGAAACCCCUGAAGCUGUUACGCCUGCAUCUUCUGGUAUAUAAACGAGCUGGUUCUGGUGUCAUAGUCAGUAAUCAAGGAAAGAGAGAUAAAGCAUCUGUACUGAGAGAAAAUCUUGACAGGGUGGUCUCUGUAUUGUGUAUAAUUUCUCUAUAACCUUGGAAGCUUAAUAAAACUGCUCUCUGUGUUGGUUUUCUCCAGUGGAUGUAGGCACCCUUCAACAGGUGCUGAACCACUUAAGCUCGGUGUGUUCUUUGUCUUUGGGUUAUGAUCUUUGAUCUGUGCAUUGUUCUUUGUUAACGUAAGAUUAGUUCUUGAAUCUUUGAGUCAGAGUUGGGUCUUGGGGUAAGGUUAAUCUAGUAACUAAAGGUUAAUUUCACAACAAUUGGUAUCAGAGCUCUAAACUCUGAUUUCAAGGUUCAAGAAUGGGUUCAAAAGUGGAUCUUGAGAAGUUUACGGGGCAGAAUGAUUUCAAUAUGUGGAAGAUCAAGAUGGAGGCUUUGUUGAUUACUCAAGAGCUGGGAGAAGCCAUAGAUCCAGUCACUAAGAUUGAAGAAGGUGAGGCUUCAUCAUCUAAGAUCCCAGAACAGGUAGCAGAGAUAGACAAGAAAGCCAGGAGCACAAUCAUACUAAGUCUUGGUGACUCUGUAAUUCGAGAAGUGGCCAAGGAAAGGACUGUUGCUGGUUUAUGGGCUAAGUUGGAGAACUUGUAUAUGACAAAGUCUUUGGCAAAUAGACUUUACAUUAAGAAGAAGAUGUUCUCACUGAAGAUGAUUGAAGGGGCAUCAUUAACAGAACAUGUUGAUGAAUUCAAUAAGGUUUGUGAUGAACUGGAGACUAUAGAUGAAGGGCUGAGUGAUGAGAGCAAAGCCUUGCUACUAAUCAGCUCUUUACCAAAGUCUUACGAGCACUUUGUGGAUGCACUGCUGUAUGAGAGGCAAACACUCUCCCUAGAAGAGGUUAAAUCUGCUCUUGGCACAAAGAAGCUGAAAGAUAAGCAAGAUAAUCCAGAAAGUGAAUCAAGUGAGGGAUUGAUGGCAAGAGGCAGGUCUGAGAAAAGAGAUAACAAUGAAAAAAGCAAGGCAGAUCAAAGUCUAAACAAAAGAAUUUGAAGUGUUUUCAUUGCCAUAAAGAAGGGCAUUUCAAGAGAGAUUGCCCUGAAAGAAAGAACAAGAAUAAAGAAACCAAAGAAAGAACAGGUAAUGCAGCCAUAGCCACAGAAGAAGAAUGUAACUUUGAAACAGCCGGAGUACUCAUUGCCACAAGUCAGAAACCUCAAGGUCAGUGGGUCCUUAACUCAGGUUGUACCUUUCAUAUGUGUCCAAAUAGGAGUUAUUUUACAACAUAUCAGCCAUGUGAUGGGGGUAUGGUUCUAAUGGGUAAUAACUCAAUGUGUAAGGUAGCUGGUAUUGGGACUGUUAGCCUUAGGAUGUUUGAUGGGGUGAUAAGGGAAUUGACACAAGUGAGAUUUGUCCCUGAUCUAAAAAGGAACUUAAUCUCAAUUGGCAUGCUAGAUCAAACAGGUUGUGUAAUUAAGGCUGAGAAAUGUGUAUUGAGGGUAAUUAAAGGAUCAAUGGUGAUCAUGAAAGGCAUAAAACAAAAUGGUCUAUAUGUGAUGGAUGGACAUACUGUUGUUGGGGAGGCAAGUGUGACUGACAGUAAAUGGAACAGAUCAAUGAUGUGGCAUUUAAGGAUGGGGCAUAUGAGUGAAAGAGGUUUGAGAGAGUUACAAAAACAAGGAGUGUUUGGGGAUGAUCAAAUAGGAGCUUUGGGGUUCUGUGAGGAUUGUAUUCUAGGAAAAUCCUCCAGGUUAAGGUUUGAGAUUGCAGCUCAUACCACCAAAGAGAAGCUUGAAUACAUACACUCUGAUUUGUGGGGGCCUGUACAAGUAAACUCACUAGGUGGAUGUAGAUAUUUUCUGACUUUUAUAGAUGAUUUUUCAAGGAUGGUUUGGGUCUUUGCACUCAAAAGCAAAGAUGAGGUUCUGGAAAAAUUCAAAAACUGGAAAACUUUUGUUGAGAACCAGACUGGUCUGAAGGUGAAAACUCUGAGGACAGACAAUGGCUUGGAGUAUUGCAACAAGCUGUUUGAAGAAUUCUGUGAAAAGAAUGGUAUUCAGAGGCACAAAACUGUCACCUACACCCCUUAACAGAAUGGCCUUGCUGAGAGGAUGAAUAGGACUCUGGUGGAGAAGGUGAGAUGCAUGUUAAUCUAUUCUAAGCUCCCAAAAACCCUUUGGGCAGAAGCUUUAAACACAGCAUGCUAUCUAGUCAACAGGAGCCCAUCAACUGCUAUAGAUUGUAAAACACCAAUGGAGCUUUGGUCAGGAAGAAGGGCUGACUAUACAAAACUCUGAAUCUUUGGGUGCACAACAUAUGCUCAUGUGAAGUAGGGUAAGCUGGAACCAAGGGCAUUAAAAUGCAGAUUUCUGGGGUAUCCGGAUGGGGUCAAGGGCUAUAGAUUAUAGUGUGUUGACACAAAACCACCACAGUGCAUCAUAAGCAGGGAUGUAAAAUUCCAUGAAGAAGAGCUAUUGAAUAAACCAAAGAGCUCAGAUAACAAUAUGGAAUCAAGCACUGAGACUGAUAUAGUGAAGUUUCAGGUGGAGCCUCAAAACUUGAAAGAACUUGAGCCUGAAAUUGAAGGUACUGAAGCAGAACCUGAAGCUGGUGUUGAACAUGAAUCAGCUGAAAGUGAAGAGAACACCUAUCAGUUGGCUAGAGACAGAAAGAAAAGGACAAUAAAGCCACCUAAAAGAUAUGCAGUAGUUGACUUGAUUGCAUAUGCUUUGAAUGUUGCUCAAGAGCUGAAUGAUGAUGAACCUAGGACCUAUCAAGAAGCUAUCACAGGCAAAAACAAGCUGGAAUGGAAGAGGGCAAUGGAUGAAGAGAUGACAUCCCUGAUUAAAAACAAGACCUGGACAUUGAUUGAAAAACCAGACAAGAGGAAAACAGCAAGCUGCAAAUGGAUCUUCAAAAUUAAAAAUGGUGUACCUGGAGCUGAACCUAGAAGAUUUAAAGCUAGAUUGGUGGCAAGGGGUUUUACACAGAAGGAGGGAAUUGACUUCACUGAAGUAUUUUCUCCUGUGGUGAGACAUGCUUCCAUCAGAGUUAUUCUUGCACUUGUGGCUGUGCAAGAUAUGCAUCUUGAGCAGAUGGAUGUAAAAACAACAUUUCUGCAUGGUGAGUUACAAAAAGAAAUUGUAAUGCAGCAGCCUGAAGGAUAUGUAGCAUCUGGAAAAGAAGACUAUGUUUGCUUACUUAAGAAGUCUCUGUAUGGGUUGAAGCAGUCACAUAGGCAAUGGUAUCUGAGUUUCAGAUAUUUUUGACAUGUCGGUUUAUAACCUUGAUUGUGCAUGCCCUGUCGGUUGCGUGAUGAAACAGGAGAAUAUUGACAUCUGUGUAUUAUCGUUUACUUCCUGCAAUUAAAUCACAUGUUGUUCAUUCCAUUUACACUAUACGGCACAUUUGGCAGUUGUUUUGGUCACUUAUUGAAGCACGGGUUAAGUACUUGAUUCAAGGUUGUUAACUGACCUUUACAAGGCGGGAAAAUUCUGGGUUUGUUAUAACAAACCCCGGAAUGCAGCUAGUGAGUGGGGACUUUUCUAGACUCUUCAUGAUAUGUAUAUAUAGUCUUAGAGGCUAUAGUUGAGACAUAUGAAAAGCUUCUUAAUGUUUGUAGUUUGAUCUCGGUGAUGGAGAUAAGAUUGCUGCCCUGUUCUUCAGUGGAUAUAGGCUAUCUCCAAGCCGAACCACUUAAAUUGUGCCUCUGUUUUGCUUGAUGACUACCAGUGGUGAGAAAACACCUACAGAACAAAUCAAGCUUGAUGACUCAAAUAUUAGGGAAGCCAUAGUCAAGGUAUCUGGUUUAUGCAUCAACAGUGGUUCGUGGACUAGAAUUCCUAUCUAUUGUCGCUUCACAAUUGCACUGGAAGAAAGCGAAUUUGAUCGAGCUUUGGAUCGCAUAGCUAAAUUCAAAAGCAUCGUACAAAUAGUUAACUAAAAGACGGUAUUGUCAUUUGUCAUGAUUUAUUUCUAUUGCCUGAUGAUGAUACCCAUCACGCCUUAGUUGUCGUGAAUAAAUCUAAAAUCAAAUUGAACUGGUUUUUACUGGUUAGCAACAAUUGUGACGUUUUGAGAUUAUAAUAUAUGACAACACUGAUUAGUGUUGUCUCCCAUGUGAAUUGAGACAAAAAUUAUUUUCCCAAUUGCGCUUUCAUUUGAACAAUUCCACUGUAGAUUUAUAAAAUAAUGAUCAAAUUGUGUUUUAUAUUAAGUUACGAGUAAUUGGUUAAACAUUAAUACAAAACUAUUUUAAGUAACAUGUGGCAUAUUCUAAUUCUAGCCAAGCUUCCAACUAAGAUUCCCAAAUCAAAAGAAUUUCAAUCUUCAGAACAUUCUGCAAAACGUUUAGUCUCUACGCAGUGCUAGAAUUUUCCCUAAGUUUCUAUUGCAAAGACUUCUAAAGAACUAUUCAGAUAUCGAGCUAUAAUCCAGUCUAAAGUGCAUAUAUCUCUCUAAUUCACCUCCCUCCAUUUCACCAGAAAAUCAAUAAACACUUAGCUUCAAACAAACACUCUCAAAAAGCUAGCUAGCUAUCCAGAUGGAAAAACCAAGAAUUCUUGCAAUGACAAUGUUGUUUCUUGUUAUGGCAGCAACAUUGAUAAACAUGGCAUCACAAGCAAUAGCUCUGAUGCCGUACACACAAUCACCUUUCUUUGACAUGAUGUUCCCAAUGACGGAAGAGCCUUUCAGGGUUCUUGAACAAACCCCUUUAACAAUCGCAAAAGGAGCUGAUCAUCAUCAAACUCUAGCCCUGGCGAGAGCAGACUGGAUGGAGACACCAACAGCCCACGUGAUCACGCUCGACAUUCCAGGGAUGAAGAAAGAUAAUAUGAAGAUUGAAGUUGAAGAGAACAGAGUACUGAGAGUGAGUGGGGAGAGGAAGAGUAAUGAUUAUUAUAAGGAGGGAGUUGAAGGAGAGAAAUGGCACAAAGCUGAGAGGACAUUUGGCAAGUUUUGGAGGCAGUUUAGGAUGCCAAUGAGUGUUGACUUGGAACAUGUUAAGGCUCACAUGAAAAAUGGGAUUCUGAGGGUCACAGUGCCAAAGCUUGCUGAGGAGAAGAAGAGGCAGCCUAAGGUUAUUAACAUUGAUGAAGAGUCUGGUAAUUCUUCCAAUGAAGAUAUUAAGGCUACCAAGGCUCAAAUGUAAUUAAUUAAAGAAAGAAGUGAUUGCUUUGCUUGAUGUGCUAUUUGUUUAUGAUCUUUUUUUGGUUUUGUUCCGAGAUGUUUCUAUUUGGAUGCUCUAUUUAAUGUAUGUUGAUGGGUUUUUGAGGAAGGCUUGUAUGUAUUGACAACCAUAAAAUACUUUUUAUAAAUCCUAGUCCUACAACACUAAAAGAAAACAAUACGUUUGGUUUAUAGUUAAUAAAAAUAUAUUUUUUUAAAAAAUUCUUUUUCUUUGGCAUAUAGUAUGCGUUUUGAGGGGAAAAAAAUUUAUCCCACUCCUAAUUUGUCAUCUGUGAUAUUAAUGUGUUAGCACGAAGAUUCAUUGUAAUUGCAACAAUUUUGAUGAAUCCAAACGUUCAAUAACUGUUAAAUUGUAUUUUAUAAAUACUAAUAGCGAAGGUACAGAAACGAUUAAUCCAAGAAGUUGCUUAAAGUGCAUUAAAUUAGGGAGUAUAAAUAAUUGUGUGAUACAGUCCAGCCUUUAUCUGCUUAUAAUUAGCAACCAAAAACCAUUUGCAACGCCAUUAAAAAAACAUUUUAACAUUAUUGCUGAGGGAAGAGGCAGCUUAGGCUUAUUAACUCGUAUUAUUAAUGCUGAUGACGCAGCUGGUAAUCCUUUUGGUGAAUAUAAUAAGGUAGCUGAAGCUUAUAAUUAUUUAAGCCCACUAAAGCUUAAAACUAAUUCUUCUAGUGACGAUGCUUUGCUUAGUUUGCUUUUUGUUUUUAAUUUUUUUGGGGCUAACAUUUUGCUUAUUUUGCUUUUAAAAUUCUAUUCGCGUUGCUGUGAAAUAUUGUUUGUCCUUCCAUUUUCUGUUUUUGUUGUUAUCGGAUUUGAUGAUGGUUUAUAUGUACGAAGAUUAUGUAAUAAAGUCUUUUUCUUUGGCCUUUAUUAUGCAUUUUAAUACGAAAAAAAAUUAUCCCACUCCAAUUCAUGAAGAUAUUCUCAUUUCUGUCAUAUUGAUGUGUUAAUAUAAAGAUCCAUUGCAGUUGGUGAAUUCAAAUAUUCAGUAACUGAUGAAAUUGUAUUUAUAAAUUCAUAGUAAUAGCAAUUGAAGAUUAUAAUUAAUUUUGUAAUAUGGUCAAGCCCUCGUGUGUUUAAUUAGCACUCAAAAACCACUUUACAAUAGUCAUUAAAAGAACAUUAUAACGUCAUUACUGAUGAGUUCUGGUGAAGAUAUUAAGUUAAGGCCACAAAAAUCGAAAUGUACGUGGCUUCGUUUGUUUUUUGUUUUGAUUUUUUUUGGGGGCAAAUGCUUGGCUUCGUUUUUGAUAUUUUAUUGGCUUUAUUGUGUGGCAUGUUCUUGUUUUCUUUUGAUUUUCUGUUUUUGUUUGUUAUGGGAUUUGAUGACGAUGUACAUGUACGAAGAUUAUGUAAUAAAAUGCUUUUGAUAAAUUGUGGUCGGUUUAGUAUUAAUUAACCAAAUUUAAUUUACUUGAUCAAUUGAUAUUUGUUAGUAUUGUUGUUAUACAAGCACAACAAAAGAAGAACACUAACGUACUAAUUAAUUACUAAUAAGAACAUUAACAAUUUUUGCCGAAGUCUGAUGAAGAGAAAUAUUACACAUACGUAACGGUACCGCGGAAGGAAAAAAUAAAAGAAACUGAAGUUUAUUUCAACAGCUACUCUUUCUUUACCUAAAUCCUGCACCUCUCAUACUACCAACAAGAUCGAAAACCUUAUCGAAUACUCCUACAUCCCAGACUCUGCCCAAAUCAGUGAAUCCACAUACCUCCAAUACAGUACCCCGUUGCUAAAAUAAAGCGAGCGUCUUACUCUACCUAACAUUUUUCUUUUUAUUAAUUUAAAACAGUUUUCAACUGAGAUUGGAAUUUUAAAAUUACGUACACAAACAUACCUGAUUUUAAAGAAAAAAAAUUCUAAUAAUAAAAUAUUUUACAUAUGUAACCAUACGGCGGAAGAACAAAUAUAAGAAACUGAAGUUUCAACAGCUGAGAAUGAGAUAAGCAUAAGAAAUUAAUUCAUUAAUUAAUUAAUAGAGUCCUCCUCCUUUGCUAAAUAAUGCGAGCCCAUUGUUCUUUUUAUUUCGAAAACCCAUUAAUCACCAACACAUAAUAUACGCCCAAUUUAAAAAAAAGAAACUAAUAAUAAAAUAUUUCAGUCCCUCUGUUGAGUCGUCCUCUGUGGAGUCGUCAUCAAAAACCCAUUUACUAGCUAUUUCAACAUAAGGUAAAUGGGUUAACAAGGCCCAAUAUUGUCCUCCAUCCUCUCUGCACUUCUCUUCUAUCAACGGACAAUCAUAGAUACUUAAUUUCAAAAGUGAGGAAGGCAGGCCCUUCUCCGGAAAGUAUUUGAGCUUGGGACAAUUCUUGAGAUACAAUGAAGUGAGGUUUUGAAGAUCAACAAUUGAAGAAGAUAGGCGUUCCAAAUUUGGAAAAUUGUAAAUCUCCAGAGACGUUAGAGAGGCAAGAAGAGGAAGCGCAGCCCCUAAUCUUUUGUCCUCUAGUGGAAUUGACACCAUGUCGUCAUCGCAUUCGCUGAUUUUAAAAUGUCGCAGAGAGGAGAAUCUGUGAAAUCCCCGGCCCCGCUCAAUCAUUGACUUCCAAAUCUCCAUAUUACCCCUGAUAUCAAGUGAAUGAAGGUUGGUGGGAAGGCCAUCUUCUUCAAGGCUUGGAAGCUCAACUCCUCUUCCUAUUGUUAAUUCUUGAAGAGAGGUCAGAUUGUGCAAUCCCUUGGGUAAGGCCUCUAGUCCCUUGCACCAACUGAUAUUGAACUUUAUUAGUUUCGCACAAGGCAAUCCCCCUUCGGGAAAGGACACCAGAUUUUUACAUUCCCAUAUUUCGAUCUCUUGAAGCUGGCGGAGAUUAUGUAAACCACUCGGUAAAAUCUUUAGAUUUUUACAAAAAUCAAUUCUGAUUAUUUCAAGCGAUGUGUUGUUGUCCAACCUUUCUGCUAUUGACUCCAGCUUUGAACAACUAAGAACUUCAAGGGACUUAAGAGACGGAGGUAGAUUGCCAACUUCAAGGGACUCAAGCGUGGCAGGUAACUCGUUUUUUGAAAAUAUACAUGUCAGAGAUGGACAUUCGCUAAUAUGCAAGCCCUCGAGAAGAGAUGAGGUGUACCUUCUGCUGCUGCUGCUGCUGCUACUCUGGAUGCCCUCUUCCACUGUCAAAGUCCUUAGAUUAUCACAAUUAUGGAUGUACAACAUCUUAAGGCUCGGUGGUAGCUGGACUCCAGCAAUAUAUGUCAACGAACGGCAACUCAAAAUCUCCAAGAUCUCGAGAGAUGAAUUGGUGUCGCACAUCCAUGCCUCUGGUAACAAUUUCAGUGCAUCACAAGAACUAAUAUGAAUUGUCUUCAACUUGGAAGGCAGAGCAACCUCAGGAAAGGAAACAAGGGAACUGCAUUGGUAGAUUUCUAUCUCUCUCAAGGAGCUAAGGCUGAGCGAUGAUUGUGGCAGCUUCACAAGGUCUUGGCAAUCUCUCAAUUCUAUAUAUUCGAGUCUGCAUGACAACUCGCAGAGCUGCUGUUGUUGGUCUUUCUCUUCCUCCGCCACCAAGGAUUGAAGUUUGGGACAGCUGCCAAUCGUCAAUCUUUUGAGAGAGCAAAUGUCUUGUAGUAAUCCAUCAUGACUCUUCCAUAUAUAUGUUUGCUCUUUUGUCGACAAAAUUAAUUCUUCCAAUUUCUGUAGUUGUGGUUUCAAUGGCCCCACAAGAAACACUUGAUUUGAUGCAUCUCUACAAACCACUGAAUUCUGUGAUCCGAGAUGACCAGUUGCACUUUCCCACACAACCUUUUUGCAUCCACCAAUUUCCAAUUUGCAAAGAGCUGGAAGACUCGAAACUGAAACUAACAAUUCUUCACAUCCUUCAAUAACAAGCAUCUCCAAUGCAGGAAGGUGCUCUGGAAAUGUUCCUUUCAGUUUAGAACAUUUUAAAAUGUGAAGUUCUCUCAAUUUAGGAAACCCUUCAACUCCUUGACUGGAUCCAUGAGGAAUCCAAUCUUCCCAUUCUUGCAUGUUUUCAAAAAGAAGAGUCUUCAAGCAUGGAAAUGGAAUUGGAGAAACAUUCCCAUAGAACUCUGAACCCAACCUCUUUACUCUGCUCAUUCCACAUACUACAAGAUGCUUUAAAGAGGGUAGUUGCCCGACUGACGGCAGGGCAGUACACAUGUCACAAUUUUUAAAUUUUAGGGUCACCAAAUUUGAGAAUGAGGAAUCUCCCAACCAAGUUGGAAAUUUCAUACCUCCAUAGCCUUUGAUACAAAAUUGCUCCAGAUUUGUAUGAGGUUUCAGCAUGUCAAGCAUGCCCAUUUCAGUUUCUGCCUCCCUUGAAGAAGAACCAUCGGUACUGCAAGUCCAUUUAAGCGAUAAUUCUUUCAGAUUCUUCUUUCCAUCCAUUUGAGCUACCAUGGCAUCACCAACGCAUUUUGCAUUCUCCAAUUUUGAAAUGUUAAGUGUCCCAUGAAGGUGCGUCAACAACUUUAGCUCUCGUAACCCGGAACCACUGCCUUUUCCCACAACAAAAUUACACAACGUCUGAAGACUAGUCAACCUACCAAUUCCUAGUGGCAUUUCCUCCAACGACUUCGUAUUUGAAUUCUUAAGAUGAUGCAAUUUGGCGAGGUUUCCCAUGUCUGCACACAACUUCUUCAGCCGAUCACAAUCUUCCAACAAAAGGCUAUGCAAAUUGUAAAGCUUGUUGACUGAGUCAGGCAGAGUUCUAAUCUCAGUUCCAGACAGGUUAAGGUACCUUAAAUACCUCAAAUCACCAACUGAAUCCGGUAGCUCGAAGAUGUGGUAUCCACGCAGAGAGAACGCCCUCAAGCGUUGGGGUUUGAGCAACUUAGGAAGAAUGCUAGGAGCCAAGUAGCCAGGCCCACUAUUUGUCAACAUUACUGGUAAAAAAGUUCUCAAAUGUUGGAUAUCAUACAAGUCCCCGAACCUUUGAACGCCAUCAUAAUCUCCACGAAUGUAUGAUAGGUGACGAAGAUUUCUGGAAAAACAUUGUUGCUUGUUAACCUCCGAGGUAUACUCCAGUGUGAAGUAUGUCUCCCCUGCAGCCCAACGGGCAAGGUCGUUGAUAAGAUCGUGCAUAACAAAUAGUGAUGCAUCGGUGGCCGAUUGCUGCAAAAAAGAUCUUGAACGUAGCUCCUUAAAGAAAUCACGACCUAAAUCUUCACUAGGAUUCUCAUCUUCUUUGUGAUCCAAAAAACCGGAGGCACACCAUAAUAAAAUUAUCUCCUCCUCUUCAAAUUCAUAAUCCUUUGGAAACAAUGAGCAGUAUGCAAAGCAUUGUUUCAAAGUUGGAGGAAGAUAAUAAUAGCUCACUGCAAGGGCUGGUAUAAUGCCACACCUCUUUUCUGAUAAUUCCCAUAUCUUGCUACAGAGCACACGUUCCCACUCACGUCUGUCAUGUUUUCCACGUAAAAGUCCUCCAAGUGUUUGUGCUGCCAAGGGCAAGCCAUCGCAUUUGGUCACUAUCUUCUUGCCGAUUUCCUCCAAUAACUUAUGUGACCCCAAAGAAUGUUGAGCGAAUACAGCCAGACAAUCAUUAUCUGACAACUUUUUUAAUUGAUAAGAUGGAACAGUACCCAUGAUUUCUGCAACCUCUUGAUUGCGAGUAGUGACAAUAAUUUUACUUCCUGGUGCACCAACUUCAAAUGGACGUCUGAGUUGAACCCAAUCAUCGUAAUUCCGGUUCCACACGUCAUCCAAAACAAGCAAAAAUUUCUUUCCAGACAGUUGCUUACUCAGUUCCUUUUGAAGUGAAUUCAAGCUGGGAUCACCCACGUUCUGGCUAGCAACAAUGGAUGUUAAGAUUGUUUUUGUUAGCCUCUUAACGUCGAAAUCAUCAGAGACACAAGUCCAUGCCUUGAGAUCAAAAUGAUCCUGCACUUGCUUAUCAUUGUAGACAAGCUGAGCAAGAGUGGUUUUGCCCAGCCCGCCCAUACCUAUAAUAGGAAUAACAGAGAAUCCACCAUCGUUGCUUAAAUCAUCCCUCAACAGCAGUUCAACAACAUCCUUCUUUUCUGUUUCCCUGCCAUAUACUUUGGCUUCAUCCACCAAAGAGGUUGUCUCUGGCCUUUGACUGGCUUUUUUGGAUCCCCCAGCUGAACUUUCUUUCAAAUCUAGCAAGUUUUUCUUUGUCACAAUUUCUUGAAAUCUGCUGUCGAUCUCUUUGAUUUUGGACAUCAAGUCAUAAUCGAACUGAGUCGAUUGUGGAGUAAAAAUGGUGAAGCAAGUAUGAAUGAACUUCCGAAGCUUACUUGGUCUCGUAUGACUGCUACUGGGUUGAUCAUGAGCAGCAGCUGGUUCUCCAUUUCCAAGCGGCAACCUCCUCCGGAAAGCCUCGGUUUGAAACUCAUCCAACAAGUCUUCAACAUCAUAAGCCAAGUUCUGAAGCUCGCCAAGCCACAAAUUCACAGACGGAGCCGUCCUCCUCUUCUCCUCAGCAUCAUCAAGCACUGCCUUGAUCAUCUCCAACAUAUUCGCCCACCUCAUCAGAUCGGCCUCGAUCUCCUUUUGGCGUGCAAAAAACAGAACCCCCUCUGAAGCUAACUUAUUGACCAGCAAAUCAACGGACGCCGUAAGGAUUGCCUCUCCGAUCAUUGACAUUUUUUUUUCCUUUUUUGGGGCAAAGGAAGAAAGGAGCAGAAUUAUGCGUUAUGGAAAGCAGAAUGAGAAAUUUGAACGGGUGAGAAAAUGGAUAAUUAAGCAGAAUGAGUUUGUGAUUGUGAAGGGUCUGGCCCAACAAGCUUAGUAGAAAUCACGCGUUUAUACUUUAUUGACCAAUGACUAAUAAUUUGCCAAUUCACUCAUCACCACCACUUGGUGAGCAAAAUGAAAAUGCUUAGUAAUUAAACGUGGCAAGUCUCCCCACUUGUUGUUCCUUGCAGCUAAGAAAAGAAAAAACAGAGCCGUAAUUAAUGACAGAAUUUUAAAAAUAAUAAUAAGAGAAAAACCUACACAUUUUCGACUUAGAGUGGAACCGUAAUUAAUGCUAAAAUUUACUCAGCUAAAAUUUUCAAAAUAUUGUUCUUUAUAAUUUUCAAAACCGUAAUUAAGGUUCAUCUCAAAUGUUUGAAGAGACUCUAUCAAUUCUUCUGCGCUAAGAAUAUUAAAAUUCUUAUUUUUUCUUCAAACGUUGAAUAAUGAAAAAAAAUGUUAAAUAUGGAGAAAAAUAGAAUGCAUCCAUCUUUGCUGUAGAAGUCUUCUACUUAUAAAAGCAAGUUAGAAUAAACGAUUUUAAUCUCUCUUUUUAUUCCUGUAAGUGCACUACAUUUUUUUUGUUUUAAUCUCAAUGUGAAGUCGUAUCAUAAUGUUAUGUUAAUGUUAUAUUCUUGUUGGAAAAUGAAAUUUUAGAUAAAACAAAUUCGACUCAUUUGUUGAAGGUAUAUAUUUAGUAGGUUGCUAACAUAAAGUAAAUGAACUAAAAGACAAUACUACCAGCGAUAAUUUAGCAAGUUUCGCAUGCUCGUCUUUCUUGAAAUAUUAUAUGGGAAUGGGAUCAAACAACAGUGAUACAAAGAGAAAAAUGGUAAUCCUCUGAUUGUAUUUUUUUUUUCUUUUUCAAAAGAGAUGGUGGGGUUGGGUUGUUUGCAAAGUUAUUAGUGUGGGUCUAUUUAAAAUGUUAAGAAAUUUUAUGUCCUUUUUUCAAAGUGAAUUUCCAUUUUUCAUUUCUCAUUAAGUAAAACCCACAGCAAAAUUAAAAAGAAAAAACAGAGCCCACUAUAAAUAUAAAAUCGAAGGAGCUCAUAAUUAUACCUUUGCUUUACAUACUAAAUUAAAUAAAAGCCGAACCAAGAAUCUUGCCUUUACUUAACAUGAUUAAUUAGACACUACUUCAGAGAGAAUACGAAAGCAAAGAACCCUUUUGUUAAUCUUAAAUGUUAGGAAAAUAAUUAGCUUGGAAUAAAGCUGCGUUAUUCUCCUCUUACCGUCUCUUCAGGUUCAUUUCAAAAGUUUGAAGAGAUUUUAUCAAUUCUUCUUAUAAAGGCAAGCUAAAUUAAAAGAUUUUAAUCUCUCUUCUUAUUACUAUAAGUGCACUGCUUUUUUUUUAUAAUCAACAAUGUCAAUUUGUAGUGUAAUAUUAUAUUCAUAUUCCUGUUGCGUCGAAAUAAGGUAAAAUGAAAUUUUAAAUCACACAAAUUCGACUCGUUUGUUAAAGGUAUAUAUUUAAUAAGCUAAUAACAUAAUUAACAUAACGCUAUUAUUACACUAAAUGAAAUAAAAGACGGUACCCUCCACCAAUAAUUACAUUAGCAAGCUUCGCAUGCUCGUGUUUCAGGACCUAGACAUUGGCGAAUUAAUCUAGGAUAACGAAACAAUUUCAAAAAGCAAAAUGGAUACUAUACAUUUUCUUUUUUUAAUUGUACAGAAAACGGGACUAAUUUUCAAAUAUUUUUAAAUUCACUUAUUUACAAAAGCUAUACAAAAUGAUUUCCUUUUUAUUUUUGAUGAGCAUAAUUUACAUACAUAUUUUACUAUUUAUUAUAUAAUUACUAGUUAUUUUUAUUUGUUAUUUUAAUUAAUUGAAUUAUUUUAUUUCAUAGGAAAUUAAUUGGAGAUUAUGGAUGAAAAGUGCGUAAAGAAUAACAAUUUGACAGCAUUGAAGAUCAAAUCAAUUUGCGGAAGGAAUUAAGCAAAUGUGCAAGAAAUUCUAUUCGAAGAAACCGAAGCCAAUAAAUUGAAUAUCCAUACUCGUGCAAACAAAGAAGAAGUUUAAAACUAAAGUGGGCAGCACAUUAAAAAAAGCUUUUAAUUAAGUCUUUGAAUGGAAAGUCAAAAUAGAAUAAAGGAAGGAAAUCAAUAGCUUUUGGCUUUUAUUGUUUUCAAUUACGUGGCAGGCUUAGAGCUUUAGCUUGUAAGAGUUGGUUUGGUUAUUAUCACAAUAGGAUUUGGUGGCCAAGCAAUAUAAAAGGGAGUUUUGCUUUUGAAUUAAAGGCUGGACGGAAACAAAAGGGAGGAGAAUUCGGCUUUGAACAGAGAGCAGCGGCAACGGCAAUAUUUCGGCUUCCAUGGCUGAAUUUAUUUCUUUUGUUGCUCACAAUUUAAGUAUGUCUAGCUAAUUUUCUUAUACUGAGGUUAAGGAUGAAACCCUAUUCAAUGAAAUAAUUAUCUUUUUAUUUAUUUAAUUCCCUAUAUAUGUGCUUUAAUGUUUAUGGUUUUUAUUUCACAUGAUUAAUUGGACGUUAUUAAAAUCUUUUCAUCAAUUCUGUCAUGCAUUAUUAAUUGUUAGGAUUAAUAUUCAAUUAAUUCUAUACUUGGAUCUAUAAAGUUUAUACAUGAUUAUCUUUGAUUUUAUGUCUUUCAUUAAAUUAUUUACAUAGAGUGCUUAGGAAAACUUUGACUCUUUGUUAUUUAAUAUGUUUACAUGAGAUGCUUACAUGUCAUACUAUUAAGUAGAAAAAGAACCUACAUUACAUUUAAUUUUAAUUGGGCUUAAUUGUUAUAUUUAUGAGAUGACAUAGAUUGAUUUUGAGUUGUCACUCUAAAAUUAGGGAUUCAUUAAUAUUUGGAUAAUUACAAAUUAAAUAGUGGUGGAUUCCGAAACCUUGAUAAUUUUUAUUUUAUUGAUUUCUCAUUUGCUUUAAUUGUUUUCUUAGUUUAAUAAGUUUAAUUUCUUUUAAAAAUUCAAAUUACUCAACUAAGUUAGGAUUAAUAUUAAUUUUAGAUUUAAAUUAGACUUUUCAAUUUAUAACAAUCCAUGUGGGAUUGACCUCGUUACUACUAUUCUAUUUCUAGAUUCAUGCGCUUGUAAGUAUAUUAAAACUUUCACAACAAUUUUGAAAGGAAUCAAAUAACAGUGAUACAAAGAGCGCAAAGUUGCAAUUCUCUUAUUAUAUUUUUUCUCUUUUUUAAAAGGAGAUAGUGGGGUUUGGUUGGUUGCUAAAUUAUUGGUGUGAGGGUCUAUUUGUUUUUGUUUUCACUUUAUUAAUUAUACCAAGCAAACAUGUAAUCAUUUGUAAAGGGGUCACUAGCAUUGGAUUAUGUAAGAUGAAUUCAUAAGACUUAUUAAUUUCGAUGAAAAUGUAGCGUUAUUAAGUUGUCAAUUCAUUAACUUGAGGUACUAAUAUUUACUAAUUGUGGUGAUUAAUUUAUUUAACUUGUCAUAAUUUUCAAUUGAGAAUGAAGUUCAAUCAAUGUAUGAAAAAAAUAAUUUUUUUAGAUUUUUAAUUCCUAUGAUUUAAUUUCCCCCUGUUUCGAUUAUUGACGUGUUAAAAGCUUGUAGAAUAUCAUGAAAUGCUUGUAUCUCACCUCGCAAAUUGACAAAUAUUGGUUGGUUUCUCCAAAGGCUACCAUAAUGAAUUGAAAGUAAAAACAACAACCAUUGAAAAUUAAUUUUAAAAUCAUUUUUACUUGAAAUUUUUUAAAAGAAAAAUUAAGCAAAUUAGAUUACAGAUAUCAAUCUUAAUAUUUUGUUGAUGAAAAUUAAUUAAUUUAUCUCAGUACUUUCUUAAUUUUGUGUUGUGCACCGCAUUGGUCACUUCUGAUUGUGUUGCAUAUUUGUUAAUUCAAAGAAAUAGAACUUCUUUAUCGAUCAAACUUAUUUUAUUAGUAUUCUUCAUCAUAUGGUUAAUGGCUUAGCCAAUGAAGGAGAAGGGGUCAGCCAAAACAAAUAAAGUACUUUCUCAUGCAUUAACCUUUAUUAAAAAGCUUUAUUAACUGUUGUAGUUAAAAUAAUUUUAAAACAAGUUAAAACAGUUCCAACUCAAAAUCAGUAGGCUGCAAUUGGGUUGUUACACAUAUUUCUAAAUUUCAGUCUAAUUUAAUUGUGUAUGGACAAACUAACUUUAUCACUUCUUUCAUAUUAAUACUCAUAAAUUUCAACCUUUUUUUAUGAUGAUGGACAAUCUAACUUAACAAAAAUAAUGUUCAAAUUAUCACAAAAUGUUCUUUUCUUAAAAAAGAAAAGAAAAUCAUAUAUAGUAGUUAAUUUUUCUUCUUCUGUACUCCAAGAUCCAACUCCGUACUCCACUUGUUCGUUGUUAUUAUACCCAGCCAUUAGAUUUUAAUUACGUUGAUUUAACGGUUUGGAUUCGUAAAUGAAUAACGACGUAAAGUUUGGCUACCAUCUGAACCCACCGCAUCUAAUUGGUUUUGUGAUUUUUUGCUUUCUUCACUGCAACGCUUGACUAGUUCUGGAAAUAUCGACCGCCAUCAACGGCAAAUCUGAACCAUGUAUUAUUUGCGAAUACAUUCAUUAAACUAUUAAACAUUCAGAGAAGAAAGCAAACCGUGGCAGUAUAACAAAAACUGCGAAUGGUCAUUCCCAACACGAACCCCUAUGGUUGUUUUCCUUUUAAUUUUCUUCUUUGAAUUCUCCUUUUAUUAAUCAUUAGAAAAACUCCAUUUUUUUUGUUUUAAAUCAUGUGUUAUUAACAUUUACAUGGUUAAUGUCAUCGAAAUCGAAUGGUUGUUAUCUACGAAAAGAGAAUUGCUAGAAAUUUUGUUAGUCCCAUUGCAACAAUAUAUUGUUAUAAAUUGCAUUGUUUUCCAUAUAACAAAUAUAAUAAAAUCUCAAUAAAUUAAUAGUUUUUGGGACCAUAAAAAAAUUAUUAAAAUUAAACAAAUAUCAAUUAAUCAGUAAAUUAAUAAAUUAUUAAUUUAUGAAAAUAUUCAUUAUUUUGGAAAAACAUGAUCACGCUUUUAAUAUUGAUUUACCUUGAGUUAGUAUCUAUUAGGUUUUAUUUGUCUAUUAGUUUUCUCUUGGGAAGAUUUUUUAAGAGUUAGCUGCUUUAUAUUAACAGUAAUAAAAUUAUUAUUUAACGGUUUUGUUUUUCCAUGCUAAAGACCGAUUAGUCGUCUUCUUCUCCUCAGCAUCAUCAAAACCAGGGUUUUUAACUCCUAAAACGUUUCUUUUUAGAAAUAUAUUACUUUAUUCAUCUAAUAUGUUAUCUAACAAAUAGACACAGAUGAAAUCACUCUAAAGUGAAGAUGAAAGGGGAAAAAAAACAUUCCAACCACCAAUAAUUUAGCAAGCUUCACUUUUAUUCCACCAAAGUGUAAAUAGUGCCAGCCCCCACCACCAUCAAUAAUUUAGCAAGCUUCACACGCUUGUUGUCUUCUCCUUGACGAACUGGACGUGGGUGGACCAAGAAUCAAUGAAAGAAUUUUAAAAAUAAUAAUAAAAGAAAAACAUAAACAUUUUGGACUCGGAGUAGAACCGUAAUUAAUGCUAAAAUUUACUCCGCUAACGUUUUCAAAAUAUUGUUCUUUAUAAUUGUACAGCAAAUAAGACUAAGUUUUGGACAUUUUCAUAUUCACUUACUUUCAAAAGCAGUAUUUCGAAACAUUUUACAGAAUCAAGUAACAGUUAUAUAACGAGAAAAGUGCAAAGUUGUGUAAUUCUAAUGUUUUUUUUUUUUUAUCACAGACACUCAGAUAAUUUUUUAUUUGGGUCGCCAACUCGCCAAUUAACCCAUGAUUGAAUGAGUGUUUAGAAAGAAAAUCAAUAAAAAACAGUUUUUUUUUUGGUCGUCGAAAUAUAGUAAGUGAGAAAGAUUAUUCUGUUUUUUUUGUUAAUUAGGUUAGUAAUUAUGAUUGAGUGACUCAGAACUAUAUUCUAGAUUGAGAAUCAACGGUUCUCCCACACUGAGAGGCUGUAAGUUUAAGAUUGUCGUUUGCUAUUUCAUCGACAAGAGAACACUUGAAUUUAUUAAAAGGAGAAGGCCAUAAAGAUUUUCCUUUAUGAGAAAUGUAUCUGAUCAUUCCUUUUUACUUGAAAAUUUCAUAUAUAAAAACUCAUUAAUAAAUGACAGAAUAUACAUAAAUUAUUAAUUCAUUUGAUAGUUGAUUAUCGAAGGACAUGUGACCCAUGGAAGCAUGCAGUCUAUAAAAUAAUUCUUUUUUUUUUUUAACAAAAAAUUGGUGAUGUUGAAAAGCAAAAUUAUUAUUUCUCUAAUUAGGGUGAACAUUCAUAAAAAGAAUGCCGUAUGAAACUAAAUUAUUAAUUCGUUUGACAUGUGACCCACAAUAAAUAGUUAAAUUUGGCGGCAACAAUAAUUACAAGACGAACUUAAAGCAGCGCAUAGGUUUUUCUUAAAAAUACAUAAACAAUUCGAUAUUUUUUAUUUGACAGUUUUUAAGAAAUGUCAAACAUAUAUGACAUUUUGUGAAAAACUGAGUAAUUGUGAAAUAUAAAUGAUAAUUUAUUUAAACGUCAAAUAAUUGUGACGUUUUAUCAAAUAAGUGAUAAAUAUCUUACAUAUUUAUUGAAUAAUUAUCAUUUACCUUUUCCUUUUAUUGACUCGAGCAAAAAAAACAAAAAAACUGACUAUACUGCUUUUAUUUUCGUUCUUAGAACAGAUUUUAGUUUCUUUUGAGAAAAUUCAAACUCAUUCCCAUUACUUUCUUUUCAAUAAUCACCUCUCAGUUUUUCAUCAAUCACUCAAUUCCGAAUUUCAUCUCCAUUCUCUUUUGAAGAAGAACGCACGAAGAAUUUUAGCUUGCUUUUGCUGCUUCUCGAAUAUUGGGUAUUGUUUCCUUUAAUUUAGAUAAUUGUUUUUUAUAUCUCUCUUUCUAGUUUGAUAAUUUAUGGUUAUACUUGAAUUAAUUGUAUUUUUAAUCAACCAAGGUUGAUUUAAUUGAUUCCAAGUCUCAAUUUCCUGUUCAACAAUUUUCAUACUCAAUUUUGAAAGAAUCAAUGUAUUUUAUCUUUGGUUAGUACACUUCUGUUCAAUUUUUGUUUAUUUAACUUAAGAUAUCUUUUUCUUUCUUUUCUUCAAGCAAAUUAUAGAUUAUAUUGAGAACAGAGUUUUCUCCUUAAUUCCGCCAAGAGCAACGUUGAUUUCAGGUGAUAAUUGAAUGUGUAAUAUUUUCAAUUGAAAUUAAUUGAGUCUCGUGAUAAUAAUAGGGAUUUGAGAUUUACAUCCUGUUGAAAUGAUUUUAGAGUGUUCUGUUAUUUGAAUGCGCAUUAAUUGUUUGAUUAAAUGUCUCUUUAAAAGAUUAUUUUUGUUUUUAGCAAACAUCUUAAUGCACUUUACAAAUUGAAUCCAACAAGGGAAAAUUAUAGAACUGCAGCAGUUUUCAAAUUGAUUGCAUAUUAGAAGUAAUGUUAAUUUAUGCUGCAACAGUUCAAUGGGCUGGGCACAAGUUUAGGACUUCAGUUGCUCAAUUAAUGAAUCCACCACUCAUCAGACUUGGAACUUAUAUCUAUUGAAUCAAUAAAAAUAGUUGAUGGAAUCAAUGCCGAAAGCUUCAUUUGAUAUUUAUUUAUAACAUCUGUUAGAUUCUGGACAAUCACAAAGAUAUAGUAGCAGAAACUAUGUUAGAGACACUAUAGUUGCUUAAUUAGUGAAAUUGUGCUCUCAUUGCCCCCUUUUUUUGGUUGAUUCUAUAAUUUUAUUAGUUGUUCUUGUGGUUGUAAACAAUAUCAAUUUCUAAUAUUAAUAAAACUGAAUGAAUAAAAUGCGAUGCAUUUGCAGGAAAGUUAAUAGUUUAAAUAUGGAUAAAUCUUGGAUGUUGAUGGAUAGAAGGUCUAUAGAAUAUGAGAACAUGGUAAAUGAGUUUCUCAAGUUUGCAGUACUUCAUGCUAGUCAUCUUGAGCUUUUGAGAUGUCCAUGCCAAGCAUGUCUUAGUUUAUAGGCUCAAACAAUUAACAGUAUAGAAAAUGCAUGAUAGAACACAGAACUCAUAUUUUAGCAACAAUCCUCAGCUCACUGGCCCUUAGUUCAGAAUGACAAUUCUUAUUAGCCAAAGGUUCAAAAUGAUUUUUAGUUGUUUAUAAGUAGAGAACUAGAUCAACAAAUAAUUGAAGACCUGCAGCUUGGCUAUUGAACUAUACGAUGAUGCCAAUUCGAAGACUACAACUUGGCUCUGCCAUUCGAAGUAAGCAACGCAGCUGCCCAAAGUCUGCCAAACCAAGAAAAAUAAAGACUUCUCCUUAGCAAUUAAGUUAAUAUAAGGAAUGUUGCAUGUCCACAAAACUAGGUAGACGCAACUGGGACUUCAAUAUAUAUAUAGAUAUAUAUAUAUAUAUAUAAGCAUUUCCUAGAUCAAUAUUAUUCUCAGUAACUGAAUAUUGAAGCUGACCAUCACAUUUAAUAAUAAAUCAAUAUCAGGAAUGUUGUUGAGGAGUAUUUUGAUAUUUACAAAAGUGUUCAAAGUAAAAAUUGAUUUCUUAAAACCCAUUAGCUAGCGCACAUAAUAAUGGGGAGAAAAUUUUAGACUACGAAUAGUCCCACCCAUUUAAUAAUAUUCUUCAAUCAAUUAUGUUUACUUCAAAAAAAAAAAACCAUCUCUUUAUUACUUUCUAACUAUUCAUAUUAAUGUGUUCAUAAUUAUGAAGAACCGGUGUAAUUUAUAUGAUGUAGGAAGCACAUUAGUCAAAAUCAUCAGAAUCUCAAAAUUUCGUGAUGUUGUGCCAAAUAUGCAAACCAAAGCUUCCUACAUUCUUUGUACGUUUGUGUUAGUUACAAGCAAUCACAGUGGUAAACGAAAAAAAACGAAUUAAAACACAUGAGGAGAUUUAAAUGAAAAUGUCUUAAUCAUAUAUCGCAUGUAAGACCUUUUGUACUCAAAACUGAUCAGCACCCAUUCUGCCCGCCGUGUGAUCACAUCUUGAAGGGAGUGUUGCUUCAGCAUUUUUAUCAUUUUUACUAUUUCUAGGAUCCAUUUUGUCACCUCCCUCCCUCCCCCCGGUUUCUAAAAUAAUUAUAUAAUAACCAUAUAAUUAUUGGUUGUUCUAGCAAAUAAAAAAAAUAUAUAUAUAUAUAUAUAUAUUAAUCUUUUAAUAACAUUAUCACUUUGUCAAAAUAAAAAAUCUCCUCAUUAAAUAAUUAUAUUAUAUAUAUUCAUUUAUUUAUCCAAAUAAAAAAGUAUGAAGUCAAAUAGUACACAAUAAUUUAACUAAUUUGAAUUGGUUUAUUUUUAAUGAAACAAAUAACAUUCCUAAAUGCUUCUCUUGAUCCUUAAUUUAUUGAUAAUUUUGUCAAUUUAAGGUCGGCUAUAUAUUGAUUAAAUUACAAGCUUAGACUAUCGAAAGCUGGUUACAGUUAUGGAGGCAGGAAAAAUUUUAUUGUACCAGAAAUUUUUUCUACAACAGUCCAUGCAAAGUAAACAUUUGUAAGGAAAUUGGAGAAUAAUUACAAAGCCAACUAAAUUUUAUGAGAAUCAAUUUGGAGUUUUUGUUAAUCGCCAUUUUGCGUUCAUACAAAGCAAGUGUAGAUACCGGCACAAUAAGCUAAAUGCAAAAUCCAAUGUAGGACAGUGGGGUUGGGACAACGAAAUGGGGAAAUGGGAAUCUAGGUAAUUGCACUGAACCUUAAACUGAGAGUACGGGCACUUAAAAUUUUUAAAGUGUCUAAUAAGUUUCAGCUAAAAAGGAAAUAGGCUGUAAAAUUGCUAAAUUCAUUUUGAUUUCUAAAUUCAUAAAUAACCUUAAAAGUUCUCUGAUACAACUUGUCAAUAAUGGUGAAAAUUCAAUUUCAGAAUGACAAUUCUUAUUAGUGAAAGAAUCAAAAUGAUUUUUAGUUGUUUAUAAAUAGAUCACUAGAUCAACAAAUAAUUGAAGACUGGCUUGGCUAUUGAACCAUACGCGGCAAUUCGAAGACUGAAACUUAACUCUGCCGUUCGAAGUAAGCAACUCAGGUGCCCAAAGGCUGUCAAGCCAUCAAGACAAUACGAAGAUACAACAUCAAUAAUAAUUACAUAUUACACCUACCCCAAUAAGAAAUUAGUUAAUACAGUCCUAGAAAGAAAUUUACAAACCCAUGCUGUAGGAAUAAUUAAUUAAUUUAUACAGUUCGGUACUCAUUCCUCUUCUGUUUCAAAUCCAUAUCCACUGCUCUGCCAUUUAUUACUACGCAAGGUAUAUGGGUUAGCAAGUGCCGACAUUGUCCUCCAUUCUUUAUGUGCCUUUCUUCUAUCAAGGGACAACCCAAGAUCUCUAAUCGCAAGAAAAAUAUUUCAAAGUAAAAAGUGAUUUCUUAAAAUCUAUUAGCUAGUGCACAUAAUAAAAGGCCAUUCAUGGUAAAUUUUAGAUUACAAGUAGUCCCAAUAAUAUUCUGCAAUCAAUUCCGUUUAUUUUAAAAUAAAAGAAAUCCAUCUCUUUAUUACUUUCUAAUUAGUCAUAUUAAUGUGUUAAUAAUUGUGAAGAACCAGCGUAAUUUAUAUGAUGUAGGAAACCCGUUAGGCAAAAUAACCUGAAUUUUUUAAAGUAGGGGCUAGACAUAUUGGGCAUAACCUCAGUUUCUGUUACUUCUUUGACCCUGCCUAAGCUCUUUUAUGGGCUAAUAUCAAAAUUUCGUGAUAUUGUGCCUAAAGAGCUUCCAAUUCAAGGAGCUCCCCUGUUUUUGACUGAAACAUAUGUAAUCCGAAAAAUUUAUAAUUAGAUAAAUCAUUCAAAAUCUCCCUGAAUCUAACCCACAUUUCUAUGGUUUAAUAACAUAUCACAAAGGUGCCUAAUAUAAUGAAAUUAGCACUAGUUCACGAGAUUGCCAUUAUAUAUUACAAGUCUUUUUAUGAUGUAGAUUAGAAGGGAAAAUACGAAGGACAUAUUAUAUAUUAUAUAUGAUUGAAUUUAAUCCAUGAUAAUUAGACAAAAUAACACUAAUCUAGCUAACUAAUCCACCCAUCAUAAUAAUUUGAUUUUCAUUAUUUUAUUGUGUCCAAUCAUGCUAAUUUAAUAAAAAAAAUACAGAACACUUGAGGAUUUAGAUAUUCAACAACUUUGGCCAAGUUUGAAAAAGAUUAGAGCUUCCUUCAUGCUUUGUGUUCUUAUGUUACACAUGAUCAUAUUAUGUUACAUUUGACAGAAAACUGAAAAUUAUUGAAAAAAAAAAAUCUUAGUUAGCACAUGAUCAAAAUGAGAGAUUAAUGCACACACAUCACAACAAUGUUUCAUUCAUUUUGAAUCUAUAUUUACAAAACUUGUAUCCGAUGGUUUACAUUUGUUUAAUCUAACUGCUAUGACAUGUGUACUGUCAAAACGCUACAGCUGCCAUCUCUGUUUGUCCUUGUUGCAUCCUUGAUCUUAUAUUAUCCUGGAGAUUAUUGAAUGUUCUUCUCAUUCUCAUGUGCUCGAGGGUCCUUUCUUGAGACAUUUCAGCAAACACCUGAUUCAUCCUAUUAAACAUUAGCAUCAUUAAUCAGUAAAUGAUGUAAGGUAGCCCUGUUUCGUGAAGUCAACAUAAAUCAGUCACCUUAGAUUUUCUGAGUCUCAGAGCACAAUGGGUGAUGAUUUGAUGAGAAAUAUUAAUAUGCCUUCAUCCCCUGAAUUAGCUAGAGCUGGUUGUCAUUUUCUUCUUUCUUUUGGUACGGUUUUAGAUUUUUAAUCAAUCAGAUUCAGCUGCAUGUUUGCUUUUAGUCCAAACCAAAAUAAGAUAUUAAGUACUUUUGCCAGAAUAGACGCAACCAAAAUUCUAUGGGAUCUGUAGUUCCUAGUUCAUGCAGAAGCGACCGAAUGCUUCCUGCAACUCAGGCAGAUAGAACCUUGGUUGAUUCGUUUUUCUUCAUCUGAAAUUCUACCUAAUGCCUAUCCUCUUAAUUGGUUUAAAUUCUUCUUUUUUUUCUUUGAAUUGUUGAUUUAUAAUGUCUUGUAUGCAACAUUUAUAAUUUCGGAUGAUGAUAAUCUUGUUUAAGAAGAGAUUUCUAGUUACGGCAGCAGCGUUCUUGAUCAUGGCAUCACAAGCACGUGCUCUGGUUUGCUUAGUUUCCUUUUUGUCUCUGAUAUUUUCUUGGCAUUGUGGGAUAUUGUUUCUCUUUUGAUUUUCUGUUUUUGUUUGCUUAGUUUCCUUUUUAUGUCUGAUAUUUUCUUGGCAUUCUUGUUCUCUCUUAUAAUAAAGUGCUUUUGAUAAAUUCGCCUGGUCGGUUUACUUCACUAACCAUUAAUGAGCAAAUCCUCCCAGUGACUCUCAAACUCUUCUACACAAUUAUAAUAAUUUCAGUUUUACAUAUACAAAAAUGAACAGCUCUCAAACAUAUCAUUUGAUAAUGACAAAAACAAUAAUUCACUCCAAUAAAUCUCAUAAUAAAUACAUGAUCUACAUUGCAAGUCUUUUUAGGACGCAUUCAAAGAGAAAACAUAAGGAAUGGCAAUGCAAGAAUAUGGAAUCAGAAUAACAGUGAUACAAAGAGAAAAAAAAAGGGGAUGGUCGGGUUGGGUUGCUUGCAAAAUUAUUGGUGCGGGGGUCUACUUGUUUUUGUGUCACUUUAUUAAUUAAUUACCGAAGCAAACACGUCAUCAUUUGAAAAAGAAUCACUAGCACCAGCUUAUGAAAAAUAAAUUUGUAAGACAUAUUAAUUUGAAAAUAUUUUGGAAUUUCAGUCUAAGUUGAUUUGUCUAAUUAUGUAUGCACAAACUAGCUUGACCACUUCUUUCAUAUUGAUACCUAUAAAUUGCAACCUUAUUUUACGUUGAUGCACAAUCUAACUUAACAAAAAAAAUAUUCAAAUUGUCACAAAAUAUUUUCUUCUUAAUAUAUAUAUAUAUAUAUAUACAUACACACAGUAGUUAAUUUUCCUUAUUCUUCACUCCAGGAUCCAGCUGCAUACCCCUCUUUUUUGUCGUUAUGUUGCUCAACCGUUAGAUUUUAAUAACGUUAAUCUAACGGUUGAGAUUUGUAAAUGAAUAAUGAAGUGGUGUUUGGCUACUAUCUGAAAAUAUCGGCAGCCAUCGACGGCGAAUCUGAACAAAGGCAACAGGAGGUGAUCGUGGUGAAAUUGUUUUUUGGCAUGCGAAUCUAACGACUUUCAAAUACGUUCAUUCAAAUAUUAAAUGCAAUUCAGGCAAAUAGAAACUUGGUUGAUUGAUUGCUUUUCAUGUGAAAUUCUACCUAAGGGCUAUCCUUUUAAUGGUUUGUACUGUCUUAUAUGCAAAUUAAAUUCGGAAUUCGGGUGAUAAUAAUCUUGAUUUAGAACAGAUUAGGUAACAUGUGGCAUUCUACAUUCUUGCAAUGCCAUUUCUUUUUAUGGCAGCACCAUUUUUUAUCAUUGUUUGUGUGGACCUAUUUGCUGAAUUCAAAACUUGGCGUGUUAAAACGGCAUCGUUUUGUCCAUUAAGAUGUUUCAAGUUGUCCCCGGCUGGACAUAUGACUCACUUAAUGAUACCAAAACGGCGAGGCAUGAAGGUGUUUCGGCUAAGGGCUUAAGUUCUGCAUGUGACAAGCACGUGAGAGAAGAAUCAAGUUAGUUAUAAGUUGUUAUACACGUGGCUGGAUCUGGUGCAAUCUGGGGUAAUGAACAGCCGUUAUAUAAGCUGAGCUUUCAGGCAGUUUCAGCAAGAUGUAAAGAGCUUCUAGAGAGAAUGAAGAGAGAGAAAAUGUAUCAUCUUAUUCCUUGUUAGUUUCUCCGUGUGAGCUCUGUAAAAUACUUUGAUUCAUAAAUAAAACUCAUUUUAGUCGAUUCUCCCUUGGAUGUAUGUUCUGCCUCAUUGCACAGCCGAACCACGUAAACAGUGCUGGUUUCUUUUUUUUUCAUUUGUGUCUAUCACUAAAAAGCAGAGCACUUGCUUGAUUGAAUAAUGUCAUAUUACAUCACAUAAACUCUCUCAAUUAUUGAAAAAGAAAAUCGUAAAAGAGAUGUGUUGAAUUGAUAACUGAAAAAAUCUUAAAAAAUCUUCAAAGUUUUCAAUUAUUGAUAACUGAAAAUUAUUGAAAAAAAAAAUCUUAAAAGAGAUGUGUUGAAUUGUGAAAUUAAAACUGAGUUUCAGACAUUUCUGACAUGUCGGUUUAUAUUCUUGAUUGUGCAUGCCCUGUCGGUUGCUUGAUGAAACAGGAGAAUAUUGACAUCUGUGUAUUAUCGUUUACUUCCUGCAAUUAAAUCACAUGUUGUUCACGUGAUUCCAUUUGCUCUAUGCGGCACAUUUGGCAGUCGUUUAGGUCACUUACUGAAGCACGGGUUAAGUACUUGAUUCAAGGUUGUUAACUGACCUUUACAAGGCGGGAAAAACAAACCCGGAAUGCAGCUAGUGAGUGGGGGACUUUUCUAGACUCUUCAUGAUAUGUAUAUAUAGUCUUAGAGGCUAUAGUUGAGACAUAUGAAAAGCUUGUAACUUCUUCUUAAUGUUUGUAGUUUGAUCUCGGUGAUGGAGAUAAGAUUGCUGCCCUGUUCUCCAGGCCGAACCACUUAAAAUGUGCCUCUGUUUUGCUUGAUGACUACCAGUGGUGAGAAAACAGCUACAGAACAAAUCAAGCUUGAUGACUCAAAUAUUAGGGAAGCCAUAGUCAAGGCAUCUGGUUUAUGCAUCAACAGUGGUUCGUGGACUAGAAUUCUUAGCUAUUGCCGCUUCACAAUUGCACUGGAAGAAAGCGAAUUUGAUCGAGCUUUGGAUCGCAUAGCUAAAUUCAAAAGCAUCGUACAAAUAGUUAACUCAAAAACGGUAUUGUCAUUUGUCAUGAUUUAUUUCUAUUGCCUGAUGAUGAUACCCAUCACGCCUUAGUUGUCGUGAAUAAAUCUAAAAUCAAAUUGAACUGGCUUUUACUGGUUAGCAACAUUUGUGACGUUUUGAGAUUAUAAUAUAUGACAACACUGAUUAGUGUUGUCUCCCAUGUGAAUUGAGACAAAAAUUAUUUUCCCAAUUGCGCUUUCAUUUGAACAAUUCCACUGUAGAUUUAUAAAAUAAUGAUCAAAUUGUGUUUUAUAUUAAGUUACGAGUAAUUGGUUAAAUAUUAAUACAAAACUAUUUUAAGUAACAUGUGGCAUAUUCUAAUUCUAGCCAAGCUUCCAACUAAGAUUCCCAAAUCAAAAGAAUUUCAAUCUUCAGAACAUUCUGCAAAACGUUUAGUUUCUACGCAGUGCUAGAAUUUUCCCUAAGUUUCUAUCGCAAAGACUUCUAAAGAACUAUUCAGAUAUCGAGCUAUAAUCCAGUCUAAAGUGUAUAUAUCCCUCUAAUUCACCUCCCUCCAUUUCACCAGAAAAUCAACAAACACUUAGCUUCAAACAAACACUCUAAAAAAGCUAGCUAGCUAUUCAGAUGGCAAAACCAAGAAUUCUUGCAAUGACAAUGUUGUUUCUUGUUAUGGCAGCAACAUUGAUGAACAUGGCAUCGCAAGCAAACGCUCUGAUGUCGUACACACAAUCACCUUUCAGGGUUCUUGAACAAACCCCUUUAACAAUCGCAAAACGAGCUGAUCAUCAUCAAACUCUAGCCCCGGCGAGAACAGACUAGAUGGAGACACCAACAGCCCACGUGAUCACGCUCGACAUUCCAGGGAUGAAGAAAGAUAAUGUAAAGAUUGAAGUUGAAGAGAACAGAGUACUGAGAGUGAGUGGGGAGAGGAAGAGUAAUGAUUAUUACAAGGAGGGAGUUGAAGGAGAGAAAUGGCACAGAGCUGAGAGGACAUUUGGCAAGUUUUGGAGGCAGUUUAGGAUGCAUAUGAGUGCUGACUUGGAUCAUAUUAAGGCUCACAUGGAAAAUGGGAUUCUGAGGGUCACAGUGCCAACGCUUGCUGAGGAGAAGAAGAGGCAGCCUAAGGUUAUUAACAUUGAUGAAGAGUCUGGUAAUUCUUCCAAUGAAGAUAUUAAGGCUACCAAGGCUCAAAUGUAAUUGAUUAAAGAAAGAAGUGAUUGCUUUGCUUGAUGUGCUAUUUGUUUAUGAUCUUUUCUUGGUUUUGUUGUGAGAUGUUUCUAUUUGGAUGCUCUAUUUAAUGUAUUUUGAUGGGUUUUUGAGGAAGGCUUGUAUGUAUUGACAACAAUAAAGUGCUUUUUAUAAAUCCUAGUCCUCCAACACUAAAAGAAAUUAAUACGCUUGGUUUAUAGUUAAUAAAAAUAUAUAUAUUUUUAAAAAAAGUCUUUUUCUUUGGCAUAUAGUAUGCGUUUUGAGGGAAAAAAAAUUAUCCCACUCCUAAUUCGUCCUCUUCUGCGAUAUUAAUGUGUUAACACGAAGAUUCAUUGUAAUUGCAACAAUUUUGACGAAUCCAAACGUUCAAUAACUGUUAAAUUGUAUUUAUAAAUACUAAUAGCGAAGGUACAGAAACGAUUAAUUCACGAAGUUGCUUAAAGUGCAUUAAAUUAGAGAGUAUAAAUAAUUGUGUGAUACAGUCCAGCCUUCAUCUGCUUAUAAUUAGCAACCAAAAACCACUUUGCAACACCAUUAAAAAAACAUUUUAACAUUAUUGCUGAGGGAAGAGGCAGCUUAGGCUUAUUAACUCGUAUUAUUAAUGCUGAUGACGCAGCUGGUAAUCCUUUUGGUGAAUAUAUUAAGGCAGCUGAAGCUUAAAAUUAAUUAAGCCCACUAAAGCUUAAAACUAAUUCUUCUGGUGACGAUACUUUGCUUAGUUCGCUUUUUGUUUUUAAUUUUUUUGGGGCUAACGUUUUGCUUAUUUUGCUUUUAAAAUUCUAUUCGCGUUGCUGUGGAAUAUUGUUUCUCCUUCGAUUUUCUGUUUUUGUUGUUAUCGGAUUUGAUGAUGGUUUAUAUGUACGAAGAUUAUGUAAUAAAGUGCUUUUGUAAAAAUACUAAGGUAAUAUACAUUACACAUUUGUACUCAAUAAGAAAUCAAUUCAUUAAUAUAAGCAUUAAUACCCCUGGUUUAUUGUUAAUGAAAAUUAAAAAAGAAAAAAAAAAGUCUUUUUCUUUGGCCUUUAUUAUGGAUUUUAAGAGGAAAAAAAUUUAUCCCACUCCAAUUCAUGAAGAUAUUCUCUUUUCUGUCAUAAAGAUCCAUUGCAGUUGGUGAAUUCAAAUAUUCAGUAACUGAUGAAAUUGUAUUUAUAAAUUCAUACUAAUAGCAAUUGAAGAUUAUAAUUAAUUUUGUAAUAUGAUCUAGCCCUCGUGUGUUUAAUUAGCACUCAAAAACCACUUUACAUAAAUGAGGUUUCAACAGCUGAGAAAGAGAUAGCCAUUAUACAUUACACAUUUGCACUUAAUAAGAAAUCAAUUCAUUAAUAUAGCCAUUAAUACGCCUGGUUUAUUGUUAAUGAAAAUUAAAAGAGAAAAAAAAAGGUCUUUUUCUUUGGCCUUUAUUAUGCAUUUUAAGAGGAAAAAAAUUUAUCCCACUCCAAUUCAUGAAGAUAUUCUCGUUUCUGUCAUAUUGAUGUGUUAAUAUGAAGAUCCAUUGCAGUUGGUGAAUUCAAAUAUUCAGUAACUGAUGAAAUGGUAUUUAUUUAUAAAUUCAUACUAAUAGCGAUUGAAGAUUAUAAUUAAUUUUGUAAUAUGGUCAAGCCCUCGUGUGUUUAAUUAGCACUCAAAAACCGCAUUACAAUAGGCAUUAAAAGAACAUUAUAACGUCAUUGCUGAUGAGUUCUGGUGAAGAUAUUAAGUUAAGGCCACAAAAAUCGAAAUGUACGUAGCUUCGUUUGUUUUUUGUUUUUGAUUUUUUUUGGGGGGCAAAUGCUUGGCUUCGUUUGCUUUUUCGUUUUUGAUAUUUUAUUGGCUUUAUUGUGUGGCAUGUUCUUGUUUUCUUUUGAUUUUCUGUUUUGGUUGUUAUGGGAUUUGAUGACGAUGUACAUGUACAAAGAUUAUGUAAUAAAAUGCUUUUGAUAAAUUGUGGAACAAAAGAAGAACACUAACGAACUAAUUAAUUACUAAUAAGAACAUUAACAAUUUUUGCCGAAGUCUGAUGAAGAGAAAUAUUACACAUAAGUAACGGUACCGCGGAAGGAAAAAAUAAAAGAAACUAAAGUUUAUUUCAACAGCUAAGAAUGAAAUAGGCAUAAGAAAUUAACCCAUCAAUUAAUUAAUUAAUACAGUCCCCUGCUACUAAAUAAUGCGAGCCCCUUACUGUACUUAACAUUUUUCUUUUUAAUAAUUUAAAACAGUUUUCAACUGAGAUUUGAAUUUUAAAACUACAUACACAAAUACACCUGAUUUUAAAGAAAAAAAAUUUCUAAUAAUAAAAUAUUUUACAUAUAUAACCAUAUGGCGAAAAAAUAAAUAUAAGAAACUGAAGUUUCAACAACUGAGAAUGAGAUAGGCAUAAGAAAUUAAUUCAUUAAUUAAUUAAUAGAGUCCUCCUUUGCUAAGCUAAAUAAUGCGAGCCCAUUGUUCUUUUUAUUUCGAAAACCCAUUAAUCACCAACACAUAAUACACGCCCAACUUUUUUUUUAAAAAAAACCUAAUAAUAAAAUAUUUCAGUCGUCCUCUGUUGAGUCGUCCUCUGUUGAGUCGUCAUAAAAAACCCAUUUACCAGCUAUGACAGCAAGAGGAAUAUGGGUUAACAAGUCCCAAUAUUGUCCUCCAUCCUUUCUGCACUUCUUUUCUAUCAACGGACAAUCCACGAUUCUUAAUUGCAAAAGUGAGGAAGGCAGGCCCUUCUCCGGAAAGUAUUUGAGCUUGGGACAAUGAUAGAGACCCAAGUGAGUGAGGUUUUGAAGAUCAACAAUUGAAGAAGAUAGGCGUUCCAGAUUUGGAAAAUUGUAAAUCCACAGAGAUGUUAGAGAGGCAGGAAGAGGAAGCGCGGUCCCUAAUCUUUUGUCCUCUAGUGGAAAUGACACCAUGUCGUCAUCGCAUCCUAUGAUUUCAAGAUGUCGCAGACAGGAGAAUCUGUGAAAUCCCCGGCCCCGCUCAAUCAUUGACUUCCAAAUCUCCAUAUUACCCUCAAUCCAAAGUGAAUGAAGGUUGAUGGGAAGGCCAUCUUCUUCUUCAAGGCUUGGAAGCUCACCUCCUUUUCCUAUUGUUAAUUGUUGAAGAGAGGUCAGAUUGUGCAAUCCCUUGGGUAAGGCCUCUAGUCUCUUACAAUCAAGUAUCGUCAGCCUCGUGAGUUUCGCACAAGGGAAUGCCCCUUGGGGAAAGGACACUAGAUUUCCACAAUACGCUAUGCUAAUCUCUUGAAGCUGGCGGAGAUUAUGUAAACCACUCGGUAAAAUUUUCAGAUUUCCACAAUUAGAAAUGUCGAUUGUUUCAAGAGAUGUGUUGUUGUCCAACCUUUCUGCUAUUGACUCCAGCUUUGAACAUCCGCGAACAGAAAGGGACUUAAGAGACGGAGGUAGAUUGCCAACUUCAAGGGACUCAAGCGUGGCAGGUAACUCAUUUUUUGAAAAUAUACAUGUCAGUGAUGGACAGCUGUUAAUACGCAACUGCUCAAGAAGAGAUGAGGUGUACCUUCUAUUGCUGCUGCUGCUGCUACACUGGAUGCCCUCUUCCACUGUCAAAGUCCUUAUAUUACUGCAAUUGUUAAUCACCAACUGCUUAAGGCUCGGUGGUAGCUGGACUCCAGCAAUAUAUGUCAACGAAUGGCAAAAGCAAAUCUCCAAGAUCUCGAGAGAUGAAUUGGUGUCGCACAUCCAUGCCUCUGGUAAUGAUUUCAGUGCAUCACAUUCCCUAAUCUCAAUUGUCUUCAACUUGGAAGGCAGAGCAACCUCAGGAAAGGAAACAAGGGAACUGCACUUGUAGAUUUCUAUCUCUCUCAAGGAACUGAGACUGAGAGAUGAUUGUGGCAGCUUCACAAGGCCUUCGCAAUAUCUCAAUCUUAGAUAUUCGAGUCUGCAUGACAACUCGCAGAGCUGCUGUUGUUGGCCUUUCUCUUCCUCCGCCACCAAGGAUUGAAGUUUGGGACACCGUCUAAUCGUCAGUCUUCUGAGAGAGCAAAUGUCUUGCAGUAAUUCGUUAUGACUCUUCCAUAUAUAUGUCUGCUCUUUCAUUUCAUUUAUCUUCAAUUCUUCCAAUUUUGGUAGUCGCGGCUUUAAUGGCCCUGCGAGAAACACUUGAUUUGAUCUAUCUCUACAAACCACUGAAUUCUGUGAGCCGAGAUGAUCAGUUGCACUUCUCCACACAACCUUUUUACAUCCACCACUCUGUAAUUUGCAAAGAGCUGGAAGACUCGAAACUGAAACUGACAAUUCUUCACAUCCUUUAAUAACAAGCUUCUCCAAUGCAGGAAGGCGUUCUGGAAAUGUUCCUUGCAGCUUAGAACAUCUUAAAAUGUGAAGCUCUCUCAAUUUAGGAAACCGUUCAACUCCCUGACUGGAUCCAUGAGGAAUCCAGUCUUCCCAUCCUUGCAUGUCUUCAAAAUGAAGAGUCUCCAAGCAUGGAAAAGGAAUUGGAGUAUCAUUCCCAUAGAACUCUGAACCCAACCUCUUUACACUAGUCAUUCCACAUACUGCAAGAUGCUUUAGAGAGGGUAGUUGCCCGACUGACGGCAGGGUAGGACACAUGCCACAAUAUUCAAAUUUUAAGGUCACCAACUUUGAGAAUGAGGAAUCUCCGAACCAAGUUGGAAAUUUUGCACCUCUAUAGCCGCUGAUACAAAAUUGUUCCAAAUUUUUAUUGGGUUCUAGCAUGUCAAGCACGUCCUUUUCAAUUUCCGCCUCCCUUGAAGACGAGCCAUCGGUACUGAGUGUCCAUCGAAGCAAUAAUUCUCUAAGAUUCUUCUUUCCAUCCAAUUGAGCCUCCUUUGCAUCACCAACGUCUUUUACAUUCUCCAAUUUUGAAAUGUUAAGUGUCCCAUGAAGGUGCGUCAACAACUUUAGCUCUCGUAACCCGGAACCACUGCCUUUUCCCACAACAAAAUUACACAACGUCUGAAGACUAGUCAACCUACCAAUUCCUACUGGCAUUUCCUCCAACGACUUCGUAUUUGAAUUCUUAAGAUGAUGCAAUUUGGCGAGGUUUCCCAUGUCUGCACACAACUUCUUCAGCCGAUCACAAUCUUCCAACAAAAGACUAUGCAAAUUGUAAAGCUUGUUGACUGAUUCAGGCAGAGUUCUAAUCUCAGUUGUAGACAGGUUAAGGUACCUUAAAUACCUCAAAUCACCAAUUGAAUCCGGCAGCUCAGGGAUGCAGUAUCCACGCAAAGAGAAGACCCUCAAGCGUCGGAGUUUGAGCAACUUAGGAAGAAUGCUAGGAGCCAAGAAGCCAGGCGAACUUUUUGUCAACAUUACUGGUAAAAAAGUUCUCAAAUGCUGGAUAUCAUACAAGUCCCCAAACCUUUUACCGCCAUCAAAAUAUUCAGGAAUGUAUGAUAGAUGACGAAGAUUUUCGGAAAAACUUUGCUGCUUGUAAAUUUCUGAGGUAUACUCCAUUGUGAAGUAUAUCUCCCCCGCAGCCCAACGGGCAAGGUCAUUGAUAAGAUCGUGCAUCACAAAUCGUGAUGUAUUGUUGCUUAAUUGCUGGAAAAAAGAUCUUGAACGUAGCUCUUGAAAGAACUUUCGACCUAGAACUUCGUUAGGAUUCCCACUCUCUUUAUGAACCAAGAAACCCGAAGCACUCCAUAAUAAAAUUAUCUCCUCCUCUUCAAAUUCAUAAUCCUUCGGAAACAACGAGCAGUAUGCAAAGCAUUGUUUCAAAAUUGGAGGAAGAUAAUAAUAGCUCACUGCAAGAGCUGGUAUAAUGGGACAUCUAUCUUCUGGUAAUUCCCAUAUCUUGCUACUGAGCACAUCUUCCCACACACCUCUGUCAUGUUCUCCACAUAAAAGUCCUCCCAGUGUUUUUGCUGCCAAGGGAAAGCCAUUGCAUUUGAUCACUAUCUUCUUACCAAUGUCCUCCAAUGACUUGUGUGAACUGAAAUCUCUUGUCCCCAAAGAGUGCUGAGCAAACACAGACAGACAAUCCUCAGUUGACAAGUUUUUCAAUUCAUAAGCUUGAUCCGGCCUCAUGAUUUUUGCAACCUGUUGAUUGCGAGUAGUGACAACAAUCUUACUUCCCUGUGCGCCAGCUUCAAACGGACGGCUCAUGUCAACCCAGUCAUUGUAAUUCUCAUUCCAAACGUCGUCUAAAACGAGCAAAAAUUUCUUUUGAGAUAACUUCUUCUUCAGCUCCUCUUGAAGCAAAUUUAAAUCACUGUCAUCAAUAGUCUGCUUGGUAAUGGAUCUUAGAAUUUUUUUUGUUAGCCCCUUAACGUCGAAAUCCUCAGAGACACAAGUCCAUGCCUUGAGAUCAAAAUGAUCCUGCACUCGCUUAUCAUUGUAGACAAGCUGAGCAAGAGUGGUUUUGCCCAGGCCGCCCAUACCUAUAAUAGGAAUAACAGAGAAUCCACCAUCGUUGCUUAAAUCAUCCCUCAACAGCAGUUCAACAACAUCCUUCUUUUCUGUUUCCCUGCCAUAUACUUUGGCUUCAGUCACUAAAGAGGUUGUCUCCAGCCUUUGACUGGCUUUGUUGGACCCUCCAGCUGAACUUUCUUUCAAAUCUAGCAAGUUUUUCUGUGUCACAAUUUCUUGAAAUCUGCUGUUGAUCUCUUUGAUUUUGGACAUCAAGCCAUAAUCGAACUGAAUCGAUUGUGGAGUAAAAGUGGUGCAGCAAGCAGGAAUGAGCUUCCGAAACUUACUUGUUCUGGCACGACUGCUACUGGGUUGAUCAUGAGCAGCAGCUGGUUCUCCAUUUCCAAGCAGCAACAUCCUCCGGAAAGCCUCAGUUUGAAACUCAUCCAACAAGUCUUCAACAUCAUAAGCCAAGUUCUGAAGCUUGCCAAGCCACUUCUUCACAGACCGAUUAGUUGUCUUCUUCUCCUCAGCAUCAUCAAGCACCGCCUUGAUCAUCUCCAACAUAUUCUCCCACUUCAUUAGAUAGUCUUGGAUCUUCUCUUGGCGUGCAAAAAACAGAAUCCCCUCUGAAGCUAACUUAUUGACCAGCAAAUCAACAGAUGCCGUAAGGAUUGCCUCUCCGAUGAUCGACAUUUUUUUUCUUUUUUUUGGGCAAAGGAAGAAAGGAGCAGAAUUAUGGGUUAUGGAAAGCAGAAUGAGAAUAUUGAACGGGUGAGAAAAUGGAUAAUUAAGCGGAAUGAGUUUGUGAUUGUGAAGGGUCUGGUACAGCAAGCUUAGUAGAAAUCACGCGUUUGUACUUUAUUGACCAAUGACUAAAUAAUUUGGCAAUGCACCCACCACCACCACUUGGUGAGCAAAAUGAAAAAGUUUAAUAAGUGGAGGGGUCCAGCAAAAUACGACGUAAAAUGUGGCAAGUCUCCCCACUUGUUGUUCGUUGCAGCUAAGAAAAGAAAAAACAGAGCCCACCACCCAUUAAUAAUUUAGCAAAUCACCAAUCAUCACAAAAUUCCAUUAGAUAUUCGUCGAUCAAGUAGUUAAUCCAGUGUCUGCUACGUAGAGCCUUCACUUUACAAAUCUUCAACUCAUAAACCAAGUUAAAUCAAGACGUUUCUCUCUCUGUAUAUAUAUUUUUUAACUCCUAAAACGUUUCUUUUUAGAAAUAUUUUACUUUAUUCAUCUAAUAUGUUAUCUAACAAAUAGACACAGAUGAAAUCACUCUAAAGUGAAGAUGAAAGGGGAAAAAAAAAACAUUCAACCACCAAUAAUUUAGCAAGCUUCACUUUUAUUCCACCAAAGUGUAAAUAAAGCCAGCCCCCACCACCAUCGAUAAUUUUGCAAGCUUCACACGCUUGUUGUCUUCUCCUUGACGAACUGGACGGGGUGGACCAAGAAUCAAUGAAAGAAUUUUAAAAAUAAUAAUAAAAGAAAAACAUAAACAUUUUGGACUCAGAGUAGAACCGUAAUUAAUGCUAAAAUUUACUCCGCUAACGUUUUCAAAAUAUUGUUCUUUACAAUUGUACAGCAAAUAAGACUAAGUUUUGGACAUUUUCGUAUUCACUUACUUUCAAAAGCAGUAUUUCGAAACAUUUUACAGAAUCAAGUAACAGUUAUAUAACGAGAAAAGUGCAAAGUUGUGUAAUUCAGAUCAUUUUUUAUUUGGGUCGCCAACUCGCCAAUGAACCCAUGAUUGAAUGAGUGUUUAGAAAGAAAAUCAAUAAAAAACAGUUUUUUUUUUGUCGUUGAAAUAUAGUAAGUGAGAAAGAUUAUUCUGUUUUUUUUGUUAAUUAGGUUAGUAAUUAUGAUUGAGUGACUCAGAACUAUAUUCUAGAUUGAGAAUCAAUGGUUCUCCCACACUGAGAGGCUGUAAGUUUAAGAUUGUCGUUUGCUAUUUCAUCAACAAGAGAACACUUGAAUUUAUUAAAAAGAGAAGGCCAUAAAAGUUUUCUUUUAUGAGAAAUGUAUCUGAUCAUUCCUUUUUACUUGAAAAUUUCAUAUAUAAAAACUCAUUAAUAAAUGACAGAAUAUACAUAAAUUAUUAAUUCAUUUGAUAGUUGAUUAUCGAAGGACAUGUGACCCAUGGGAGCAUGCAGACUAUAAAAUAAUUCUUUUUUUUAUUAAACAAAAAAUCGGUGAUGUUGAAAAGCAAUAUUAAUUCGACUGAUAAUUGGGGUGAACAUUCAUAAAAAGAAUGCCGUAUGAAACUAAAUUAUUAAUUCGUUUGACAUGUGACCCACAAUAAAUAGUUAAAUUUGGCGGCAACAAUAAUUACAAGACGAACUUAAAGCAGCGCAUAGGUUUUUCUUAAAAAUACAUAAACAAUUCGAUAUUUGAAAUUCUAAUAUCUCAAUAAUAUUGAUCAUGAUUCAGUUACCAAUUAGAUCCACUUACAAUUUCUUUUUUUCUUUUUUCUGGUUUCCAAUCUUUACCUAAAGAAAAUAUUUAGUGAUCCCUUUUAUCAACUUGGUUUUAUUGACUUUCUUCCAAUCAUAGAAGUGAAAAGAGAAACAGAGGCCAGCACCAAUCAGUGUUACCAGAUUCUGUAAAGGCAAAAUCAGUGCCCAGCAAAAAGAAGCUAUGUUUUCGUUAUAUGCUGCUUCCUAUUUAGUACAUGCAUAUAAAGAUAUACACGUGCACAUGCAGUACAUCUAUCUAAAAUUUAAAAAACGGAAUUAGAAAUACAGGAUUAAUGGUAGAAAUACAACAGGAAUAAAAGUGAAAUAAGCAGAAUGAGUUUGUGAUUCUGUCUAGCAAGCCUAGAAAUCAAGCAAAACCCACCAUAAAAGCGAAAAGCAAAACGGAGCCCACCACAAAUAUAAAAUCAGAGGAGCACAGAAUUUAAAAAAAAAACAAAAGAAAAGAAAAAGCCAAGCCAAGAAUCAUAUGCCUUUGCUUUACAUAUUAAAUUAACAUAAAAGCCAAGCGAGGAAUCCUGCCUUUGCUUGAUAUUUGACAAGAUUAAUUGGACAUUACACAUUAUUUCACAGAGAAUAAAACUUGUAUAGAACCAAACCCAUCAAACCCUUUCUUUAUCUUAAAUGUCAGAAAUAUAAUUAGCUUGGAAUAAAGCUAUACUCUUCUCCCUUUUCCAUUGCUACAGGUUCAUAUAGGCAUAUCAUAUGGAUUUUGUUUUAUGCUAGGUAAUUAUUAAUUUAUAUAAUAAUAUAUUUCCCUCAAAAUAUACUACUUGAAUUUGAAAUAAUUUUUUAAAAUAAUUUAAUAUCACAAUAAUAGUCAUGAUUCAAUUCGGUUUAGUUUAAUUUUUUUAGAGAAAAAAUUUGAGAAAAUAGACAAAUAAUGAAGACGCAAUUGAAGCACAACCAAUAAACAGGGUAAAGUGAAUUGCGUCCUGUCCUUGAGCACUCAAUUCUCUUCAAUCUCAAAUUUAUACGUACAUUUUUGUAAAUUCAUGUCAUAUACUAGAGUCUUUUGGGUUCUGUUAUAUCAAUUGUUUCGUGUUUAUCUUGUUUUAUUAAUUUAUGGAGCAAGAUUGCUAGUAGCGAUAAACCUGGAAUAAAACGAUUUAUUUAUUUUAUAUAUAUUUUGCGUUGUUAUCAGCAAAAAAUAUGAUGGGUUUCGUUUGUAACAACUAGCUAAUUGCUUAAUACAUUUUUGUACUUCUCGUCGUGAAGUCACGAGGAACUUGUAAAUAAGAUCAUAGACGUGGUACGAUGUGACGUGAUAAAUUUAAAUCAAAUCUAAACUAAGAUGGUUCAUAUAUAGUUAAAUCAAAUCUAAACUAAGAUGGUUCAUAUAUAGUUACAUACUGAAUAAAGAUAUUUAAACAUAAGCAUUCAAUUUUAUGAUAUACCUAAUAGUCAUUGGCUUAUAGUUAUUAAAGGAACUGAAUAGAAAUAGACGAAGAAAGUGAAAAAGAUGAAUUAGCGCACAUGAUGAUUUCUCAGAUAAAAAGUUAAAUUUAUAUUCUUUUUUUUAAUAAGUGUGAGAUGAUUUACACCCUAAAAUUUAUUUUGAGCACUCAUAUUUUUAUUACAAAAAACCCUAUAAUUCAAUUUACUGGUAUGGACAAUUCAAUAAAAGUAAAUAGAACAAUAAUACUUUCGACACCAUCAGGCUAUAGCGCGCACGCACGCACCCACAUAAAAAUGAUACAAAUUUAAAAGCAUAUUUAACAAGUUGGCUAUAGGCAACAAUAAUACUUUCGACACCAUCAGGCUAUAGCGCGCGCGCACCCACAUAAAAGUGCUUAAUACAGUGAAAUUAACGUUCAGCUCACGAAGUCGCCAUUAUAUUUAUUGAAAAAGAGAUUAGUACAAGACAUUGAAAAUUAAUUGACAUUGGAUUAGUUGUUAAUUAUGAUCUUGGUCUUUUAAUUAUCAUCUAGCCAACACAGGUCCACUAGUUUCAUUUGUGUCAAUCACUGAAAAGUAGAGCUUGAUUGAACAGCGCAUAUUACAUCACAUAAACUCACUCAAUUUUCAUUGCCAUACGUGUAGCUCAAAAGUACAUAUUAUAUCAGUGAACAUGGAACAUUCAGCUAACCUACACUAAUUAAUACAUACGACCAUCAGUUAAUAGUACCCAGCAACAUCCAUCCAUUAGAGUGGAACUCCCAGUGAUUUCGUACGUACAAAAGACAAUAUUUGACAAUCACAAAAACAAAAACAAUUUACUCCAAUAAACAACAUAACAAAUACAUGGUUGAUAUUGCAAGUUUUUUUUUUAUGAUUUUAGUUAAAACAGAAAGUAUGAAGGACAUAUUUAUAUAUAAUAGAAUGUUAUAUAUAAUGUUAUCCUUGAUAAUUAGAUAAAAUAAGACUAAUCUACCUAACUAAUCCAAUCAUCAUACUAAUCCAAUUUUCAAUAUUUAAUUAUGUCCAGUCACGCUAAUUUAAUAAAGAACACUGAACACUUGAAUAUUUAUAUAUUCAACAACAUUGGCCAUGGUUGAAAAAGACCAUAGCUGCAUCUAUGCUUUGUGUUGUAAAUUAGGACAUGAUCAUAUAAAUAUUGAUUGUUUCAAAUUAGAUUAUACAAAGAUGAAAAAAUGCUAAUCUAGAAAAUUCAAUCAUAAUAAUUUGAUUUCCAUUAUAUUAAUUAUGUUCAAUCAAGCUAGUUUAAUAAAGAACACUCGAGCAUUUAUAUAUACUCAACUUAUGAAAUUUAAUUACAAAACAAUCUUUAACAAAGUCUGAUGAAAAGAUCAUAUUAUAGGUACAAAGUUAGACUUCCCAAUCAAGCAACUAUCCAUCAAAUUGUGUGUUGUGUUACCGUUGAGCUCUUAUGUUAAUUACGGCCAGACCGCGCUUUGGCUAACAGUGAGACAUAUGCGGACAUAAGAUCUGCAAAUGAGGUGCUGCGAACGAGCGAUGUACUGUUUUUAUGCGACAUGCUAUGUACUCUGUUUUUAUGGUCUUUCUUUUUGUGGUUGUUGGACUAACUGUAAUGUGAAUUUCUAUCUAAUGAACAUCCUAAUCCUUUGAGUUAUUUUGGGAUUGUUGAUUUAUAUAUAAUGUUUAGUAUCCAAAAUUCAGAUGAUGAUAAUCUUCGCAGUAGUUUUGUCAAGUUUUCUUUUGUGUUGGUUUUGGUAUUUUAAUUUUGUACGUACCUAAUGUUAAGGUCAAUAGGGACCUAAUUUAAAAACUAUUAUAAUUUUACAUAUAUAGAUACAAAUUCAUGUUUAAGAAUCCUUUUAAUCAACCAUUCCAGUGUUUUAUAUUGAGUAAUUGGUUCAAUAUUAAUACAAACUAUUUUAAGUAACAUGUGGCAAAUUCUAGUGAGCUCCAACUCCGACGAUCGAUUUAUUUUUUUCUUUUUUUUAGGACAAAGAAAGAAACCAAAUUACGAGCUUGUGAAAAGCAGAAUGAGAAAAGUGAGUAAGCAGAGUUUGUGAUUGUGUCUAGUAAGCCUAGAAAUCAAGCAAAACCCACUAUAAAUAUAAAAUCAGAGGAGCACAGAAAUUCUAAGGAAAAAAAAAAGGAAAAAGCCAAGCCAAGAAUCAUAUGCCUUUGCUUUACAUAUUAAAUUAAAAUAAAAGCCAAGCCUGGAAUCCUGCCUUUGCUUGAUAUUUGACAAGAUUAAUUGGACAUUACACAGAGAAUAAAACUUGUAAAGAACCAAACCCAUCAAACCCUUUCUUUAUCUUAAAUGUCAGGAAUAUAAUUAGCUUGGAAUACAGUUAUACUCUUCUCCUUUCUCCAUUGGUACAGGUUAAUCUCAACUGUUUGAAGAGAGUCUAUCAAUUCUUCUUAGCUAAGAAUAUAAAAAAUGUAUAAACUUAACAGCUAAUGACAUAAUUAACAUAACACAAUUAUUACACUAAAUGAAAGAAAAGAAUUUAACAAGCUUCCGCACAGUCUUGUUUCAGGCUGGACAUUGGUGAAUUGACCAAAAGAUCAAUAAAAGAAUCUCAAAAAACCAAAUGGAAAUGGGACUAAUUUUCAGAUUUUUUCAAAUUACACUUAUUUACAAAAGCAAUACAAAAUGAUUUCCUUUUCAAAUUACACAUAUUUACUAAUAGUGGUGAUUAAUUUAUUUAGCUUGUCAUAGUUUUCAAUUAAGAAUGAAGUUCAAUCAAUUUAUUUGGGGGGGGCGGGGGGGGGCAAAGAUAUUUUUUAUUUUUUUGGGGCAAAAAAAAACAUAAUUUUAUUUUUUUUUCUUUUAGAUUUUAAUUCCUAGGAUCUAAUUUCACUAUGUUUCGAUUAUUGAUGUUGCUGAAGAGGGCAGUACAAGCUUGCUGAAAGUCAUCAAAUGCUUGCAUCUCAUCUCACAAAUUGGGCAAAUAUCGGUUGGUUUCUCUACGGUUUGCCAUCAUGAAUUGAAAGUGACAACAACCACCAACUUAAAAAUAAUUUCAAGUAUCUUUUUUACUUGAAAUCCUUGAAAAGAAAAAUUAAUCAGAUUGAAUUAUACAUAUAUGUUUGAGGGAAAGAUAGGAAAGGUAAUAGAGCGCCACGUGUCUGCCAAUGGAAUGAUAUCAGCACAAUCGGAGGUACCCUGCAUAAUCCGAGGUGCCCGACAUGACUUGAGGUACCCCGUAUAAAUAGAGGUACCCUGCACAAUUAGAGGUAUCCCACACAAAUAGAGGUACCCCAUACAAAUAGAGGUACCCCAUACAGAUAGGGGUACCCUGUGUAAUAGGGGUACCCUGCGUAAUAGGGGGUACCCCAUGUAAUUCGAGGUACCAGGCAAAGCGGAUGCAAGAGAAUCCACCGAAAAUACCCGCCAUGAGAAACGUCUCCGCCUCCUAAAAGAUAUCAUUUGAUUUUUUCAGAAUUAGGAAUCAAAAGCGACGUGCUAAAAGGAGGGACAGCCGCCUGCUACCUCUGCCAAAAGUGAAGGACACUGUCCCAAGGACAGUGGUCCCUAGCCGCCUACCUGACAGCUACUGCAGAGGUACCCUGGACCACUCUCCAGCGCGCGCCACGUUUCCAAAAGAUGAGAUACGCCGCGAAUAUGCAAAUAACGGCCCAAAAAUAAUUAUAAAGAGGUAAAAGGACGUUAGCCAAAAAGGGUACGCCACGUGGCAGCUGAGGUACUCCAUAUAUAAAGGUGCCUAGAUUUCAUUCUCCAGGAUGCUCUCAUUCGCCCAAAAAUACUCACACUCCAAAAAAGAGGUUUUCUUCAACCUUAAACCCUAAUUUACAGAGGGCUAGCUAGCUCUCUUUGCCAUAAAAGCUUGAGUUUGCUAACUUGAGCGUCGGAGUGUGAACGCCGAGGUACCCCGGCUUCACCUCUAACCUCCAUUUCACUGUUUUGCAGGCGUGAAGCUCAUUUUGAAGGACACCUCUCUUGUUUCUGACCUUCCACCAUUGUUACCACUCUCUCUCCCCUUCUCACCUCCCACGAAUUUCAGAUACACCGCACCGCGCACAACAAACCAGUGAGGUACCCCAUCUCCCCUCAAAAUAACAAAUUUAUUGUUCUAGAUUGGUUUGGUUUUUCUUACCCCAAAAUCAGUUGAAAACAAUAUACAUAAAUUCGAUACCAGUUGAAAAUGUGAGUAUGAUUAAUUAAUAAGAGAGAACAAGAAUUGAUCAUGUCCCAAAACAGAGAAAACUAGAUUGUGCAAACUUGCGUGCGCAUAUCAUAUGUUAAUCUUAAUAUUUUGUUGCUGAAAAUUAAUUAAUUAGUUCCACUACUCCCUUUCUUAAUUUUGUGUUAUGUACCCCAUUGGCAACUUCUGAAAUAUGUUGCAUAUUUGUUAAUUCAAAGAAAUAGAACUUUUGUAUCAAUCAGACUUUACUUUAUUAACAUUCUUCAUCAUUAUGAUUAAUGGCUUAGCAAAUGUAGGAGGAGGGUCAGCCAAAAUAAAUAAAGUACUUUCUCAUGCAUUAACCUUUAUUAAAAGGCCUUAUUAAUUGUUGCAGUUAAAAAAAAAANNNNNNNNNNNNNNNNNNNNNNNNNNNNNNNNNNNNNNNNNNNNNNNNNNNNNNNNNNNNNNNNNNNNNNNNNNNNNNNNNNNNNNNNNNNNNNNNNNNNUACUCUAUUUUUUUGUCGUUAUUCAGCCGAGCCGUUAGAUUUUACUUACGUUGAUCUAACAGUUGGGAUUUGUAAAUGAAUAACGAAGUGGCGUUUGGCUACCGUCUGAACCCACAACGUCUAGUUGGUUUUGUGAUUUUUUACUAUCUUCUCUGUAACGCUUGACUAGUUCUGGAAUUGUCGACCGCUAUCGACAGCAAAUCUGAAGCAUGCAUUAUUUUUGGGCAUCGAUUUUUCUUCUUUGAAUCUGAUAUUCAUUUCUUUUCUGUGGCAAUAAUAUCAUAAACUAAUAUUUCCUAUUUUAUUACGAAGGUUUAAAGUUCACCUUUCACACUAAUGUCAUUCAGUUCUUGAAUUCUUGAUAGGUUAAAGUUUUUGUGAAGCGCUAAUCAAAUAUGUCAUACAUCAAAAUGCAGGUCUUGCAUUUCAAUCGUUGAAUACUGCCCCUUCUCUUACUAAUUUUCAAAUUCGUACUAUCUUAUAAUUGGAUCAUCGAUAUUUUAAGCGCCAGACCUUAAUAAAACUAAAAUUGUCCUUAAUAUUAAUAAUAUUAAUCACUUAUAUAAUAUUGGCUUAAAUUUUUUAGUAGAUAAUUAAAUUAACUUUUACUAAUUUACUAACAACCCCUUAAAUUAAUUAUGUAGUUCGCGACCUAUUUUCCUCAUAAAUAAGAGUAGAUGAUUAAAGCCUCCUUUAGUCGAUGGGCCAUAAUCAUUUGAAAUUUGCGUUGCUUUUUCUAUGUAGGACUAAGAGAUGUACCUCAAUUCUUUUGAACGCAUGUAAAGUAAAUUCAUAAGCUUCGAAGAAGUAAAUUAGUCAAACUAAUCAAAACAUCCAUUAAGCUGGUCAGAGGAUCAGACCGCUCUCUAUCCACCCUUAUCACCGCCUGGUCCAAACUCAUUUUUCUUUGAAAAUAGACAAAUAAUAAAGCCACUACAAGUUAAGCAGAUCAAAUAAACAGAGGAAAUAGCUGAUCAAUUCUUUGUGCAAUGGCCACAGCAACAACAAAAAUAUGUCUACAUGACUACAUUAAUCCGACUGGCGUGGUACCAUCGCCAUGCAGCAUUACAGCAACAUUUGAUCAUCUAUCAAUUUUCAUGAUAUGAGAUUAGAAACAUUGAGUUUAUAAUUUUAUGUAAUUUCAUAGAAAAGAUAUAAUUGAUUUGAGUUAGUUUAACAUAUAAGGAAGGAGUAAUGAGGAAUGAUAUCGCUGUGGCAUGUGCUGAGUAAAGAUAGACAACAAAUAUUGAUCAUGUAAUAGUGAAAUAUGUAUUUAUAGAAAAAUAUUUGGCAAUAAAAUGAUGCUAUAAGAAUUUAAUAUUAGUUGCAAGAAAAUAAAUUGACAAUUAAAUUAAUAGAUAUAUAUGCAAUGCUUCGAGUUUAUCUUAUCAAUUUGAUAACCAUUUUGUAACUACAUAUUAAUUAGAAGUUCAAUUAAUUUUGACCAAAGACUCCAGAGAAUGUGGAGAAGAGAUUUGAUUUUGGUAUUAAUAAAAAUAGAAAUGAAAUAAGUCAAAAACAAUUACAAGAACAACAAUAAAAGCAUAUUUUAUAAAAGCCACAAAUACAUAAUAUAAAUUUGAUUUUGAAUUACGCAAUUACUAAUUUAUAUAGUAAGAGGGUCUUAUAGAAAAAUAGGAAUUUUUUAAAAGAGAUUUGUUAAAGGAAAAAGUUUAGUUUGGUCUAGUUCGUGAAGGCUCAAGUAAUUGAAUGCAAUGCAAGUGAAAGAAACACAAACUUCUAAUUUUUACGAAGUAAUCGCUAAAAUAUUUGACAAGUUUGAGAUUUUAAAAAGGCUGGGAAAAUAGACCAAUAAUAAAGACCCUACAAGUUAGCAUAACAAAUAAACAGAUGAAAACAGGGUAGAUAUUUACCAUUAUACAUAGAUAUAUAACGAAUGUUGCGAAUUUUUUAUAAUAGAGAACAUAACUCAUGGUUUAGCAAUAAUCAUCGGCUCACUGGCCGUUAGUUCAGAACGACAAUUCUUAUUAGUCAAAGAAUCAAAAUGAUUUUUAGUUGUUUAUAAGUAGAGCACUAGAUCAACAAAUAAUUGAAGACUUGCUUUUGCUAUUGAACCAUGGGAUGGCAAUUCGAAGACUAGAGCUUAAGUCUGCCAUUCGAAGUAAGCAACUCAGCUGCCCAAAGACUGCCAAGCCACCAAGACAAUGCGAAGAUACGACAUCAAGAAUUACAUACAGGCCAUCUCAUAUUACAUCUCUCCUCUGUUUUAAGAGAGAUUUACGAACCCACGCACUAGGAGUAAUUCAUUAAUCUAUACAGUUCAGUACUCAUUCCUCCUCUAUUUCGAAUCCAAACCAUUUAUUAUGACGCAAGGUACAUGGGUUAGCAGGUGCCGAUAUUGUCCUCCAUCCUUUUGUAUACGUUUCUUCUAUCGGAACAAUUUACAAUUAAAUAAAUCAUUCAAAAUCUCCUUUAGUCGAACCCCCAUUUAUAUGGUUUAAUUAAAUAUCACAAAGUUGCCUAAUACAGAGAAAUUAACAAAUUCAGCCCAUGAGAGUGCCGUUUUAAUGCAAGAAAUUGAAAGUUAAUUAACACUGGAUUAUGUUGGAUUGUUACUUGUUAAUUACGAUGGGAAUAUAAUCUUGGUCCUUUUAUUAUCAUCUAGCCAACCCAUGCGCAAUAGCUUCAUUUGUGUUUGUCACUAAAGAGUAAAGUUGCUUGAUUGAACGGUAUCAUAUGACAGAAACUCAAAACUCUAUCAUUGUCCGAGUAUACCAUGCCACAUAUGUAGCUCAAAGGUACAAUAACAUUGAACAUUCAGCUAGCUAGCUCAUACUAAUUAAUUUAUAGGAUUGUUAGUUCUUUAUGAUUAACUAAAAGUGAAAAAAAAUUGACAAUCACGAAAACAAUAACAAUUCACUCCCAUAAAUAACAAAAUAAAUGCAUAGUCUAUAUUGCAAGUCUUUUUAUGAUUUUAAUUAAAAGAGAAACUACGAAGGACAUAUUAUAUAUAAUUGAAUGUUCUCCUUGAUAAUUAGACAAAAUAACAUCAAUCUGGCUAGCUAAUCUGAUCAUCAUAAUAAUUCGAUUUUCAAUAUUUAAUUAUGUCCAAUCAUGCUAAUUUAAUAAAGAACACUAAAAACUUGAGUAUUUAUAUUUUCAACAACUUUGGCUAAGUUAAAAAAAAAAUAUUAGAGCUGCAUUUAUGCUUUCUGUUAUUAAGUAGGCCAUGAACAUAUUAUGUUGCAUUUGUUUGAAAAUUAUUGAAAAAAAAUCUUAAAAGAGGUGUGUUGAAUUGUGAGCCGGAAACUGAGUUGUACACGUUUCUGAGAUGUCGGUUUACAGCCCUGAUUGUGCAUGCCCUGUCGGUUUCUGGAUAAAACAAAAGAAUAUUGACAUCUAUGUAUUGUCGUUUACUUCCUGUAAGUAAAUCACAUGUUCUUCACGUGAUUUCACUUACUCUAUACGGCACAUUUGGCAGUCAUUUUGGUCACUUACCGAAGCGCGAGUUAGUACUUGAUUCAAGGUUGUUAACUGACCUUUACAAGGUGGGAAAAUUCUGGGUUUGUUAAUGUAGCUGGUGAGUGCGGGACCUUUCUAUAUUCUUCAUGAUCUGUAUAUAUAGUCUUAGAGGCUAUAUUUGAGACAUAUGAAAAGCUUGUAACUUCUUGGUGAUGGAGAUAAGAUUGCUACCUUGUUCUUCAGUGGAUAAGAUCGUCCAAGCCGAACCACUUAAAUUGUGCCUCUGUUUUGCUUGUUUCUGUUCUUAUUCUUGGGAGGUGUGUGAUUUGCUAGCAAUUAGAGAGUUUAGUGAGAUCUUUCUGGUUUUAGGUUGAGUUUAAUGGAUCAAGAAUCAACAAGAUGUAAUGAAAACAAAAUGAGAGAAUAAUGCACACACAUCACAGCAAUGCUUCAUUCAUUUUGAAUCUAUAUAUACAAAAUUUGUAUCGGAUGGUUUACGUUUGUUUAAUCCAAUGGCUAUAACAUGUGUACCAUCAAAAGCUACAGUAGCCGUCUUUGUUUGUCCUCGUGGCAUCCUUGAUCUUAUAUUAUCCUGGUGGUUCUUGAAAGUUCUUCUCAUUCCCAAGUGCUGAGUUGCUUGCUGAGAUGAUGAAUACUUGAUGGUCCUUCCUUGAGACAUUUGAUGAGAAAUGAUGUAAUCAAUAUAGAUCUAUUUUGAAAAAUCAAUAUAAAUCAAUCCCCUUAGAUUCUCUUUGUCUCGUAGCACAAUGGGUGGUGAUUUGAUGAGAAAUAUUAGUAUGCAUGCAUCCCCUGCAUUCGUAAGAGCUGCUCGUCUUUUUCUUCUUUCUUUUGGGUACUUUUUUAUUUUCAUUCAGUCAAAUUCAGUUGCAAUCAGAUAUUAAGUAUAUUUGCCAGAAUGGAUGCAACAAAAAUUCUAUCUGAUCUGUAGUUCAUGAAAAGCGGCCGAAUGCUUCCGGCAAUUCAAGCAGAUAGAAGCUUGGUUGAUUGAUUGCUCUUCAUGUGAAAUUCUACCUAAUGGCUAUACUUUUAAUGGUUUAAAUUCUUCUUUUUUUCUUUUAAUUGUUGAUUUAUACUGUCUUGUUUGCAAAUUAAAUUCGAAAUUUCGGAUGAUGAUAAUCUUGAUUUAGAACAGAUUAGGUAACAUGUGGCAUUCUACAAUCUUGCAAUGCCAUUUCUUGUUAUGGCAGCAGCAUUUUUUUCUCAAUUGUUUGUGUGGACUAAUUUUCUGAAUUCAAAACUUGGCGUAUUAAAACGGCAUCGUUUUGUCUAUUAAGAUUUUUCAACUGUUCAUGAAUGUGUUUUUGCUAAGGACAGCCUAAGUUUUAAGUUCUGCACGUGACAAGCACGUGAGAGAAGAAUCAAGUUAGUUAUAAGUUGUUAUACACGUGGCUGGAUCUGGUGCAAUCUGGUGUUAUGAACAGCCGUUAUAUAAGCUGAGCUUUUCAGGCAGUUUCAGCAAGAUGUAAAGAGCUUUCUAGAGAGAAUGAAGAGAGAGAGAAACUAUCAUCUUAUUCCUUGUUAGUUUCUCCGUGUGAUCUCUGUAAAAUUACUUUGAAUCAUAAAUAAAACUCAUUUUGGUCGAUUCUCCCUUGGAUGUAAGUUGUGCCUAAUUGCACAGCUGAACCACGUAAACAGUGCUGGUUUCUGCGUGUGAUUGUUUGUUAAUCUUGCUUAUUUCUUGUUUCCUAAUGGCUGAAAUCUUGCUUUAAGUUCUCAACUCAUCUAUUGAGUUCAUCGAGGUCAUUCAAUUGUUCAUAUGUAGCUAGUUUGAUCUUGAACAAGGUCUUGGGCAGUGUUUUGAUAGCUUGAUUAGCGGCUAUCUUGACAGUACAAUUGGUAUCAGAACUAGUUCUUCAGAUCAAGAUCCAAGUAUGGCUACAUCAAAGAUUGAUCUUGAGCUUGUAGACUCAGUGAUAAGGGAAGUGGCAAAAGAAUCCACGCUUGCUGACUUAUGGGCUAAGUUGGAGAGUAUGUACAUGAGAAAAUCCCUUGCUAACAGAUUGUACAUAAAGAAGGGGAUGUUUACCUUAAAGAUGAUUGAAGGCUCAUCUCUUGAUGAUCAUAUUGAUGGGUUCAACAAAGUCUGUGACACUUUGAAAAGCAUUGAUGCAGAAUUAAAUGAUGAAGAUAAAGCCUUGCUAUUAAUGAGCUCUCUUCCCAAAGUCCUAUGAGCAUUUUGUUGAUGGCUUGAUGUGUGCAUAUAUGCAUAUCAUAAAUUUUAUUUUAUGAUCGCGGCUAAUCCGACGACUUUCGAGUACAUUCAUUCAAAUAUUAAACGUACCAAGUCUACAGAUUUACGUUUUGCCAUUUGUGGCAGGAUAGCAAAAAUUACAAAUGGUCAUUCCCAGCACGAACACCUAUGGCUCUUUUCCUUUAAUUUUCUUCUUAGAAUUUUCCUUUGAUUAAUCAUUAGAAAAACUGCUUUCUUUUUUUUUUUCUUUUUUUAAACAUGUGCCGUUAACAUUUACAUGGUUAAUCUCAUCGAAAUCAAAUGGUUGUUAUUCCCAUUGCAACCAUAUAUUGUUAUAAAUUGCAUUGUUUCCUAUAACAAAUAUAAUAAAAUCUCAAUAAAUUAAUAGUUCUGGGACCAAUGAAAAAUUAGUUAAAAUUUAACGAAUAUCAAUUAGUCGAUAAGUUAAUAAAUUAUUAAUUUAUGAAAAUAUUCAUUAUUUUGGGAAAAAAAUGAUUACGUUUAUAGUAUUGAUUUACCUUGAGUUAGAAGCUAUUACGUUUUAUUUGAAUAGUAGUUUUCUUUUAAGAAGAUUUUUUAAUUAUAAAGACUAUUGUAUGAUUUUUAUUUUUCCAUGUUAGAGAUGAUAGUUCUGCUAUACAAGCUGUUUCGAUCAAAGGAUUAGAUGAUAUUGACAUUGAAUAAUUUUUUGUUGCAAAAUGACAACACCAAUUAGAAUUUCUUUUCGCAUUACAAAAGUAAAAAAUGAAAUCCAAUUCUAAAUUAAUUUACAAAGAAAUAAACUAUGCUGAGAAUAUAUUUUACACAAGCCAUAUAGACAUAUCAUAUGGAUUUUAUUUUAUACUAGGUAAUUAUUAAUCUAUGUAGUAAUAUAUUUCCUUCAAAAUGUACUAUUUGAUUUUGAAAUUAUUUUUUAAAAAUUUAAUAUCACAAUAAUAGUCAUGAUUCCAUCGGUUUGAGGUUUUUUUCUUUUUUUUGUUUAAGAAAAAAGAUGGGAAAAUAGCCAAAUGAUGAAAACACAAGCUAAGCAGAGCCAAUAAAUAGUGGAAAGUGAAUUACUGUCCUUGAACACGUUCUCUAAUAAUCUCAAUAUUCUACAUACAUUUUUGUAAAUUCGUGUCGCAUACAAAAGUCUUAUGGGUUUUGUUGCAUCAAUUCUUUGGUGAUUUAUCUUGUUUUAUUAUUUUACGACGCAAGAGUCCUCGAAGCAAUACAUUUGGAAUAAAACGAUUUAAUUUAUUUUUUGUUGUUAUUAACAAAAACUAUAUAUUAUUAAUUAAUCAACUCAUCGAGAUAUUGGUUUCAUUUGUAACAAGUAGCUAAUUGCUUAGUACAUUGUUGUACUUACUCGUUAUCAUAUCAAGAAGAACUUGUAAAUAAGAACAUAGACGUGGUACGCUGUGAUGUGAUAAAUUUAAUUCAAAUCUAAAUUAAGAGAUGAUUCAUAUAUAUAGGUACAUACCGAACAAAGAUAUUCAAACAUAAGCACUCCAUUUUAUGAUAUACCUAAUGAUAAUCGGUUUAUUGUCCAUAGGAAAUUGAGUGAAUAGAAACAGAUGUAGAAAGUCAAAAAGACGAAAAAGCGCACAUGACGAUUUAUAAAAUAAUAAAUUAAAUUUAUAUCGUUUUUAAUAAGUGUGAGAUUAUUUGCAUUUUAAAAUUUAUUUUGAAUGCUCUUAUUUUUUAUUACAAAACCUCAUAAUUCAAUUUACUAUUAAGAACAAUUCAAUAUAAAUAAAUAGAACAAUAAUACCUUUGACACCCACCUAGAGCGCACACACCCAUGUAAAAUUAUUAAACCUUAAACCGAAGAACGUUCUUCCUCAACAUUAAAACUCGUGCAUUAUUUAAAAGUAUAUUUAACAAAUUUUCACAAAGAGACUCCAUGAUUCUAAUUUCUUUGACUUACAUUUCAAUUUUUGUGGAAUAUAUAUCUAUUCCAUAUUAAGAGAUUCUGAAUUUUUCACUCGGCUGUCAAGGAGAUUGCACUGAAUAAACAACAGCAGAAAAACAAAUAAAAAACCUGAUACACAUGUAGAAUAUACUCAUUAAAUUUUAAUUUUCGGCACAAUUAUGAGCUGCAUAUUUACACACACACACAAAUAACUGUUCUGCAAAUAUGUACAAAGCAAUUUCAGCCAUCCAACUUUUUUUGGAAUUUUAAUGAAUAUAAAUUUUAUAAGUUGGACAACUAUGAAACAUAAAAUUAGCAAAAUGAUAUUAUUAACAAAUAAGGAGAGGAAAAGGUAAUUAUAUCUUGGUGUGCUAAAUAUUUUUAUGGGUGUAGUGAAAAAACUAAAGAUAAUGGAAGAAAUGUUAUUGAGGAGUAUUUUGAUAUUUACAAAAGUGUUCAAAGUGAAAAGUGAUUUCCUAAAAUCUAUUAACUAGUGCGCAUAAUAGAAGGGCAUUUUGAGAAAAUUUUAGAUUACAAAUAGUCCCAUCCUUUUAAUAAUAUUCUUCAAUCAAUCUGUUUAUUUCAAAAUAAAAAAUCCAUCUCAUUUUUACUUUCUAAUUAGUCAUAUUAAUGUGUUAAUAAUUACGAAGAACCAGUAUUAUUUGUAUGAUGUAGGAAGCCCUUUCGACACAAUAACCCAAAUUUCUAAGAGUAGCGGCUGGACUUGAUUGGGAACAACCUCGAUUCAGUUUAAAAGGUUAAUCUCAAAAUUUCGUGAUAUUGUGCCUAAACAGCUUCCUGCAUCCGUAUAACAGUUUCCAAAACUUAAUGAGUCCAAAUAUCCAAUGGUGAUGACACAUACGCAUGGAAGUCCCCUGAUUUGAGUUUGACUAAAAUAAUCUGAAUAAUUUAAAACAACACAUCAGGCCAAAGUCCUUAAGAGAUGAACUGGAUUUCGGUGCAUCACAUUCCGAAAUUGAUACUAACCUUAAUUGGGAAGGCAGAACAGCCUCUCUUUCCUACUAUUGCACAAAAUGGCAAGUCAAGCCAAUGCAAGGAACUUCCCUGUUUUUUUACUGAAAAAUACAUAAUCUGAACAAUUUGUAAUCAAAUAAAUCAUUCAAAAUAUCCUUUAAUCGAACCCCCGUUUCUAUGGUUUAAUAAAAUAUCACAAAGGUGCCUAAUACAGUGGAAUUAACACUCAGCUCAUGGGAUUGAAAUUAUAUAUAUUGAAACAGAAAUUAAUACAAGAAAUUGAAAAUUAGUUGACACUAGAUCACGUUGGAUCGUUAGUUGUUAAUUAUGAUGGAAAUAUAAUCUUGGUCUCUUAAUUAUCAUCUAGCUAACGCAUGUGCACUAGUUUCAAUUGUGUCUAUCACUGUAAACAGUAGAGUUGCUUGGUUGAAUAGUAUCAUAUUACAUCACAGAAACUCACUCAAUUUUCAUUGCCAUAUGUAUCUCAAAAGUGCAUGAACAUUGAACAUUCAGCUAACUUAUACCCAACAACAUCCAUCAGUCAAAGUGAAAACCCAAUUGAUUUCAUAAAUACAAAAGAGCAAGUUUCACACAUGCAUGCAUGUGUCUGACCAACACAACAUGGCUUGUGGCAAGGAUCAAUCAAAGAAAUAUAAACUUACAAUUUUAUAAAUGUUAAGUAGAUAAGAGCACCAGCUCGGCCAUGUCGUCAUCCCCACGCUGAGGUGGACCACCUCAGCCGAGUGGUACGAGCCGAACACUGGUAAUGAGCCUUCUACAAAUGGGCCGACCAGAGACGAGUACCAGCCAGAAGAGUAUACCGAUCAGAGACAUAUACCGAGCCGGUGCCCAUCCCCCAAAGAGCGGGAACACGAUCUCACAGAAUCACGCCAGUUGCGCUUUUCCCAGAACCGUUGAGGGAGACGCGAGAUCCCACGUUUGCCCACAAUGUAGCAGUUAGAAUCCCAUGAGGGGCUGCCACUACCCGAAAAAAGGGGACGGAGGGUGAAUGAAAACGUGGGACAGCGGCUAUAAAAGGGGAAGAAAUCGAUGAAGAAAAGGACAGAAAAAAGGAGAGAGGGGAAAACUCUGCCAAAUUGUAUCCAGACCCUUUUUUAGUACCAAUAGUGAGUCAAUUCUAGGCAAUUAUUUGAACCUUAAUUGCACCGUUUUCCCGUAAAUACUUUGUGCUAACUUAGGCAUCGGAGGGUUUACGCCGGCAAAACCACCGGCGUCUCUGACCCAUUUUUGUGAACGCAGGCUUAGUGAGAAAAAGAAGGAGAAGUCUAACUCUAGCAACUAGAGCGAUCGUUGAAGCAAGGAGAAAUUGACAUCCUCAUUGCUGAUAUUACAAACGUUGGUGUAAAGAUCUGGUCGGGCAUAGGACGAGCAGAUUUCGGCAUCAACAAUAAAGUAAGCAUCAAAAUGUUUGAGAAGUUUUAGAUUUGUAGAAUAUUGGGAAAACAGACAAAUAAUCAAUGAAGAAACUGCAAGUUAAGCAGAUCAAUUAAACAGAGGAAAUAACUGAUCAAUUCUUUGUGCAAUGGCCACAGCAAAUGUGAGGUUAUAAGUUGCUGAUGUGUUGGGCUUAAAUCCAAGAUUCGAAGAGUUCUGUGUGAAGACUGACUUCAGUUGGAGGGGUCUUAUUGUAAAUUUUAUGCUGAUGUGGCAGAGUUCGUUGAGAAUUCGUUAUGCCUUUUCCAGAAAUAUCAGAAUAAAAGGCGCUGGUGAUUAGCCCCUGAUCUGAGAUCAAUAUCUUCUUCAUUUCUUGUUCAUUUUGUUGGAAAUUUGGUUCUCUGUGAUCCUUGUAAUUGCCUCUUCGUAAUCAACCUGUAUCUCGAUUGUUAUGAUCAACAAAAGAGCAGUUUUUUCCUUCAUUGACUUGUGUACUUGAAACAGUGCUCUGUGUUCUAUUCUUGGAAUUGCUUUCGUGUUUGGUUGAUCUGGUUUGAUUCUUUCAAGUCCGAUUCAUCAAGUUCUUCACGAACUAACUUGUGUAGCCAUUAAAGUUUCAACAGCAACAGAUUAAAUCUGUCUACAAGGCUACAUUAAUCCUAAUGGCGUGGUACUAUCUUCAUGCAACAUUACAUUAACAUUUCAUCAUCAAUCAAUUUUGAAGAUAUGAUAUUAAAAACAUUGACUUCAUAAUUUUAUGUAAUUUCAUAUAAAAGAUGUAAUUGAUUUUGAGUUAGUUUAACAUAUAAAGAAAAAGUAAUAAGGAUUGAUAUCAAUGUGGCGUGUGAUGAGUAAUAAUAGACAGUAAAUAUUAAUCAUGCAAUAAUGAAACAUGUAUUUAUAGAAAAAUAUUUGGCAAUAAAAUGAUGCUAUAAAGUUUAAUAUUAGUUGCAAGAAAAAAAAAUUGGCAAUUAAGAUUAACAGAUACAUGUGCAAUGUUUCGAAACAUGUAUUUAUAGAAAAAAAAAAUUUCUUGCCAAUUAAGAUUAACAGAUUCAUAUGCAAUUAAGAUUAACAGAUACAUAUACAUAUGCUUCGAAACAUGUAUUUAUAGAAAAACAUUUGGCAAUAAAAUGAUGCUAUAAAGUUUAAUAUUAGUUGCAAGAAAAAAAAUUGCCCAUUAAGAUUAACAGAUACAUAUGCAAUGCUUCGAGUUUAUUUUAUCACUUCGGUAACGAUUUUGUAACUACAUAUUGAUUAGAAGUUCAAUUAAUUUUGACAAAAAACUCUGGAGAAAGUCGAAAAGAGAUUUGAUUUUUGUAUACAAAAAAAAAGUAAGAAAUGAAAAAGCCAAAAUCAAUUACAAGGACAACAAUGAAAGCAUAUUUUAUAAAAGGCACAGAUACAUAAUAUAAAUUUAGUUUUGAAUUACGUAAUUAUUAAUUUAUAUGGUAAGAGAGUCUUAUAGAAAAAUAGGAAUUUUUAAAAUAGAUUUGCUAAAGGAAAAAGUUUGGUAUAUUUUGUGAAGGCUCAAGUAAUUGAAAGCAAUACAAGUGAAGGAAACAUAAACUUCUAACUUUUACAAAGUAAUCGCUAAAAUAUUUGACAAGUUUGAGAUUUUAAAAAGGCCAGAAAAAUAGACAAUAAUGAAGACCCUACAAAUUGGCAGAACAAAUAAACAGAGGAAAACGGAGCAAAUAUUUACAUAUAUAUAUAUAUAUAUUUUCCAAAACCAAUGUUGCGAUUUCUUUUUGUAGAGCAAGUGAAUCCAAACACAAGCCAGAAUAAACGACAGCGUUUAGAGCAAGGGUUAAGAUUCGUUAUGAAGCCACGUGAGUAAGCUCGUGAUCUCCAUAAGUAAAACGACGCUCAGCCUUGCGUUUUGCUCAUAACAGACUUAACAGAGUUGCUCGUGCCAGUCACGUGUUCAUUUAAACUCUUCUGAAUCGGUUUAACGGCUGGACACGUGGGAAGCAGCUUUGCGUUCUGGGUUCGAAGUUUGUUAUUCUUCUGUUAUAUAAGCUCGUUGUAGUGUGAUUUCGAGGGUAUUCUAGAGUGUUGUUCAGUUAAGAGGAAGGUGAUCCUUGUGCUCUGUAAACUCAUCUCUGGAUACUUUGUUUUUUCUUGUUCACGAAUCAAUAAAAGCAAGCUGAACCACAUUAUCUCUGUGAUUUUGUCUCUGAUUCAUCUCUUUCUUUCUUCUUGAUUCUAUUUCUUGGAAGUUUAAGUCUGGUUUGUUGAAUAUUGAGUUGAUUCAGAUUCGGUUCUGUGCUUGUGCAUCUUGUGUUGGUCUCAUUCAAGAUCUUGGGCAGAGUCUUUGGUUUGACAAGUUAAUUAGAUCGUCCAAAGCUCUACGUUUUUUUUUUUUUUAACAAAAAAGAAGCACAGUCUGCUAUUAAUACUGUAGCAUGUUAGCUACUAUGAAAGCUCGUGUCUAAUUACCAAAUAAAUUCCACUUUAACAAAGAAUAGAAGCUAAUUUUAUUUUUUUCUUUUUGUUAUUGAAGUUACCUCGCAAACUGCUCGGAAGCUUAUUACAAAAUUUCCUUUUACUCUAGGAUCUCUUGAAUGGUCCUGCAAUUUGUAUUCUUUUAUGUGGGAUUGGUUUUUUCUUUAAACAAAACUUCACGGAUCAGAAACCUUACCCAUCGAAUACCAACUUUGAAAUUUAUUAUUAUUCAAACUUAGAAAACUGCAGAAACAAAGUGCCUUUAAACAAAUUUCAAGGAUAAGACAAAAUUAAAUAAGUUAAUUUCAUUGUUACUACAGAAACAAAGUGCCCUCAUAGCACCAGUUAAGCUGUGUCUUGCUACCAUGCUGGUUCUAUUUUUAGUUUAUUAAAUAUAUACAAAAUUAAAUCACCUGAGCCUCUAGUUUCACUAGUUUCCAACUUGAAAUUAAAACGCGAAAUUAAUGGUAUUGGAGUUCGUUAUUUAAUUUUGCUUUGGUUCAUGGGGAAUCAGAUGGCCAUCCAAUUUUAUGUCUAUUUUAUGUACUAUUGGCCACUAAGUAGCUUGCUUAUAUAUGUGUAUUGGGAUGUCAUAGGCCUUAAAGCUGAAAAUCAAUCCCCAAUCUAAAGUGAAAAACAGUAGCUAGAACAGAUUCUAUGUUUUGAUGUCUUUGUUUAUAAGCUCAAACAAAUUAGUAGUGUAUAGAAAAUGCAUGAUAGAACCCAAAACUCAUAUUGAUUUUUAGUUUCGAAAUUCAUUUCAGAAAAUCUGUUCCGUUCAACAGAUUUAACUAAAUUAUCAACUAAACUCUAGCCAUGUACUUGCUUAUCUAUGGGUAGAGCACUAGGUCAACAAAGGAGUCCAUCUUUAAGGCCUUGUCUAAGACUGUGGUUGCCUUUUUCAUGAGCUUCUGGCUUUCCAGCUUGCUGAGCGACGUACACAUAAAGAGGUUAUCCUUCUCUUUUUUUCUUUGUUUUCAUAUCACAGAAUCCAUUUUUGAAUAUAUGUAUUUAGGUACACACACACAUGAAUAUAUAUGCAUGUUUUUAUGAGGAUAUUCAAGUAUAUUAUUUGACAAUCACAAAAACAACGAUCCACUCCAAUAAAUCUCAUAACAAAUACAUGCUCUAUCUUUUUAGGACUAAUUCAAAGAGAAAAUACGAAGGACACAUAAUUGAAUUUUGUCCAUGAUAAAGAACUCUAAACAAAUUCAUAAACUUAUUGCAGUACCUGUUAAAAAUUCAUUUGUUUCUUCUUUUCCUUUGAUCAACAGCUAAAUACAGCCUUGAAAUUUCAUUUAGUUUUGGUUAAUUUUCUGUGGAGUUGUGUUGUGUGUAAUAGUUUUGUUUCACGAAAUCGGUAGGGGAAGAGAAUUUUUAAAAGCAUAUCAAUGUAAUGAUCAAAGAGACGAAAUCAAUACAAAUAUUGAUUGUCUCAAGUUAGAUUAUACAAAGAAGAAAGAAGCUAAUCUAGCAAUUCAAUCAUAAUAAUUUGAUUUCCAUUAUAUUAAUUAUGUGCAAUCAUGCUAUUUUAAUAAAGAACACUCGAGCAUUUAUAAAUAGUCAACUUAUGAAAUUAAUUACAAAACAAUCUUUCGCAGAGUUUGAUGAAAAGACUGUGUAUUGUGUUAUCUUGAGGUCUUAUAUCAAUUAAAGCCAGGCUGCGCUUUGGCUGACAGCGAGAUAUAUCCAAACAUAAGUGCUGCGAAUGAACUGGGAAGACGGUAGGAAGAUUAAGCUGCUGAGGAGAAGAUAUAUGCAAAAGAAAUAAAGCUAAUCUGUUUUUAUGUAACAAGCUAUGUACUCUGCUUUUAUGGUCUUUCUCUUUGCGGUUGUUAGACAAACUUGAACGUAAGUUUCUAUCUUAUGUGUGUCCUAAUCCUUUUAGAUAGCUUGAGAUUGUUGAUUUAUAUAUGACGUUUGGUAUCCAAAAUUCAGAUGAUGAUAAUCUUGGCAGUACUUUUAUAAAAUUUUCUUUUGUGUUGGUGUUGACUUAAUAAAAUAUUACAAAGGUGCCUAAUAUAGUGAAAUUAACAUGAGCUCAUGAGAUUGCCGUUAGAUAUAUUGAAAAAGAAAUUAAUGCAAGAAACUGAAAAUUAAUUGAUACUAGAUCAGGUUGGAUAGUUAGUUGUUAAUUAUUGUUAAGUGUGAACCAGAAUUCAGUGUGCAGGGCAAACAACAAUGUCGACCAUCAGACUUGGCAGAAGACUACAUGUCCAAUAAAAGCUGAUCAGGGCUGUACGACAACCUUCCCAUGUCAAUCAGAAUUCGUAAAGUAAUGCACGUGUGUAACACGUGAUCUCCUAAUAACAUAUUAACUGAAACGGCAACUUUUUUUUUUGAAAAGGCUGAAACGGCAACUUACUACUGUCGUUUUGGGAUAUAUAUGUUACGCACACGCUCAGCACAAGGGGGAUUGGUUACCAGUUAAAAGAAGCGGGAAAAUUCUGGGGUUAACUACUUAACUGUAACAAACCCAGAAUGAUUUGCAGGCUUCUGAGAUAGGUUUCUAGGAGCUUCAAAGCUUGUAUAAAAAGGGUCCUGAUGACUGAAGUUGAGAGUGGUUUUUUCCUUGUAAUCUCUGAAAAGGCUUGAGCCUUGUUUCCUGCAUUAAUAAAUAAUCAUAGCCCUGUUUCUCAAAGAGGAUGUAGGCUGUAAUGGCUGAACCUCUAUAAAUCCUUUCUGUGUUUUUUCUUUCUCUGUUGUGUGUUUCUAUUCUUGUUUUAGAUUGUAUUGAUUCCUAAUAAAACUGUUAAUCAUUCUUCAUACUGAAUUUUAUUAAAUCUCUUCUUCUCUUUUGAAUAAAAUUUCUUUAAAAUUCAAUUCAUAAAAAAGAAAAUCUCCUUAUAAUUUAAUAUGUUUCAGUUGUCUCAGUGGAAUGAUGCUAUUUGUUUCAAUCAAAGUUUUGAAGCAUCCUAAAAUUUUGAGAUCCAAAUGAAAAUAAAUUAAUUUAAUUCGUGGUGUACUCUAAAUUUUCAGCUAUAAAAAAAUAGCGAAAUUGAAGUGCACUUGGGCAAGAAGAAACAGAGACUGCGAUUAUACAAUUUCAGUGUUUGACUCUAUCGGCAAAAAAAGAAAAUAAAAAAGAACUCCCAUUGUUCCAUUGUUUUUCCCAUAAAUAAUAAUAUACAGAGAAUUUUGUUUAACGAGAGAUAUAAUAGGUAUUUAGGUGAGUUUAUAGCGUAAAUUUUAAAAUUUUAAAAUUUAAUAAUGGAUUUAAUAAGUAAUUGGGUUCAAAUAGUAUUUUAGUGGUUUUAAAUAGCCCCACCCUUUUUAUUUUUAAAAAAGAUUUAAUUACAAAAAUAUUACUUCCAAUCGACAGCAUUUUAUAUUUUAUUUUAUUAAAUAUUAUUUUAUUUUUGAAUUACUAAUAAUGCACAAAACGGCAUCAUUUAUUGAUAUUUUUAAAUUGUUUAAGAUUUGUUUAAUUAGAAAAUUUCCAUUGUUGAUAUUUAAAUAAUUUUAAAAAAUAAAAUAAUAAAAUUGGUGUCGUUUAGUUUUGUUAAAUAUACUAAGGGCUCGUUUGGUAUGCCGGAUUGGAUUGGAUCAGAUUGGAUAAGAUAAAAUUGGAUUGGAUAAUAAUGGAUUAUAUAUAAUACUAUAUUGGGUUUGGUCCAAUUUUAGAUUGAACUAUAAAUAAUCAUCUCUUAUAUUAUAAUAUUAUAAUUUACAAGUUAUUAUUAUUAUUAUUAAUAAUAUAAACUAAAAUUUUGUAUUAUUAAUUAUACAAAUCAACCUCAAUGAUAUUAAUGAAAUAUAAAUCAUAAUUUAAAUAAUUUUUAUUUUUUUAAAUAUAUUUAUGAUAUUUUUAUUAUUUUUAUUCAAUAAUCUAUUAUUUUAUAAAAAUUUAUAUUUGUGAAUAUUAAUUUAAUAAUAAUUUAUAAUGUAAAUUUGAAAUUAUAAAAAUAUUUAAUAAAUAAAUAAAUUAAAAUAAAAUUUUCAUUCAAUGUGAAAUUAAUAAUGAUUUUUAGUAUAAUUUAUUAUUAAAAUUAUUAAAAUCAAUAUUUUUUAUUACAUUUAUCACAUAUUACUAUAAUUUUAAUAUUUAUAAAUUAUUAUGUUUAAUUGAAUUAUUAAUAUAAUCUAAUACUAACUAAUCCCAUAGUCCCCUUGAAAUAAUUUCUUUUACAAAAUUGAAAUUAGCUUUGGGGCUCACGAUAAAUAAAUUCUAAUACUUUUGACAGAACUAAAUAUAGGAAUAGGAUAAAAUUUUAACAAAGAGUUUAAUCUCCACUUUUAAUCCUCCUCCAACCAAACAUGCCCUAAGCUAACGGAUCAUGGCAAAUUUGUAGUAAGUGAUGAACGAUUUGAUAAGCUCUACUCCAUCAGUUCCUUAAUUGAGAAAAUUCCCAAGCCCGUGCAGCCUCACAAUUGAUAGAGACCCGAAGCCACCAAACUCGACAAUCAUCACUCAACGUCGUUGCAGGCUACCGGUCGCUCAACAAGCACCAGUUCCUCACUCUACAGCCAUCACUCAAGCGCUGCCAUUUCCUGUUAAUUAUUCGCUCGAAUUAGGGUUCUGAUAUUUGGGGAUUUUUUCUUAAUUGUGGAAUUAUGAAGUAAUGAUGAUGACGACGAAGAUGUGGUGGUUGACGACGGCAAAGGCAACGUUGAAUAUUGAGGCACUGGAGAAACAAGCAUUGGCUAUUAUCUUGGUCGAUUUGCCUCGAAUUGAUCACUAAAAAUGGGGAUAUCGUGGGCCGAGCUUCAACGCAGUCGCAAAUUUCAUUUGGAUAACUGAAUUUUAUUUUAUUUUUGUGUUUAAUUUGUUUAAAGUUUAAUUGUUUAGAUCUAGGCUAAAUUUUAAUGAUCAUUUUUAUGAUUAAAUGACAUGAGUAUGCUUAAGUUUUUUUCCUUCAAAUUGAUUUUCUGAUGUUACAUUUUGUUAGCAAAAAGUUAAAAAAUAGUAGAAACUGUCUGAAUUUUUGUUAUGAAGAUGUUGUUUUAGUUUGAUAUUGGGAAAAUAUCAUUAUACAUAUUGCCAUCAUAUUCAUGGGAGACCAAAAUGGGAAUGAUGGCAGGCUAUGCAUUGCUCACAACUAAUUUAAAACUCACUAUUUCUGUUUUUGGUGUUUUAGUAAUUCUGGGGGCAUUCCAACUAUAAUUAAUAAGCUAUAAACUUGUUUAGUAAUUACUAAUCAACUUGCUAGAAAGAGUCACAAACUAAUUAGCUUUCUCUUGUAAUUUUUACAGAUCAUCAGUGGAUAAGAACUACAAGGAGUUGAAGACUUAAAGAUAAGAACUACAAGGAGUGAAAACGNNNNNNNNNNNNNNNNNNNNNNNNNNNNNNNNNNNNNNNNNNNNNNNNNNNNNNNNNNNNNNNNNNNNNNNNNNNNNNNNNNNNNNNNNNNNNNNNNNNNNNNNNNNNNNNNNNNNNNNNNNNNNNNNNNNNNNNNNNNNNNNNNNNNNNNNNNNNNNNNNNNNNNNNNNNNNNNNNNNNNNNNNNNNNNNNNNNNNNNNNNNNNNNNNNNNNNNNNNNNNNNNNNNNNNNNNNNNNNNNNNNNNNNNNNNNNNNNNNNNNNNNNNNNNNNNNNNNNNNNNNNNNNNNNNNNNNNNNNNNNNNNNNNNNNNNNNNNNNNNNNNNNNNNNNNNNNNNNNNNNNNNNNNNNNNNNNNNNNNNNNNNNNNNNNNNNNNNNNNNNNNNNNNNNNNNNNNNNNNNNNNNNNNNNNNNNNNNNNNNNNNNNNNNNNNNNNNNNNNNNNNNNNNNNNNNNNNNNNNNNNNNNNNNNNNNNNNNNNNNNNNNNNNNNNNNNNNNNNNNNNNNNNNNNNNNNNNNNNNNNNNNNNNNNNNNNNNNNNNNNNNNNNNNNNNNNNNNNNNNNNNNNNNNNNNNNNNNNNNNNNNNNNNNNNNNNNNNNNNNNNNNNNNNNNNNNNNNNNNNNNNNNNNNNNNNNNNNNNNNNNNNNNNNNNNNNNNNNNNNNNNNNNNNNNNNNNNNNNNNNNNNNNNNNNNNNNNNNNNNNNNNNNNNNNNNNNNNNNNNNNNNNNNNNNNNNNNNNNNNNNNNNNNNNNNNNNNNNNNNNNNNNNNNNNNNNNNNNNNNNNNNNNNNNNNNNNNNNNNNNNNNNNNNNNNNNNNNNNNNNNNNNNNNNNNNNNNNNNNNNNNNNNNNNNNNNNNNNNNNNNNNNNNNNNNNNNNNNNNNNNNNNNNNNNNNNNNNNNNNNNNNNNNNNNNNNNNNNNNNNNNNNNNNNNNNNNNNNNNNNNNNNNNNNNNNNNNNNNNNNNNNNNNNNNNNNNNNNNNNNNNNNNNNNNNNNNNNNNNNAAACCUUUAACCCCUAAACUUUUUUUUUUUUUUUAAAAGGCCAAGGGGGUUUCCCCCCAAUUUGGGGGAAAGAGUUUUCUUUUUUUUUUUUUGGGUUUCCCCCCCCCCCCCCCCCCCCCCCGCCCCCCCAAAGUCAUUUUUUGUUCUCUACUCCAUUGUAAAUUUGUAUUCAAAAGUCUUUUUCUUUGUCUUUAGUUUUUAAAUUUAUGGAGAUGAUCUUAUGAGGUCUUAAAUAAAUAGUUGUAGAGCUUUACUAAAACUAUGUACAAUCUUAUUGAGAUUUGGGUGUGAUUUUGUAAGAUUGCUAAAAAAUUCAUAUUUGGUAUUUGUUUUAUUUUCCUAGUCGAAUUUCUUGCUUGUAGAAGAUAAAAGAAAAGUGCAAUUUCAUGUUGCAAUAAUUUUUUUUCCUUCCCUCUUUUUCUUCCCAUAUAGUCUGGCUCUGGAUUUGGUGCAGUUGAUGGUUUUAAUACAGUGAACCAAUUUCGUCAGAAUCAUCUUAAAGGAUUAAAGUGGCUUCCUUUUGCAACUGGGUAAGUCAAUGUUACUUCCUGAAUUCAGUUUGGAGUUCUUUCGGAAUAGAUUUCCUUCCCUUACAUUACUUAGCUUCUAGUUGCAUCUUCUUGGCCUUCUCCAGCUGACUUUCCUAUUGGCAAAUUCCUUCGCUUCUAUUGUUUUCAGGUGCCAGUGCUGGAUUUGGAGGUAUGAAUCAUGCCUUCAUUUUUACUUUUUAUGAUUAUUUUUUUAAGGUGUAUGGUACUGUAAUAUAGUUCUUUGUAUAGCUAGUACAAAGUAGUUCUUUAACUUCUUACGUUCGGCUAUAAUGGUCUUGACAUAUGAUAGGGCAGCUCUAUCACCAAUUGACGUGGAAUGAGAAAUAGGAGACAAAUGGGAUUAGAAAAAUAAGAAACAUGACAAAAAUAAAAAUCUAAUCUACUCAUAUAAGCAACUCAUCAAAUAAGUGUAUCACAUACUUAAGUGAAUAACAAUCUGUAAUUUCCACGAAUCAAAGUAAAAUUAUAAUAUUCUUUAAAUAAGACUCAUAAGCUUGUUAGGUGUUAUAUUGAAUCAUCUAAGUUGAAUAAUCUUUUGGGUCGAAUAUUUAAUUUCUUAUUCCAUACGUUUCAGUCUCUCAAUAGUUGAAUUAGCAAUGAAAAUUUGAAAAUGGAAAAAUCCAAUGCAAUUAUUUUAGCUGCUUAUCAUAGAUAAGAAUUUCAAAUUUGACACUUUAUUGUCUGUUGUCAAAUUCAUAAAGUAUGAACCUGCAUUAGUUUAGUUCUCUAAUAUUUAUAAAUAAGUAAUACUUGAAUUAAGAUGAAAGAAAAUUGAAAAGUAGAGUUGCUUGAUUGAAUAGCGUCAUAUUUUACAUCACAGAAACUCAAUUUUCAUUGCCAUACGUAGCUCAAAAGUGCAUGAACAUUUAAAAUUCAGCUAACUUAUACUAAUUAAUUAAUACGAGUCUCAGUUCUUACUUCUUAGUACUUGGCAACAUCCAUCCAUAAGAGUGAAACUCCUAUUGAUUUCAUAUAUACAAAAUAAAUAACUUACAAAGGCAAUAUAUACAAUCACGACAAAAACACCAAUUCACUCCAAUAAACAACAUAGCAAAUACAUGGUCUAUAUUGCAAGUCUUUUUACUAUUUUAAUUAAAAGAGAAAAUACGAAGGACAUAUUAUAUAUAAUUGAAUAUUAUCCUUGAUAAUUAGACAAAAUAACACUAAUCUAGCUAACUAAUCCAGUCAUCAUAAUAAUCCGAUUUCCUUUAUUUAAUUAUGUCCAUUGAUGCUAUUUUAAUAAAGAAUACUGAACACUUAAGUAUUUAUAUGCUCAACAACUUCGGCCACGUUUGAAAAGAUCAUAUUAAUUAUUAAUAUAAAGAAAAUAACCCUACAAGGUACAUAUUACAUAUGCAUGUAGUUGCAAUAAAUACAUAAUAAUAAAGAUUGUAAAAGUUCAGGGCCAUUAAUUCAACAAUUACUAAACCAAUAUCCCAAUAAUUGUUUGAUUACUAAUCUUAGCAUUAAAAGAUCUGCAAAUUUUAUUCGGCCAAAACAAAUGCUUCCUUAUUGCUUCCUUGAUCUUAUCCUGCCUGGUGAUUCCUGAAUGUCCUUCCCAUUCUGAUAUGCUGAGUUGUUUGCUGAUUAUAAAUACAAAUCACCUUAAAUUUUCUUAGUCUUGUUCUUCAUGCGAAAUUCUACGUAAUGGCUUAGUUGGUUUAAAUUCUUCUUUUUUCUUUGAAUUGUUGAUUUGUAAUGUUCUUCUCGCUCUCACAUGUGGCAUUCUGCACUCUUCCAAUGCUAUUUCUUGUUAUGGCAGCAGAAUUCUAUAUUUUCUCCCAGUUUCUUUUGUAAAGACUUCUAAAGAACCAUCCAAUGGAAGUUAGAUUAUACAUGGAAGAAUAAAUAAUGCUAAUCUAGCAAGUCCAAUGGUAAAAAUUUGAUUUUCAUUAUAUUAACCGUGUCCAAUCAUGCUAUUUUAAUAAAGAACACUUGAAUAAUAUUUUCAUGUCCAGCAUGUAAAAUUUCAAAACAAUUUUUGCCAAAGUCCUCCUCGGCUAAAUUAAUUUAUGCAUUAAUAAAGUCCUCCUCUUCUAAAUAAUACAAAACCUGUUACGUUGUUCUACCAUUUUUUUUUUUAAAAGCAUUCUACUAUUUAAUAAAAGAAUUCGAAAACUCGUUCUAGACAUACACCGAACCAUAUUAAUUUAAAACAGUUUUCAACUGAGAUUUGAAAUUACACACACAAACACACCGAGUCCUUUAUAUAAAGUGCUUUUAAUAAAUUAUGGUCGGUUUACUAUUAAUUAAUCAAAUUUAAUUUACUCAAAUUACUCCUGUACACGAUCAAAAUAAUAUCAAUUCUAUGAUAUAUAUAUACGUGCACAUACAUACAAAAUGUAAAUAACUUUCAAAUAUAAAAUAUUUAAAAUAGACGAAAUAACUUUCAAAUGUUUAUUGUAUUUUGAUGGGUUUUUGAGGAUGGUUGUAUGUAUUAGCAACAACAAGGUGCUUUUUAUAAAUCCGGGUCCUAAUUUUGUAAAAGAAAUUAAUACUCUCGGUUUAUUGUUAAUAAAAAAGAAAAAAGAAAAAGCAUUUUUCUGUGGCAUAUAUUAAGCAUUUUAAGAAAAGAAAAAAUUACAUUCCAAUUCAUGAAAGACAUUCCUUCUGUCAUAUUGAUGUGUUAAUAGAAAGAUCUAUGUAAAUUAUAACAAUUUUGAUGAAUCUAAAUAUUUAAUAACCGAUAAAUUAUAUUUAUAAAUAUUAAUACCGGUGGCACAUAAGCACUUAAUUCAAGAACUCGCCUAUAGUGCAUUAAUUUAAAGAGUAGAAAUAUUUAAUAAAUCAUGCCCGCUUUACUAUUAAUUAAUAAAAUUUAAUUUACUCAAAUUACUCCUCUACAUGAUCAAAGUAAUUUCAAAUAUACAACACACAAAAUGUAAAUGAUUGAAAUAUAAAAUAUUUAAAAUAAUCACCCCACUAACAAUUCACCACAAAGAUUAUAAAUAGUCGAAAUAAUGAUAAUCUAAGGGGUCCGGUCAUAAUAAUUUAAGUUUUAUUUAUAUUAAUUAUAUAAAAAAGAGUACUCGAGAUUAUAUAUAUCCAACAGCUAAAAUUUCAAAACAAUAUUUGCCAAAGUCUGAUGAAGAGAAUACAUAUAUAUAACAUGCACUUGCACACAUUCUAUUGUUUAAUUAAAAAAUUCGAAAGCCCAUUAUAUACAUGAUAAAGACUUACCGACACCGAACCAUAUUCAUUUAAAGGAAUUGUUUUCAACUGAGAUUUGAAAUUUUUUUUUUUGAAAAGAAACUUCUAUUAAUUCUGAGAUGAUAACAGAUACAUGACUUGUAGAGGGUAUGAACCCUUCCAUACAACAGUUUCGCAUUUCUCUAAAGCUAGUUUAGCUAGAGAAUGGGCAAUGGCAUUGCAAGAUCUAUGUGUAUACACACAACUAACAUGAUCGAAGCUUUCUUUCAAUUUCUGAAUUUCCAAUACUACCCAAUAGAUCUCGGAUCUGCUGCCCUGACUGUUGUUUACUAAACAAACUACUUCUUGCGAGUCUGACUCCAAAAUUACAUCUGUCACAUGUGCAUCUUUUGCCACCUGCAAGCCCCAUUCCAUAGCUUCUGCCUCGGCAUAAGCUACACUUCCAUGGAAUUUUGAGACCUUGAUCGCAGCUGCUGUCACUUGCCCCGUUUCAUCUCUAAUCACAGCCCCCAGCCCAGCAAGAUUCUUUUCUGAGUUGGUAGCGGCAUCAGUGUUGAUCUUAACAAAACCUUCUUGAGGGGGAUUCCAUCCCAGCUGCGCCACUUUCUGCUGCUUUCCAUGGCUUACAGCAACUGAAGGCUGCACUCUCUUAUAAGCCUCCAUCACAGCUUCAGCUUUAGCCACAACAGAUUGGGGGUUCUCUCGCUUGCCUUUGAACAGCCAUUGGUUCCUUGCAUUCCACUUUGCCCAGAGAAUCGCGGCAAACAAAUCUACAUCAGCUUUGCUUCUCAAUCUUUUCACGCCAUGCAACAAGCUCAAAACAUCCUGCCCAGGGGCUGCUUGAAUAUCAUUAUCAAAAAGGGAUAGUCUCCAAACCUUCUUGGCUGCUUUACAAUCAACUAAGGCAUGAAACAAAUUCUCUAUUCCCAUUUUACAAAGCUGGCAGGUAGGCUCUUGGACAAUCUUCCUCUUCCACAAAUUCUCAGCUGAAGGAAGUAAGUUUUUGGCUGCCCUCCAAACAAAAAUUCUGAUCUUCUUCGGCAAAGCAAGAGACCCAAUUUUUUCUUUUUUAAAAAAAUUACUAAUAAUAAAAUAUUUCAGUCGUCCUCUGUUCGGCUGUCAAAAACCCAUUAAGAUCGAUUUGAACAGAAGGUAUAUGGGUUAACAAUCCUCCAUCCUUUCUGCACUUCUCUUCCAUCAACGGACAGCGAUAGAUACUUAAUUGCAAAAGUGAGGAAGGCAGGCCCUUCUCCGGAAAGUAUUUGAGCUUGGGACAAUCCACGAGAUUCAAGUGGGUGAGGUUUUGAAGAUCAACAAUUGAAGAAGAUAGGCGUUCCAGAUUUGGAAAAUCUACAAUCCUCAGAGAUGUUAGAGAGGUAGGAAGAGGAAGCGCGGUCCCUAAUCUUUUGUCCUCUAGUGGAAAUGACACCAUGUCGUCAUCACAUCCUUCGAUUGUAAGAUGUCGCAGAGAGGAGAAUCUAUGAAAUCCCCGACCCCGCUCAAUCAUUGACUUCCAAAUCUCCAUAUUACCCCAAAUAUGAAGUGAAUGAAGGUUGGUGGGAAGGCCAUCUUCUUCAAGGCUUGGAAGCUCAACUCCUCUUCCUAUUGUUAAUUCUUGAAGAGAGGUCAGAUUGUGCAAUCCCUUGGGUAAGGCCUCCAGUCUCUCACACCCAUAGAUCCUGAGCUUACUCAGUUUCGCACAAGGCAAUCCCCCUUCGGGAAAGGACACCAGAUUUUCACAUUCCCAUAUUUCGAUCUCUUGAAGCUGGCCGAGAUUAUGUAAACCACUCGGUAAAAUUUUCAGAUUUUCACACCCAGAAAUAUUGAUUGUUUCAAGAGAUGUGUUGUUGUCCAACCUUUCUGCUAUUGACUCCAGCUUUGGACAAUACCAAACAAAAAGGGACUUAAGAGACGGAGGUAGAUUGCCAACUUCAAGGGACUCAAGCGUGGCAGGUAACUCGUUUUGUGAAAAUAUACAUGUCAGUGAUGGACAAUCCCUAAUUUCUAACUUCUCAAGAAGAGAUGAGGUGUACCUUCUAUUGCUGCUGCUGCUGCUACUCUGGAUGCCCUCUUCCACUGUCAAAGUCCUUAUAUUAUCACAACUAAGGAUGUCCAACCUCUUAAGGCUCCGUGGUAGCUGGACUCCAGCAAGAUAUGUCAACGUACGACAAUGCUCAAUAUACAAGGUCUCGAGAGAUGAAUUGGUGUCGCACAUCCAUGCCUCUGGUAAUGAUUUCAGUGCGUCACAACCUUCAAUCUCAAUUAUCUUCAACUUGGAAGGCAGAGCAACCUCAGGAAAGGAAACAAGGGAACUGCACUUGUAGAUUUCUAUCUCUCUCAAGGAACUGAGGCUGAGAGAUGAUUGUGGCAGCUUCACAAGGCCUUCGCAAUAACUCAAUCUUAGAUAUUCGAGUCUGCAUGACAACUCGCAGAGCUGCUGUUGUUGGUCUUUCUCUUCCUCCGCCACCAAGGAUUGAAGUUUGGGACAGCUUGUAAUCGUCAGUCUUCUGAGAGAGCAAAUGUCUUGCAGUAAUUCGUUAUGACUCUUCCAAAUAUAUGUCUGCUCUUUCAUAUCAUUUAUCUUCAAUUCUUCCAAUUUUGGCAGUCGCGGCUUUAAUGGCCCUGCGAGAAACAGUUGAUUUGAUGUAUCUCUACAAACCACUGAAUUCUGUGAGCCGAGAUGAUCAGCUGCACUUCUCCACACAACCUUUUUACAUCCACCAAUUUCAAAUUUGCAAAGAGCUGGAAGACUUGUAACUGAAACUGACAAUUCUUCACAUCCUUUAAUAACAAGCUUCUCCAAUGCAGGAAGGUGCUCUGGAAGUGUUCCUUGCAGUUUAGAACAUCUUAAAAUGUGAAGCUCUCUCAAUUUAGGAAACCCUUCAACUCCUUGACCGGAUCCAUGAGGAAUCCAGUCUUCCCAUUCUUCCAUGUCUUCAAAACAAAGAGUCUCCAAGCAUGGAAAAGGAAUUGAAGCAACCUUCCCAUAGAACUCUGGAUCAAAUCUCCUUACGCUGCUCAUUCCACAUACUACAAGAUGCUUUAGAGAGGGUAGUUGCCCGACCAACGGCAGGGCAGUACACAUGCUACAAUAUUCAAAUUUAAGUGUUACUAAAUUUGACAAUGAGGAAUUUCCUAACCAAGUUGAAAAAUUUGUGCCUCCAUAGCCGCUGAUACAAAAUUGUUCCAGAUUUUUAUGGGGUUUUAGCAUGUCAAGCACGCCCUCUUCAGCUUCUGCCUCCCUUGAAGAUGAACCAUUAGUAUUGCGAGUCCAUCGAAGCCAUAAUUCUUUAAGAUUCUCCUUUCUAUCCAAUUGAGCGUCCUCGGCAUCAAUAAUGUGUUUUACAUUCUCCAAAUUUGAAAUGCAAAGUGUCCCCCCAAGUUGUGUCAAGGACUUUAGCUCUCGUAACCGGGAACCACUGUCUUUUCCCACAACAAAAUUACACAACGUCUGAAGACAAGUCAGCCUACCAAUUCCGACUGGCAUUUCCUCCAACGAAGAUGUAUUUGAAUUAUUGAGAUGAUGCAAUUUGAUGAGGUUUCCCAUGGCUGCACACAACUUUUUCAGUCGCCAACAGCCCUCCAACAGAAGGGUGUGCAAAUUGUAAAGCUUGUUGACUGAUUCAGGCAGAGUUCUAAUCUCAGUUCCAGAUAGGUUAAGGUACCUUAAAUACCUCAAAUCACCAACUGAAUCCGGCAGCUUGGGGAUGAAAUAUCCACACAGAGAGAAGACCCUCAAUCGUUGGAGUUUGAACAACUUAGGAAGAAUGCUAAGAGCAAAGUAUCCACGCGACCUAUUUGACCGCCUUACUGGUAGAAAAGUUCGCAAAUGCUGGAUAUUGUACAAGUCUUCAAACCUUUUACCGCCUUCAUAAUAUUCAGGAAUGUAUGACAGAUGACGAAGAUUUCUGGAAAAACUUUGUUGCUUGUUAACCUCCGAGGUAUACUCCAUUGUGAAGUAUAUCUCCCCCGCAGCCCAUUGAGCAAGGUCAUUGACGAGGUCGUGCAUCACAAAUCGUGAUAUACCGUUGCUUGAUUGCUGGAAAAAAGAUCUUGCACGUAGCUCUUGAAAGAACCUUCGACCUAGAUCUUCACUUGGAUUCCCGCUCUCUCCGUGAUCCAAGAAACCCACAGCACUCCAUAAUAAAAUUAUCUCCUCCUCUUCGAAUUCAUAAUCCUUUGGAAACAAUGAGCAGUAUGCAAAGCACUGUUUCAAAGGUGCCGAGAGAUAAUAGUAGCUCACUCUAAGCGCCGGUAUAAUGUCACAUCUCUCUUCUGGUAAAUCCCAUAUGUUGCAACUGAGCACACCUUCCCAAUCACUUCGGUCACAUUUACCACGUAAGAGUCCACCAAGUGUUUUCGCAGCUAAGGGCAAGCCGUUGCAUUUGAUCACUAUCUUCUUGCCAAUUUCCUCCAAUGACUUGUUUGAACUGAAAUCUCUUGUCCCCAAAGAGUGUUGAGCGAACACGGACAGACAAUCAUCAAAUGACAACUUUUUCAAUUCAUAAGCUGGAGCAGUUCCCAUGAUGGCUGCAACCUCUUGAUUACGAGUUGUGACAAUAAUCUUACUUCCCGGUGCGCCAGCUUCAAACGGACGGCUCAUGUCAACCCAAUCAUUGUAUUUCUCAUUCCAAACGUCGUCUAAAACAAGCAAAAAUUUCUUUUGAGAUAACUUCUUCUUCAGCUCCUCUUGAAGCAAAUUUAAAUCACUGUCAUCAAUAGUCUGCUUAGUAACGGAUCUUAGAAUUGUUUUUGUUAGCCUCUUAACGUCGAAAUCGUCAGAGACACAAGUCCAUGCCUUGAGAUCAAAAUGAUCCUGCACUCGCUUAUCAUUGUAGACAAGCUGAGCAAGAGUAGUUUUGCCCAUCCCGCCCAUACCUAUAAUAGGAAUAACAGAGAAUCCACCAUCGUUGCUUAAAUCAUCCCUCAACAGCAGUUCAACAACAUCCUUCUUUUCUGUUUCCCUGCCAUAUACUUUGGCUUCAGUCACUAAAGAGGUUGUCUCUAGCCUUUGACUGGCUUUUUUGGACCCUCCAGCUGAACUUUCUUUCAAAUCUAGCAAGUUUUUCUGUGUCACAAUUUCUUGAAAUCUGCUGUUGAUCUCUUUGAUUUUGGACAUCAAGCCAUAAUCGAACUGAAUCGAUUGUGGAGUAAAAGUGGUGCAGCAAGCAGGAAUGAGCUUCCGAAACUUACUUGUUCUUGUACGACUGCUACUGGGUUGAUCAUGAGCAGCAGCUGGUUCUCCAUUUCCAAGCAGCAAGAUCCUCCGGAGAGCCUCAGUUUGAAACUCAUCCAACAAGUCUUCAACAUCAUAAGCCAAGUUCUGAAGCUUGCCAAGCCACUUCUUCACAGACCGAUUAGUCGUCUUCUUCUCCUCAGCAUCAUCAAGCACCGCCUUGAUCAUCUCCAACAUAUUCUCCCACUUCAUUAGAUCGUCUUGGAUCUUCUCUUGGCGUGCAAAAAACAGAAUCCCCUCUGAAGCUAACUUAUUGACCACCAAAUCAACGGACGCCGUAAGGAUUGCCUCUCCGAUCAUUGACAUUUUUUUCUUUUUUUUGGGCAAAGGAAGAAAGGAGCAGAAUUAUGGGUUAUGGAAAGCAGAAUGAGAAAAUUGAACGGGUGAGAAAAUGGAUAAUUAAGCAGAAUGAGUUUGUGAUUGUGAAGGGUCUGGCCCAGCUAGAAAUCACGCGUUUAUACUUUAUUGACCAAUGACUAAUAAUUUGGCAAUUCACCCAUCACACCACCACUUGGUAAGCAAAAUGAAAAUGCUUAGUAAUUAAUAAGUGUCAAGGGUCAACCAAAAUACGACGUAAAAUGUGGCAAGUCUCCCCACUUGUUUUCCUUGCAGCUAAGAAAAGAAAAACACAGCCCACCACCCAUUAAUAAUUUAGCAAUUCACCAAUCACCACCACUUGUUACGAAAUUCCUUCCGUUAGAUAUUCGUAUAGGUCAAGCAGUUAAUCCAGUGUCAAUUACUUAGAACCUUCACUUUACAAAUCUUCAACUCAUAAACCAAGAUAAAUCAAAACGUUUCUCUCUCUCUAUUUUUUUUUUUAAACUCCUAAAACGUUUCUUUUUAGAAAUAUUUUACUUUAUUCAUCUAAUAUGUUAUCUAACAAAUAGACACAGAUGAAAUCACUCUAAAGUGAAGAUGAAAGGGGAAAAAAACAUUCCAACCACCAAUAAUUUAUUCCGCUAACGUUUUCAAAAUAUUGUUCUUUAUAAUUGAACAGGAAAUAAGACUAAGUUUUGGACAUUUUCAUAUUCACUUACUUUCAAAAGCAGUAUUUCGAAACAUUUUACAGAAUCAAGUAACAGUUAUAUAACGAGAAAAGUGCAAAGUUGUGUAAUUCUAAUGUUUAUUUUAUCACUGACACUCAGAUCAUUUUUUAUUUGGGUCGCCAACUCACCAAUGAAUCCAUGAUUGAAUGAGUGUUUAGAAAAAAAAUCAAUAAAAAACAGUUUUUCUUUUGGUCGUCGAAAUAUAGUAAGUGAGAAAGAUUAUUCUGUUUUUUUUGUUAAUUAGGUUAGUAAUUAUGAUUGAGUGACUCAGAACUAUAUUCUAGAUUGAGAAUCAAUGGUUCUCCCACACUGAGAGGCUGUAAGUUUAAGAUUGUCGUUUGCUAUUUCAUCGACAAGAGAACACUUGAAUUUAUUAAAAGGAGAAGGCCAUAAAGAUUUUCCUUUAUGAGAAAUGUAUCUGAUCAUUCCUUUUUACUUGAAAAUUUCAUAUAUAAAAACUCAUUAAUAAAUGACAGAAUAUACAUAAAUUAUUAAUUCAUUUGAUAGUUGAUUAUCGAAGGACAUGUGACCCAUGGAAGCAUGCAGUCUAUAAAAUAAUUCUUUUUUUUUAUUAAACAAAAAAUUGGUGAUGUUGAAAAGCAAUAUUAUUAUUUCUCUAAUUGGGGUGAACAUUCAUAAAAAGAAUGCCGUAUGAAACUAAAUUAUUAAUUCGUUUGAUAGUUGGUUAUCGAAUGACAUGUGACCCACAAUAAAUAGUUAAAUUUGGCGGCAACAAUAAUUACAAGACGAACUUAAAGCAGCGCAUAGGUUUUCCUUAAAAAUACAUAAACAAUUCGAUAUUUUUUAUUUGACAGUUUUUAAGAAAUGUCAAACAUAUAUGACAUUUUGUGAAAAACUGAGUAAUUGUGAAAUAUAAAUGAUAAUUUAUUUAAACGUCAAAUAAUUGUGACGUUUUAUCAAAUAAGUGAUAAAUAUCUUACAUAUUUAUUGAAUAAUUAUCAUUUACCUUUUCCUUUUAUUGACUCGAGCAAAAAAAACAAAAAAACUGACUAUACUGCUUUUAUUUUCGUUCUUAGAACAGAUUUUAGUUUCUUUUGAGAAAAUUCAAACUCAUUCCCAUUACUUUCUUUUCAAUAAUCACCUCUCAGUUUUUCAUCAAUCACUCAAUUCCGAAUUUCAUCUCCAUUCUCUUUUGAAGAAGAACGCACGAAGAAUUUUAGCUUGCUUUUGCUGCUUCUCGAAUAUUGGGUAUUGUUUCCUUUAAUUUAGAUAAUUGUUUUUUAUAUCUCUCUUUCUAGUUUGAUAAUUUAUGGUUAUACUUGAAUUAAUUGUAUUUUUAAUCAACCAAGGUUGAUUUAAUUGAUUCCAAGUCUCAAUUUCCUGUUCAACAAUUUUCAUACUCAAUUUUGAAAGAAUCAAUGUAUUUUAUCUUUGGUUAGUACACUUCUGUUCAAUUUUUGUUUAUUUAACUUAAGAUAUCUUUUUCUUUCUUUUCUUCAAGCAAAUUAUAGAUUAUAUUGAGAACAGAGUUUUCUCCUUAAUUCCGCCAAGAGCAACGUUGAUUUCAGGUGAUAAUUGAAUGUGUAAUAUUUUCAAUUGAAAUUAAUUGAGUCUCGUGAUAAUAAUAGGGAUUUGAGAUUUACAUCCUGUUGAAAUGAUUUUAGAGUGUUCUGUUAUUUGAAUGCGCAUUAAUUGUUUGAUUAAAUGUCUCUUUAAAAGAUUAUUUUUGUUUUUAGCAAACAUCUUAAUGCACUUUACAAAUUGAAUCCAACAAGGGAAAAUUAUAGAACUGCAGCAGUUUUCAAAUUGAUUGCAUAUUAGAAGUAAUGUUAAUUUAUGCUGCAACAGUUCAAUGGGCUGGGCACAAGUUUAGGACUUCAGUUGCUCAAUUAAUGAAUCCACCACUCAUCAGACUUGGAACUUAUAUCUAUUGAAUCAAUAAAAAUAGUUGAUGGAAUCAAUGCCGAAAGCUUCAUUUGAUAUUUAUUUAUAACAUCUGUUAGAUUCUGGACAAUCACAAAGAUAUAGUAGCAGAAACUAUGUUAGAGACACUAUAGUUGCUUAAUUAGUGAAAUUGUGCUCUCAUUGCCCCCUUUUUUUGGUUGAUUCUAUAAUUUUAUUAGUUGUUCUUGUGGUUGUAAACAAUAUCAAUUUCUAAUAUUAAUAAAACUGAAUGAAUAAAAUGCGAUGCAUUUGCAGGAAAGUUAAUAGUUUAAAUAUGGAUAAAUCUUGGAUGUUGAUGGAUAGAAGGUCUAUAGAAUAUGAGAACAUGGUAAAUGAGUUUCUCAAGUUUGCAGUACUUCAUGCUAGUCAUCUUGAGCUUUUGAGAUGUCCAUGCCAAGCAUGUCUUAGUUUAUAGGCUCAAACAAUUAACAGUAUAGAAAAUGCAUGAUAGAACACAGAACUCAUAUUUUAGCAACAAUCCUCAGCUCACUGGCCCUUAGUUCAGAAUGACAAUUCUUAUUAGCCAAAGGUUCAAAAUGAUUUUUAGUUGUUUAUAAGUAGAGAACUAGAUCAACAAAUAAUUGAAGACCUGCAGCUUGGCUAUUGAACUAUACGAUGAUGCCAAUUCGAAGACUACAACUUGGCUCUGCCAUUCGAAGUAAGCAACGCAGCUGCCCAAAGUCUGCCAAACCAAGAAAAAUAAAGACUUCUCCUUAGCAAUUAAGUUAAUAUAAGGAAUGUUGCAUGUCCACAAAACUAGGUAGACGCAACUGGGACUUCAAUAUAUAUAUAGAUAUAUAUAUAUAUAUAUAAGCAUUUCCUAGAUCAAUAUUAUUCUCAGUAACUGAAUAUUGAAGCUGACCAUCACAUUUAAUAAUAAAUCAAUAUCAGGAAUGUUGUUGAGGAGUAUUUUGAUAUUUACAAAAGUGUUCAAAGUAAAAAUUGAUUUCUUAAAACCCAUUAGCUAGCGCACAUAAUAAUGGGGAGAAAAUUUUAGACUACGAAUAGUCCCACCCAUUUAAUAAUAUUCUUCAAUCAAUUAUGUUUACUUCAAAAAAAAAAAACCAUCUCUUUAUUACUUUCUAACUAUUCAUAUUAAUGUGUUCAUAAUUAUGAAGAACCGGUGUAAUUUAUAUGAUGUAGGAAGCACAUUAGUCAAAAUCAUCAGAAUCUCAAAAUUUCGUGAUGUUGUGCCAAAUAUGCAAACCAAAGCUUCCUACAUUCUUUGUACGUUUGUGUUAGUUACAAGCAAUCACAGUGGUAAACGAAAAAAAACGAAUUAAAACACAUGAGGAGAUUUAAAUGAAAAUGUCUUAAUCAUAUAUCGCAUGUAAGACCUUUUGUACUCAAAACUGAUCAGCACCCAUUCUGCCCGCCGUGUGAUCACAUCUUGAAGGGAGUGUUGCUUCAGCAUUUUUAUCAUUUUUACUAUUUCUAGGAUCCAUUUUGUCACCUCCCUCCCUCCCCCCGGUUUCUAAAAUAAUUAUAUAAUAACCAUAUAAUUAUUGGUUGUUCUAGCAAAUAAAAAAAAAAAAAAUAUAUAUAUAUAUAUUAAUCUUUUAAUAACAUUAUCACUUUGUCAAAAUAAAAAAUCUCCUCAUUAAAUAAUUAUAUUAUAUAUAUUCAUUUAUUUAUCCAAAUAAAAAAGUAUGAAGUCAAAUAGUACACAAUAAUUUAACUAAUUUGAAUUGGUUUAUUUUUAAUGAAACAAAUAACAUUCCUAAAUGCUUCUCUUGAUCCUUAAUUUAUUGAUAAUUUUGUCAAUUUAAGGUCGGCUAUAUAUUGAUUAAAUUACAAGCUUAGACUAUCGAAAGCUGGUUACAGUUAUGGAGGCAGGAAAAAUUUUAUUGUACCAGAAAUUUUUUCUACAACAGUCCAUGCAAAGUAAACAUUUGUAAGGAAAUUGGAGAAUAAUUACAAAGCCAACUAAAUUUUAUGAGAAUCAAUUUGGAGUUUUUGUUAAUCGCCAUUUUGCGUUCAUACAAAGCAAGUGUAGAUACCGGCACAAUAAGCUAAAUGCAAAAUCCAAUGUAGGACAGUGGGGUUGGGACAACGAAAUGGGGAAAUGGGAAUCUAGGUAAUUGCACUGAACCUUAAACUGAGAGUACGGGCACUUAAAAUUUUUAAAGUGUCUAAUAAGUUUCAGCUAAAAAGGAAAUAGGCUGUAAAAUUGCUAAAUUCAUUUUGAUUUCUAAAUUCAUAAAUAACCUUAAAAGUUCUCUGAUACAACUUGUCAAUAAUGGUGAAAAUUCAAUUUCAGAAUGACAAUUCUUAUUAGUGAAAGAAUCAAAAUGAUUUUUAGUUGUUUAUAAAUAGAUCACUAGAUCAACAAAUAAUUGAAGACUGGCUUGGCUAUUGAACCAUACGCGGCAAUUCGAAGACUGAAACUUAACUCUGCCGUUCGAAGUAAGCAACUCAGGUGCCCAAAGGCUGUCAAGCCAUCAAGACAAUACGAAGAUACAACAUCAAUAAUAAUUACAUAUUACACCUACCCCAAUAAGAAAUUAGUUAAUACAGUCCUAGAAAGAAAUUUACAAACCCAUGCUGUAGGAAUAAUUAAUUAAUUUAUACAGUUCGGUACUCAUUCCUCUUCUGUUUCAAAUCCAUAUCCACUGCUCUGCCAUUUAUUACUACGCAAGGUAUAUGGGUUAGCAAGUGCCGACAUUGUCCUCCAUUCUUUAUGUGCCUUUCUUCUAUCAAGGGACAACCCAAGAUCUCUAAUCGCAAGAAAAAUAUUUCAAAGUAAAAAGUGAUUUCUUAAAAUCUAUUAGCUAGUGCACAUAAUAAAAGGCCAUUCAUGGUAAAUUUUAGAUUACAAGUAGUCCCAAUAAUAUUCUGCAAUCAAUUCCGUUUAUUUUAAAAUAAAAGAAAUCCAUCUCUUUAUUACUUUCUAAUUAGUCAUAUUAAUGUGUUAAUAAUUGUGAAGAACCAGCGUAAUUUAUAUGAUGUAGGAAACCCGUUAGGCAAAAUAACCUGAAUUUUUUAAAGUAGGGGCUAGACAUAUUGGGCAUAACCUCAGUUUCUGUUACUUCUUUGACCCUGCCUAAGCUCUUUUAUGGGCUAAUAUCAAAAUUUCGUGAUAUUGUGCCUAAAGAGCUUCCAAUUCAAGGAGCUCCCCUGUUUUUGACUGAAACAUAUGUAAUCCGAAAAAUUUAUAAUUAGAUAAAUCAUUCAAAAUCUCCCUGAAUCUAACCCACAUUUCUAUGGUUUAAUAACAUAUCACAAAGGUGCCUAAUAUAAUGAAAUUAGCACUAGUUCACGAGAUUGCCAUUAUAUAUUACAAGUCUUUUUAUGAUGUAGAUUAGAAGGGAAAAUACGAAGGACAUAUUAUAUAUUAUAUAUGAUUGAAUUUAAUCCAUGAUAAUUAGACAAAAUAACACUAAUCUAGCUAACUAAUCCACCCAUCAUAAUAAUUUGAUUUUCAUUAUUUUAUUGUGUCCAAUCAUGCUAAUUUAAUAAAAAAAAUACAGAACACUUGAGGAUUUAGAUAUUCAACAACUUUGGCCAAGUUUGAAAAAGAUUAGAGCUUCCUUCAUGCUUUGUGUUCUUAUGUUACACAUGAUCAUAUUAUGUUACAUUUGACAGAAAACUGAAAAUUAUUGAAAAAAAAAAAUCUUAGUUAGCACAUUAUCAAAAUGAGAGAAUAAUGCACACACAUCACAACAAUGUUUCUUUCAUUUUGAAUCUAUAUUUACAAAACUUGUAUCCGAUGGUUUACAUUUGUUUAAUCUAACGGCUAUAACAUGUGUACUGUCAAAACGCUACAGCUGCCAUCUCUGUUUGUCCUUGUUGCAUCCUUGAUCUUAUAUUAUCCUGGAGAUUAUUGAAUGUUCGUCUCAUUCUCAUGUGCUCAAGGGUCCUUUCUUGAGACAUUUCAGAAAACACCUGAUUCAUCCUAUUAAACAUCAGCAUCAUUAAUCAGUAAAUGAUGUAAGAUAUCCCUGUUUUGAGAAGUCAACAUAAAUCAGUCACCUUAGAUUUUCUGAGUCUCAGAGCACAAUGGGUGAUGAUUUUAUGAGAAAUAUUAAUGUGCAUGCAUCCCCUGAAUUAGCUAGUGCUGGUUGUCAUUUUCUUCUUUCUUUUGGUACUGUUUUAGAUUUUUAAUCAAUCAGAUUCAGCUGCAUGUUUGCUUUUAGUCCAAACCAAAAUAAGAUAUUAAGUACUUUUGUCAGAAUAGACGCAACCAAAAUUCUAUGGGAUCUGUAGUUCAUGCAGAAGCGGCCGAAUGCUUCCGGCAACUCAGGCAGAUAGAACCUUGGUUGAUUCGUUUUUCUUCAUCUGAAAUUCUACCUAAUGCCUAUCCUCUUAAUUGGUUUAAAUUCUUCUUUUUUUUUUCCUUUGAAUUGUUGAUUUAAAAUGUCUUGUAUGCAAAAUUUAUAAUUUCGGAUGAUGAUAAUCUUGUUUAAGAAGAGAUUUCUAGUUACGGCAGCAGCGUUCUUGAUCAUGGCGUCACAAGCACGUGCUCUGGUUUGCUUAGUUUCCUUUUUGUCUCUGAUAUUUUCUUGGUAUUGUGGGAUAUUGUUUCUCUUUUGAUUUUCUGUUUUUGUUUGCUUAGUUUCCUUUUUGUCUCUGAUAUUUUCUUGGCAUUCUUGUUCUCUCUUAUAAUAAAGUGCUUUUGAUAAAUUCGCCUGGUCGGUUUACUUCACUGACCAUUAAUGAGCAAAUCCUCCCAGUGACCCUCAAACUCUUCUACACAAUUAUAAUAAUUUCAGUUUUAUAUAUACAAAAAUGAACAGCUCUCAAAUAUAUUAUUUGAUAAUGACAAAAACAACAAUUCACUCCAAUAAAUCUCAUAAUAAAUACAUGAUCUACAUUGCAAGCCUUUUUAGGACGCAUUCAAAGAGAAAAAAGGGGAUGGUCGGUUGGGUUGCUUGCAAAAUUAUUGGUGCGGGAAUCUACUUGUUUUUGUUUCACUUUAUUAAUUAAUUACCAAAGCAAACACGUCAUCAUUUGAAAAAGAAUCACUAGCACCAGCUUACGAAAAAUAAAUUUGUAAGACAUAUUAAUUUCAAUGAAAAUGUAGCGUGAUUAUGUUAUGAAUUUAUUAACUUCAUUAAUAGUGAAAAUGAAGCGUGAUUUUUGUGUCUAUCACCAAAAAGUAGAGUUCUUACUUGAUUGAAUAGUAUCAUAUUACAUCACAGAAACUCUCUCAAUUAUUGAAAAAAGAAAUCUUAAAAGAUCCCUACUCUCUGCUUAAAAAAAUCUUAAAAGUUUUCAAUUAUUGAUAACUGAAAAUUAUUGAAAAAAAAUUUAAAAGAGAUGUGUUGAAUUGUGAAAUUAAAACUGAGUUUCAGACAUUUCUGACAUGUCGGUUUAUAACCUUGAUUGUGCAUGCCCUCUCGGUUGCUUGAUGAAACAGGAGAAUAUUGACAUCUGUGUAUUAUCGUUUACUUCCUGCAAUUAAAUCACAUGUUGUUCACGUGAUUCCAUUUACUCUAUACGGCACAUUUGGCAGUCGUUUUGGUCACUUACCGAAGCACGGGUUAAGUACUUGAUUCAAGGUUGUUAACUGACCUUUACAAGGCGGGAAAAACAAACCCGGAAUGCAGCUAGUGAGUGGGGGAAUUUUCUGGACUCUUCAUGAUAUGUAUAUAUAGUCUUAGAGGCUAUAGUUGAGACAUAUGAAAAGCUUGUAACUUCUUAAUGUUUGUAGUUUGAUCUCGGUGAUGGAGAUAAGAUUGCUGCCCUGUUCUCCAGGCCGAACCACUUAAAUUGUGCCUCUGUUUUGCUUGAUGACUACCAGUGGUGAGAAAACAGCUACAGAACAAAUCAAGCUUGAUGACUCAAAUAUUAGGGAAGCCAUAGUCAAGGCAUCUGGUUUAUGCAUCAACAGUGGUUCGUGGACUAGAAUUCCUAGCUAUUGCCGCUUCACAAUUGCACUGGAAGAAAGCGAAUUUGAUCGAGCUUUGGAUCGCAUAGCUAAAUUCAAAAGCAUCGUACAAAUAGUUAACUAAAAAACGGUAUUGUCACUUGUCAUGAUUUAUUUCUAUUGCCUGAUGAUGAUACCCAUCACGCCUUAGUUGUCGUGAAUAAAUCUAAAAUCAAAUUGAACUGGUUUUUACUGGUUAGCAACAUUUGUGACGUUUUGAGAUUAUAAUAUAUGACAACACUGAUUAGUGUUGUCUCCCAUGUGAAUUGAGACAAAAAUUAUUUUCCCAAUUGCUCUUUCAUUUGAACAAUUCCACUGUAGAUUUAUAAAAUAAUGAUGAAAUUGUGUUUUAUAUUAAGUUACGAGUAAUUGGUUAAAUAUUAAUACAAAACUAUUUUAAGUAACAUGUGGCAUAUUCUCAUUCUAGCCAAGCUUCAGAACAUUCUGCAAAACGUUUAGUCUCUACGCAGUGCUAGAAUUUUCCCUAAGUUUCUAUCGCAAAGACUUCUAAAGAACUAUUCAGAUAUUAAGCUAUAAUCCAGUCUAAAGUGUAUAUAUCUCUCUAAUUCACCUCCCUCCAUUUCACCAGAAAAUCAACGAACACUUAGCUUCAAACUGAAGAAAUUGUAAAACUGAAUAAAUGCUGCUGUUUGGCAGCUGAGAAAAUGCAGAGGAAAAUUCUUUAUUUCAUUAAUGAAUUGAUAUUUUGUACUUAGAAACAAACACGAAACGUGCAGCUAUUUAUACAUGCUACACUUACUAACUAAUUGCUUACUAACUGAUUAUUAAUCACAAGCUCACUCAGCUAAUCAAUAACAGAACACAGAGUAUGCAUUGUGAGGUUAGUUAGGCUGGUAAUUUCUGCUGACGUGGACCUUCUGACGUGGCACUAAUGACAGCUGAUAACUUGACACGCUGACUCUUCUUCUUCACUUCUGCACAAUGAGCUAUCUUCACAGCCCCCCUUAAACUCAAAGGACAUGAAAAGACAUUGAGUUUGUCCCUUAAAUAAUUGAAUUGAGGAGAAGAUAAAGGCUUGGUUAAGAUAUCUGCAAUCUGAUCUUCACUUGGCACAUAACAGAUUUUGAGAUCACCAGCUAACACUUUGUCUCGAUUAAAUGAACAUCAAUCUCAAUGUGUUUGGUUCUUGAAUGGAACACAGGAUUCUUUGCUAGUUCUGUUGCACUUAUAUUAUCACACCAUAUUGUUGGUCUCUCUACACAGCAUACUUCCAUUUCCAGAAACAAUGACUUCAACCAAGCUAUCUCUGAAGCAGCUGAAGCAAGUGCUCUAUAUUCACUCUCAGGCUGAAGACUUAGUGACUACUGUUUGCUUCUUUAAAGACCAUGAAAUCAGAUUGUUUCCAAGAUACACACAGUAAGCUCCAAUCGACUUCCUAUCAUCCAAGUCACUUCCCUAAUCUGCAUCAAUGAAUGCAGUAAUUUUCAAAUCACCAUCCUUUACAAACUUUAAGCCAUAAUCCUGUGUCUCCUUCAGAUAUUUAAGAACCCUUUUGCAAGCCAUGAGAUGUUGCAUAGUUGGUGCAGAAACAUAUUGGCUUAACUUAUGAACAGAAUAAGCAAUUUCUGGUCUUGUCAAGAUCAGAUACUGGAGACUACCUACAAUGCUUAUAUAAUGAGUUGCAUCUUCAACAUAGUAACCCAAUUCUCCUUUAACUAUCUUCUGCAACUUUGAGUCCUUGCCACUGCACAUUGGUGUUAUCACUCCUUUACACUCAAGCAUGUCUACUUUAGCAAGCAAAUCUCUGAUAUACUUCUUCUGAGACAAAUAAAUGCAAUCCUGACCAUACAACACUUCUAUACCAAGGAAAUAGGACAAUCUUCCUAGAUCUUUCAAUGCAAAAACAAUAUUAAACUGUUGAAUGAAUCUGUCCAAUUCUUCACUGUUAGGUCCAGUAACUAAUAUGUCAUCAACAUAUAUCAAUACCAUAAUGAAUAACACUUUAGUUUUUCUUAAGAAUAAGGAAGAAUCAGAUUUUAAAUUUCUGAAACCCCAUUGAAGAAGACAUCCCCUGAGCUUUUCAAACCAGGCUCUAGGAGCUUGCUUAAGACCAUAUAAAGCUUUGUGUAAUCUGCAAACAUAGUUAGAUUUACUCUUAUCAACAAAGCCUUCAGGUUGCUGCAUAAACACUUCCUCUGACAAUUCACCAUUCAAGAAUGCAUUGUUGACAUCCACCUGUCUAACUAUCCACUGAUUCAUCACUGCAAGACUAAGAACUACUCUCACUGUUGCUGGCUUUACCACUGGACUAAAAGUAUCAAAAUAAUUCACUCCUUCAAUCUGUUGAAACCCUUUUGCCACCAAUCGAGCUUUAUACUUAGCUACACUGCCAUCAGUGUUAUACUUUAUUCUAUACACCCACUUAUUCCCAACAACUUUCUGAUUUUCUAUUCUUGGUACUAGAGACCAAGUUCUAUUUUCAAUUAGUGCAUCAUACUCAUUUUUCAUAGCUAUAAACCAAUUUGUGUCUUGCAAAGCUUCAUCAAUUGAAUCUGGCUCUUUGUGAACUAACACUGCAGUAUACAUUUUUGGCUUAAAAAUACAUGUUUUUCCUCUUGUGGUCAUGGGGUGAUUGUUCUGAACAGGUUGAAUAUUGUUUGAGGUUAUUUGGGACUGAGAUGGUAAUGGAAUUUGAGUAGGAUCUAUUAUGUUUGGUGAGUCUAGAUCAUGAACAGGUUCAAGAGCAGGAUUGAGAUUUGGUGUUUGACAUUGUGUAACUUCAUUUGCUUGUUGAUGAUCUGCUGAUGGGAACAGUUCUGUGCUGCUGGAACAUGCUGGAGAGCAGGAUUCAAAACUGCUGUUACAAGGAUUUGACACAACAGGUAGAUUGGAUAAAUGGAAAACUUGAUGAGGGGACAAAGUAGAGCUGGAUAUUGAUUGUGUUUUGUUCUCAGAAUUGAAAACAGGAUCUGAAGAAAAAGGGAAUGCAUUUUCAUCAAAUAUGACAUGCCUUGCUAUGUAUACACGACUAGAAUGAUGAAGGCAUUUAUAUCCUUUGUGAGCAGGGCUAUAACCAAUGAAUAUGCAUUUACUUGUGUGAAAAUCAAAUUUAUGCUUAUUGUAAUCUCUCAAAUAUGGAUAGCAAACACAACCAAAACAUUUCAACAUCUUAUAAUCAGCUUUAUGUUUGAAAAGUUUUUCAUAUGGUGUCAACAUUUUAAGAGCUGAAGUUGGUAACCUAUUGAUAUGAUAAACUGAAGCAUGGAAAGAAUCCCACCAGAAAUGCAAAAGAAGUUUGGCUUGAGCUAACAAUGUAAGACCCAAUUCUACUACUUGUCUGUGUUUUCUCUCAACUAAGCCAUUUUGAUGAUGAGUAUGAGGACAAGAGUGCCUAAAUAAAAUGCCACACUGAUUUAAAAAUUCAGUGAAUGAUCUGUAUUCUCCCCCCCAGUCAGAUUGCAGUAUCUUAAUGGUUGUUUGGAAUUGGUUUUCAACUUGUAACUUGUAUAGCUUAAAAACCUCUAAAGCUUCUAAUUUCAAUUUCAAUGGGUAAAUCCAAGUAUAUCUAGUGAAAUCAUCAACAAAACUAAUAUAAUAUCUAAAACCUUCUCUUGAAAUAACUGGUGAGGGACCCCAAAGAUCAGUGUGUAUAAGCUCAAGAGCUGAUUUGGUUUUGAUUUCUGUAACUGGGAAAUGCAACUUGUGUAUCUUACCCAACUGACAUGCUUCACAGAAAUGUUGUGUUGCUUGUUUAACCAUAUUCAGAGAAAACUAAUCAGCAUGAUGGAGUUUAAGUAAAUGCAAUAAGCUUUGAGAGUUUGGGUGGCCAAAUCUUCUGUGUAGAAGAGCUAUUUUAUUAGGUUUAUCAGAACAUACAUCAAAACCAUUCUGUAAACAAUUGUUUGAAUUAUUUAUGUACUUUACAGAUGGCAUAUGAGAAGCAAGAUGACAGCAUGAUAACAUUGACAGAGGUUUAUUAGCUUGACUAUGAGACAGGGGAGAUGACUGAAAAUUCUUGGUAGAAGACAUAGGUUUGACCAGCAGUUUAUACAACCCUUUCUCAGCAAUGCCCUGCAUUAGAACUUGUCCCUUCAGCAAAUCCUUCACAACACAAAAUGAUCCAAGAAAUUCAACAGAAAUGUUAUUGUCAGUGGUAAGUUUUGAAAUACUUAUUAGGUUCUUGGUGAUAGAGGGAACAAGCAAGAUAUCUUUAAGUGCAAUAUGUGAAUAUGUAGGUUGAGAUUUUGAAUUCUUGAAUGAAAAAUAAGAGUCACCAAUAUGAGUUAUUGACAAACCUUCACCAUUGCCAAUAAUGAGCUUAUCAUUACCUCUAAACUCAUCUCUGAUGGUCAGAUUUCCCAUGUUGUUUGUCAGAUGAUGAGUGGCACCACUGUCCAGGUACCAACCUUCAUCUGCAGGUCCUUCACAAUAUGCAGCAGAAGCAGUUCCAACCCAGGGCAUACCAGAAUUGUCAGAUGCACAAGGAUAUCCAGACUAUGACAUGUGUAAUCCAUUAUUGUUGACAGGCCAUGGAUCAUCAUUUGUUGGAUAGUAAGGUAUGUAUGCAGGUUCAUAAUUUGCUAUGUAGGCAGACUUUGAACCUUUUCCUCUCUGAAAUUGCCUUGGUGGCUGAGGUAUGUAAUUCUCUUCAAAUCUAUGCCAGCAUUCAACAGCAGUAUGUCCUACUUUGAAGCAAAUCUGACAUGUAUUCAUAGAAUCAUCGCUGUUGGAUACGUGUGACUCAAAAGGGGGUAAAUUUCCAGUACCAUUGAAACCAGUACUGCCAAAAGAGCCUCUUCCAGAAGAACCAAAUCUAUUGCUUCUCAUCAUCAUUUGAUUUCUUCCUUGAUUACCAAAAUGACCAGUUCCAGCAGGAAAACCCCUUGGAUGAGAAUUCAAAAACAUUCCUCUACCAUUAAACAUACCAUUUCUACUACCUGAGUGACCAUUAUAAUUACCUUGGACACCUUCUGUAUAUCCUCCUUUCCUAGCUUGACCUCUUAUUUGAGCAUAGUAUGCAUUCAUCAUACUAUUAUUAUUCCAGUUAGACAUAUUAGCAUAGUUUACAUUAAUCAUGUGCUUUUCACUUUGAUUUUGUUCAAGUCUGGCCUCAUGAGUAAGUAAUAAGGCAUAAGCAUCAUCAUAAUCCAAUUUGCUUGCUGUGAUAAAAGUAGCUAAAUCCAAAUAGCCAGCUCCUAGACCAUUGAGAAUUUGCUGCAACAUAUCUCUAUCUGAUACAGGACUACCAGCACAUGCUAAUUUGUCUGUAACUUGUUUCAUUUUUAAGCAAUAUUCUUCAAUACUUAGUGAAUCUUUUCUUAAGACACUCAUCUCAUACUUAAGUUGAAGAACUCUAGCCUCAGAUUGUACACCAAACCUUUUCUCUAGUGUUUUCCAUAUAUCGAAUGAAGUAGUGCAUGAGUGAACUAAACUGAGAAUACCUUCAGUUAUUGAGCUAAGAAGCCAGCUGAGUAAUGUUUGAUCUUGAGAUCUCCAGAUUGUGUAUUCAGGAUUCUCGAUCUGUUGAGAAGAGCCAGUAGUUGUUUCAGUAAAGCUUGAUGAUGCUAUGAAUCGGUUUGGUGCAAUCCGUUCUCCAUUGAUGUAUCCUUCAAGUCGAUUUCCUCUAAUGGAGGCCAGGACUUGAUUUUUCCAGAGCAUGUAAUUAGAUCUAUCCAAUUUGAUUGGUGUGAUGAAAGAAAAGGUUGUCUAAUUUGUAGCUACUGUAUUUUGAUUGUUUGUAAUUGCCAUGAUUGGCUCUGAUACCAUGAAGAAAUUGUAAAACUGAAUAAAUGCUGCUGUUUGGCAGCUGAGAAAAUGCAGAGGAAAAUUCUUUAUUUCAUUAAUGAAUUGAUAUUUUGUACUUAGAAACAAACACGAAACGUGCAGCUAUUUAUACAUGCUACACUUACUAACUAAUUGCUUACUAACUGAUUAUUAAUCACAAGCUCACUCAGCUAAUCAAUAACAGAACACAGAGUAUGCAUUGUGAGGUUAGUUAGGCUGGUAACUUCUGCUGACGUGGACCUUCUGAUGUGGCACUAAUGACAGCUGAUAACUUGACACGCUGACUCUUCUUCUUCACUUCUGUACAAUGAGCUAUCUUCACACAAACAAACACUCUCAAAAAGCGAGCUAGCUACCCAGAUGGCAAAACCAAGAAUUCUUGCAAUGACAAUGUUGUUUCUUGUUACGGCGACAACAUUGAUGAACAUGGCGUCACAAGCAAACGCUCUGAUGCCGUACACACAAUCACCUUUCUUUGACAUGAUGUUCCCAAUGACGGAAGAGCCUUUCAGGGUUCUUGAACAAACCCCUUUAACAAUCGCAAAAGGAGCUGAUCAUCAUCAAACUCUAGCCCUGGCGAGAGUAGACUGGAUGGAGACACCAACAGCUCACGUGAUUAUGCUUGACAUUCCAGGGAUGAAGAAAGAUAAUGUGAAAAUUGAAGUUGAAGAGAGCAGAGUACUGAGAGUGAGUGGGGAGAGGAAGAGUAAUGAUUAUUAUAAGGAGGGAGUUGAAAGAGAGAAAUGGCACAGUGAGUGGGGAGAGGAAGAGUAAUGAUUAUUAUAAGGAGGGAGUUGAAAGAGAGAAAUGGCACAGAGCUGAGAGGACAUUUGGCAAGUUUUGGAGGCAGUUUAGGAUGCAUAUGAGUGCUGACUUGGGUCAUAUUAAAGCUCACAUGGUAAAUGGGAUUCUGAGGGUCACAGUACCAAAGCUUGCUGAGGAGAAGAAGAGGCAGCCUAAGGUUAUUAACAUUCAUGAAGAGUCUGGUAAUUCUUCCGAUGAAGAUAUUAAGGCUACCAAGGCUCAAAUGUAAUUGAUUAAAGAAAGAAGUGAUUGCUUUGCUUGAUGUGCUAUUUAUUUAUGAUCUGUUCUUGGUUUUGUUGUGAGAUGUUUCUCUUUGGAUUCUCUGUUUAAUGUAUUUUGAUGGGUUUUUGAGGAUGACUUGCAUGUAUUGACAUAAAGUGCUUUUUAUAAAUCCUAAUCCUACAGCAUAUAAGAAUUAAUACGAUUCGUUUAUUGUUAAUAAAAAUAUUUUUUAGAAAAAGUCUUUUUAUUUGGCAUUUAUUAUGCAUUUGAAGGGGAAAAAAAAGUUGUCCCACUCGUAAUUCAUCCUCUUCUGUGAUAUUAAUGUGUUAAUGCGAAGAUUCAUUAUAAUUGCAACAAUUUUGACGAAUCCAAACGUUCAAUAACUACUAAAUUGUAUUUAUAAAUACUAAUAGCGAAGGUAGAAACGACUAAUUCAAGAAGUUGCUUAAAGUGCAUUAAAUUAGAGAGUAUAAAUAAUUGUGUGAUACAGUCCAGCCUUCAUCUGCUUAUAAUUAGCAACCAAAAACCACUUUGCAACGCCAUUAAAAAAACAUUUUAACAUUAUUGCUGAGGGAAGAGGCAGCUUAAGCUUAUUAACUCGUAUUAUUAAUGCUGAUGACGCAGCUGGUAAUCCUUUUGGUGAAUAUAUUAAGGCAGCUGAAGCUUAAAAUUAAUUAAGCCCACUAAAGCUUAAAACUAAUUCUUCUAGUGACGAUGCUUUGCUCAGUUAGCUUUUUGUUUUUAAUUUUUUUGGGGCUAACGUUUUGCUUAUUUUGCUUUUAAAAUUCUAUUCGCUUUCUCCUUUGAUUUUCUGUUUUUGUUGUUAUCGGAUUUGAUGAUGGUUUAUAUGUACGAAGAUUAUGUAAUAAAGUGCUUUUGUAACUAUAUAUAUAUAUAGCCAAUAACACGCCUGGUUUAUUGUUAAUGAAAAUUAAAAAAGAAAAAAAGUCUUUUCUUUGGCCUUUAUUAUGCAUUUUAACUUUUAAGAGGAAAAAAAAUUUAUCCCACUCCAAUUCAUGAAGAUAUUCUCUUUUCUGUCAUAUUGAUGUGUUAAUAUGAAGAUCCAUUGCAGUUGGUGAAUUCAAAUAUUCAGUAACUGAUGAAAUUGUAUUUAUAAAUUCAUACUAAUAGCAAUUGAAGAUUAUAAUUAAUUUUGUAAUAUGGUCAAGCCCUCGUGUGUUUAAUUAGCACUCAAAAACCACUUUACAAUAGGCAUUAAAAGAACAUUAUAACGUCAUUGCUGAUGAGUUCUGGUGAAGAUAUUAAGUUAAGGCCACAAAAAUCGAAAUGUACGUAGCUUCGUUUGUUUUUUGUUUUUUAUUUUUUUUGGGGCAAAUGCUUGGCUUCGUUUGCUUUUUCAUUUUUGAUAUUUUAUUGGCUUUAUUGUGUGGCAUGUUCUUGUUUUCUUUUGAUUUUCUGUUUUUUGUUGUUAUAGGAUCUGAUGACGAUGUACAUGUACGAAGAUUAUGUAAUAAAAUGCUUUUGAGUUUUGAUAAAUUGUGGUGGGUUUAAUUUACUUGGUCAAUUGAUAUUUGUUAUCAUUGUUGUUAACAAUUUACUUGGUCAAUUAACAAUUUUUGCCGAAGUCUGAUGAAGAGAAAUAUUACACAUAUGUAACCGUACAGCUAAAUAAAAGAAACUAAAAUUUAUUUCGACAGCUAAGAAUGAGAUACGCAUAAGAAAUUAAUCGAUUAAUUAAUUAAUUAAUACAUAUAUGUCCCCCACUGCUAAAAUAAUGCGAGCCCCUUACUCUACUUAACAUUUUUCAUAAUGCUAAGUACGUUCGCAAAGGGAAAUUUUCAAUAAUAACCAUUAAAAUUUUCAUUUUUUUCAUCUUAACCCCCCAAAAAUAUUUCUAUCAACAUUAGCCAUUAAACAACUUUUGAGACCAAAACACCCCUCCCUCAUCUCUCCCCCAACACUCCCUUUUUCUCAUCUCUCCCAAACCGAUCCAACUCCCAUCAUCGGCGGCGACAUCAACCCUCGUCGGCGGCGGCUCCAUCUCUCACCGGCAUCCGAUCUACAACCUUCAACAAAACCUAGGUUAGUAAUUUUUCUUAUUUUCAUUAAUUUAAAAUGAGAUUUUAGAAUAAUAAUAGUUAUAGCUUGAGAAUAAUGGUGGUGGUGAUAAUGGUGGUGGUGUUUGUGGUGGUUGAUGGUGUUUGGGAGUAUUGUUUUUUGAUUUUGAUGUGGCUUAAUUUUGGGGAUGGAGAGGGAGGGGGGUACGGCGCGCGCGCGCGCCCAUCGCUGGGCAGCAGCGCGCGCCGAUGCGCGGCCCACUGUCGCACCAAAUCUGGUGCGAGAGCGCGCGCCCGCGCGCCUGUCGCACCAGCUUUGGUGCGACAGGCGCGCGCUGUCGCACCAAUUUGUUGGUGCGACAGGCGCCUGUCGCACCAGCUUUGGUGCGACAGGCGCGCGCUGUCGCACCAAUUUGUUGGUGCGACAGGCGCGCAUGUCGCACCAGCUUUGGUGCGACAGGCGCGCGCUGUCGCACCAAUUUGUUGGUGCGACAGGCGCGCAUGUCGCACCAGCUUUGNNNNNNNNNNNNNNNNNNNNNNNNNNNNNNNNNNNNNNNNNNNNNNNNNNNNNNNNNNNNNNNNNNNNNNNNNNNNNNNNNNNNNNNNNNNNNNNNNNNNGGUGCGACAUGCGCGCCUGUCGCACUUAAAAAUUAUAGUGUUUAUUAUAGUGUUUUUUUUUCCGAUUAUUUUUUUUUUCUGUAAACGUAAUGUAAUAAAUUUAUAAAUAUUACAGAUACAUGGCAAAAUCAGAAUCACCGGAUAUUGAUGUAGGCAAGAUGUAUUUUAGUUAUGCCGAUCACUUUCCUGGUCGAAUUUCGAGCAUGUGUAAGUUAUCUUCGGUCAUAAAAGCCAUCGAGGAAAAAUUAACAAAGCGGCAGUNNNNNNNNNNNNNNNNNNNNNNNNNNNNNNNNNNNNNNNNNNNNNNNNNNNNNNNNNNNNNNNNNNNNNNNNNNNNNNNNNNNNNNNNNNNNNNNNNNNNCUAUGUUCAAAAAGGAUAUAUUUGGGCAUUUCUUGGAGUGGUCGAAGUUUUCCAUUUAGUGGGGUAAUUGUGCACAAUCUUUGCUGAGGCAAGUGGCCCAUGAAGAAGAUAGCCGUGAGGAUCAGUUAUGGUUUCAAAUUGGUGAGCAUUUGAUUCGCUUGUCAAUUGUCGAAUGGUGCUUGGUUACUGGACUUUCAUUUGGUGUUGAUACCAAUCAAAAAAAUGAUCAAAUGGAGCAGAGGCUACGGAGUACGUAUUUUGGUGGAGUUCAUCGUAAGAUUAAUGUGAAGGAAUUCGAUGCAAUAUUUAAUGAGUUGAAAUUCGAGGAAUUGGACGAUAUGGACGCAUUAAAGAUUGCGCUGUUUUAUUUUGCGGACCGAGUACUAAAUGCAAGAAAAAAUCACUGUCAAAUCAAUUUCGAUUGGCUUGACCAAGUUGAUGAUAUACAGUACUUCCGAAAGCGUCCAUGGGGUCUGUUGUCGUGGGAAAUGAUUUACGAGAGUCUUGACAAUGCACUGUUCGAGAAAGACCAGAAAUUUCAGAAGACUCGGUCGAAAAAUCCAGAUCAUAACAUUGAAAAAUACAAUCUUUAUGGCUUUACGUCUGGGGUUCAGGUGCGUAUUUGUUUUUGUUUAUUAAUAAGUUUUAUAGUAUUAAAUAUUUGAUAUGUUGUUUUAUUUGAUUUUUUAAUUUGGUUGUUGUAGGCUUGGAUUUACGAAGCAAUCGGAGGGUUGCCAUCAACAUGGGUCGUCAAAACGAAGAAUAAGAUUCCCCGCAUUUUGCAAUGGAAGCCCAUGGCGUCUUCGAGAAUCAAUUUUGCCGAGGUUUAUUCGUUCUUCAACGACGAAUCUCGUCUUGUAAGUAAUAUGUAUUACUUAUUUUUUUAACUUUACUAAAUUUAAGUUAUGUAUACUUACUUAAAAUUUUCAAUUUAAUUUAUUGCAGGGGGACGUUUUACAAACUCUUGAGCCAAAUUCAAAGGAGAGUAGCAGAAAUUAUUGGGUCUCUGUGAAGGAUUACUUGCCAAGCAUUCCAGGCUGGGUUCUUAAGGUUGGUAUACUCUAAGUACUAAAAAUUUUUUAAUCGAAAUUUUUUACUUUUCAUUUAAUAAUUAUAAAUGAUACUUUAUACAGCACCAACACUCAAUCAACGCGAUGCCGUCGGUUACAAGGCAAUCAGACGAGCAUGACGAUCAUGACGACAAACCAAACCCAAUACCAGAGCAGCGUCAUGACACUUAUGAGGAUGAGGUGGCUGUUGAUGACCACCAGCAGCGUCAUGACACUUAUGAGGCUGUUGAUGACCACCAGCAGCGUCAUGACACUUAUGAGGCUGAUGAUGACCACCAGCAGCAAACAGACAACUCUGAUGACGCACGGGAAUCUGAGGUUAUAAAUAAUAUACGAUAUUGUUUCUUUAUAAAUUAUUUUUUUUUUUGUUAUUCUAAAGUUUUCUGUUUUUUCUUUUGUAAUAGUCGAGGACAAAGCAGUUUCAAGAUUACAUACAACGACGGCUGGAUAAGAUUGAUCGUAACGUUUACGAAAUAAAGUCAGAAUUAAAAGAUUUUAAAGAAACCGUUGUUGGCUUCAUCGACACAUUUUCUAAACGUCCAAAUAAGGAUUCUCCCACUGCACGCUCGUAUGCGGUGAGCAAAUUUUUAUUUAAUAAUUAUGUGCGUUUAACUUUUAAUUUGAUAGUUGUUUAAUAUGUUCUUCUCGGCGAAUGGACAGGCCCCGGAUGACUAUGGAGUGUAUACUAACGUGGGCAAUGAAAAUUUGUCUACGCCCACGUCAUUGUAUAGUUUCUACGGGGAUGUUAGUGGGGAGAGCGUGCAGGUGUUCUCGGAUGUGCCUCCCGGCGUUAGUAAGUUCGGCCGCGCGUACAUACCGUCGUAUGUUUAUAACAGUCCUUACAUGAUUCCUCCAGUCAGGCGAAGACAGAACGUCCGCCCUUUGCCUCGACCCCAAAUCUUGGAGCAUGCGAUUGACAUGAGUACGACAGUGGAUAUAAAUCCACUGAGAGGGUUGGAGGACUCUAGUAUGUUUGCUGAGUUUGAUCGAUGGUUCACUGGUGAUAGCAGAGUCUGCCGGAGAGUCCAGCACCCGCGGUCAUUCUUUCAAAUAAUCUUGGGGACAGCUUCGAUGGGAUGGCUAGGCGAUGAGGUAUUUAUAUUUUCGUCGUGAUGUAUACUGUUGUGGAUUUGUGUUUAAUUUUUUUUUAAAUCGUAAUAUUUCUGUUUCUCUACAGCAUAUUCACGAGUAUCUCCGCUUGAUUAGCGAGAAACAACGGCAGUACCCAAAUGCCUUACUCCAACGUGUCACACAUACUGACACAUUUUUUUGGGUAACGUGCAUACAAAUCGUAUAAAUACUAUUUAAUUUUGUUUUUCAUUAUUGCCUUUAAGUUCUGUUAAUGUAUGCAUUUCUUGGUUAUCUAUGUACUAGGUGUUCCUGAAUCAGUUAUGGAACAACGGGGAUUGUGCGGUCGAUUCAUUAGUAUUCGACGAUCGCGUGAAUAGUUAUCUUUGUGGGCGACAGCACACAAUGUCCAAAUCAAUGACGGAUGUCGAUAUGGUAUGUAUUUUGCUGCAAUUUAUAUACAAGUUGUCAAUUUUUCUUAGUUGUUUUUCAAUUUCAUAUAUAACCAACAUGUUUUUUAAUUUUUAUAUACAGUUACUCAUCCCUGUUAACUUGGACGGCGAGCAUUGGGUACUGGCACGAGUAGACUUUCGGAAAAACAAAGUCUGGAUUUAUGACUCAUUACUCACAUGCCGCGACGACAAAAGAUAUAGGUUGAAAUUCAAGCCACUUGAAGUUAUCUUCCCUCGAUGGUUGGAAUAUGUUGGGUUCUACAACAUCCGACCUGAGUUGCGGAGUGCCGACCCCUGGAAAGUUAUCGCAGUUAGGAGCGCGCCACAACAGGAGCCCGGAACUGGCGAUUGCGGUGUUUUUGUAUUGAUGGUUACGAUGUAUUUAAUGUUCGGGCUUGGAUUGGAGUUUAACGCUAGUCAUGUCGAGUACUUUAGAAAGAAGAUUGCGGUUGACAUAUUUAAUGACGAUAUUGUAUUGUAAACCGUUGUAGUAAUUUGAAUGUUUAAACUUGUUUUUUUUUAAAUUUGCGCACUUAAGUUUAUAUAAUUUUAAUGCUCACAUUUUAAUAUUUAAAAUCAAAUAAAGUUUUAUGAAAUAUAAGUGUACAAUACACAAAACACAAUAACAACUAACUUCGAGUCGACGCUAUGGGAUUCUUACAUCGCUUACGAUUAUGGCCCAGUUCAUGACACCGCCCGCAUCUAACAGUCCGCCUGUUAACGUCCUCGCCAGCCGAGGGUAUUCUGAGCUCUUUACGACGGCCAGGUGGUGGUGCCUCAACUGGUGGGUAUACUUGCAUCUCCACCAUUCAUCUGGAAUUCCCAAUCGNNNNNNNNNNNNNNNNNNNNNNNNNNNNNNNNNNNNNNNNNNNNNNNNNNNNNNNNNNNNNNNNNNNNNNNNNNNNNNNNNNNNNNNNNNNNNNNNNNNNNNNNNNNNNNNNNNNNNNNNNNNNNNNNNNNNNNNNNNNNNNNNNNNNNNNNNNNNNNNNNNNNNNNNNNNNNNNNNNNNNNNNNNNNNNNNNNNNNNNNNNNNNNNNNNNNNNNNNNNNNNNNNNNNNNNNNNNNNNNNNNNNNNNNNNNNNNNNNNNNNNNNNNNNNNNNNNNNNNNNNNNNNNNNNNNNNNNNNNNNNNNNNNNNNNNNNNNNNNNNNNNNNNNNNNNNNNNNNNNNNNNNNNNNNNNNNNNNNNNNNNNNNNNNNNNNNNNNNNNNNNNNNNNNNNNNNNNNNNNNNNNNNNNNNNNNNNNNNNNNNNNNNNNNNNNNNNNNNNNNNNNNNNNNNNNNNNNNNNNNNNNNNNNNNNNNNNNNNNNNNNNNNNNNNNNNNNNNNNNNNNNNNNNNNNNNNNNNNNNNNNNNNNNNNNNNNNNNNNNNNNNNNNNNNNNNNNNNNNNNNNNNNNNNNNNNNNNNNNNNNNNNNNNNNNNNNNNNNNNNNNNNNNNNNNNNNNNNNNNNNNNNNNNNNNNNNNNNNNNNNNNNNNNNNNNNNNNNNNNNNNNNNNNNNNNNNNNNNNNNNNNNNNNNNNNNNNNNNNNNNNNNNNNNNNNNNNNNNNNNNNNNNNNNNNNNNNNNNNNNNNNNNNNNNNNNNNNNNNNNNNNNNNNNNNNNNNNNNNNNNNNNNNNNNNNNNNNNNNNNNNNNNNNNNNNNNNNNNNNNNNNNNNNNNNNNNNNNNNNNNNNNNNNNNNNNNNNNNNNNNNNNNNNNNNNNNNNNNNNNNNNNNNNNNNNNNNNNNNNNNNNNNNNNNNNNNNNNNNNNNNNNNNNNNNNNNNNNNNNNNNNNNNNNNNNNNNNNNNNNNNNNNNNNNNNNNNNNNNNNNNNNNNNNNNNNNNNNNNNNNNNNNNNNNNNNNNNNNNNNNNNNNNNNNNNNNNNNNNNNNNNNNNNNNNNNNNNNNNNNNNNNNNNNNNNNNNNNNNNNNNNNNNNNNNNNNNNNNNNNNNNNNNNNNNNNNNNNNNNNNNNNNNNNNNNNNNNNNNNNNNNNNNNNNNNNNNNNNNNNNNNNNNNNNNNNNNNNNNNNNNNNNNNNNNNNNNNNNNNNNNNNNNNNNNNNNNNNNNNNNNNNNNNNNNNNNNNNNNNNNNNNNNNNNNNNNNNNNNNNNNNNNNNNNNNNNNNNNNNNNNNNNNNNNNNNNNNNNNNNNNNNNNNNNNNNNNNNNNNNNNNNNNNNNNNNNNNNNNNNNNNNNNNNNNNNNNNNNNNNNNNNNNNNNNNNNNNNNNNNNNNNNNNNNNNNNNNNNNNNNNNNNNNNNNNNNNNNNNNNNNNNNNNNNNNNNNNNNNNNNNNNNNNNNNNNNNNNNNNNNNNNNNNNNNNNNNNNNNNNNNNNNNNNNNNNNNNNNNNNNNNNNNNNNNNNNNNNNNNNNNNNNNNNNNNNNNNNNNNNNNNNNNNNNNNNNNNNNNNNNNNNNNNNNNNNNNNNNNNNNNNNNNNNNNNNNNNNNNNNNNNNNNNNNNNNNNNNNNNNNNNNNNNNNNNNNNNNNNNNNNNNNNNNNNNNNNNNNNNNNNNNNNNNNNNNNNNNNNNNNNNNNNNNNNNNNNNNNNNNNNNNNNNNNNNNNNNNNNNNNNNNNNNNNNNNNNNNNNNNNNNNNNNNNNNNNNNNNNNNNNNNNNNNNNNNNNNNNNNNNNNNNNNNNNNNNNNNNNNNNNNNNNNNNNNNNNNNNNNNNNNNNNNNNNNNNNNNNNNNNNNNNNNNNNNNNNNNNNNNNNNNNNNNNNNNNNNNNNNNNNNNNNNNNNNNNNNNNNNNNNNNNNNNNNNNNNNNNNNNNNNNNNNNNNNNNNNNNNNNNNNNNNNNNNNNNNNNNNNNNNNNNNNNNNNNNNNNNNNNNNNNNNNNNNNNNNNNNNNNNNNNNNNNNNNNNNNNNNNNNNNNNNNNNNNNNNNNNNNNNNNNNNNNNNNNNNNNNNNNNNNNNNNNNNNNNNNNNNNNNNNNNNNNNNNNNNNNNNNNNNNNNNNNNNNNNNNNNNNNNNNNNNNNNNNNNNNNNNNNNNNNNNNNNNNNNNNNNNNNNNNNNNNNNNNNNNNNNNNNNNNNNNNNNNNNNNNNNNNNNNNNCUCUUGGUGCGACAGGCUGCCUGUCGCACCUUCCUUGGUGCGACAGGCAGCCUGUCGCUCCUGUAGGCAGAAAUUUUUGGUGCGACAGGCAGCCUGUCGUCAGAUUCACCCACGACUCAGUUAAGCAAGUUCAGAAAAUAACACAUACCACUAAGUGAUGUCGAUUAGUGUUGGAUUCGGAUAGAUUAUGAUCGGAUUUCACCUUUACUGUUGUCUUUUGCCGUCGACGUUGGUUGAUGAUUAAGCUGCGUUUGGUUUGCCGAUAUGGGAGAAAGAUUGUUGCUUUUGAUCUGUAAAGAAGGGUAAUUUGGGGAGAAAGGCUUGUGUUUGGCUAAUGUUGAUAGAAAAAAGUUGAGAAGGUUAGUUGGGAAAAUAACAAAAUAUUUAUGGUUAUUUUCGUAAAUUUCCCAAACAGUUUUCAACUGAGAUUUGAAUUUUAAAAUUACAUACACAAACACACCUGAUUUUAAAGAAAAAAAUCAGUCGUCCUCUGUUCAGUCAUACACGCCCAAUUUAAAAAAAAAAAACUACUAAUAAAAUAUUUCAGUCGUCCUCUGUUGGGUCGUCAUCAAAAACCCAUUUACCAGCUAUUUCUUUUUUUUUUUUUUGAGAAGCAUUUACCAGCUAUUUCAACAUGCGGUAUAUAGAAUAUUUCAGUCGUCCUCCGUUCAACCAUCAAAAGUCUCAUCUAUAUAUAGUAACAUCAGGUAUAUGGGUUAACAAGUCCCAAUAUUGUCCUCCAUCCUUUCUGCACUUCUCUUCUAUCAACGGACAUCCCCAGAUGUCUAAUUGCAAAAGUGAGGAAGGCAGGCCCUUCUCCGGAAAGUAUUUGAGUUUGGGACAAUCCCCGAGAUACAAUGAAGCGAGGUUUUGAAGAUCAACAAUUGAAGAAGAUAGGCGUUCCAGAUUUGGAAAUCCAGAAAUCCACAGAGAUGUUAGAGAGGCAGGAAGAGGAAGCGCGGUCCCUAAUCUUUUGUCAUCUGCCUUUGGUGGAAAUGACACCAUGUCGUCAUCACAAUUAAUGAUUGUAAGUUGUCGCAGAGAGGAGAAUCUGUGAAAUCCCCGGCCCCGCUCAAUCAUUGACUUCCAAAUCUCCAUAUUACCCUCAAUCGUCAGUGACUGAAGGUUGGUGGGAAGGCCAUCUUCUUUAAGGCUUGGAAGCUCAACUCCUCUUCCUAUUGUUAAUUCUUGAAGAGAGGUCAGAUUGUGCAAUCCCUUGGGUAAGGCCUCUAGUCUCUUACAACUAGAUAUCUCCAGCCUCGUGAGUUUCGCACAAGGCAAUCCCCCUUCGGGAAAGGACACCAGAUUUCCACACCUUCUAAUACUAAUCUCUUGAAGCUGGCGGAGAUUAUGUAAACCACUCGGUAAAAUUUUCAGAUUUUCACACCACAAAAUACCGAUUGUUUCAAGAGAUGUGUUGUUGUCCAACCUUUCUGCUAUUGACUCCAGCUUUGAACAACUCCAAACAUCAAGUACCUUAAGAGACGGAGGCAGAUUGCCAACUUCAAGGGACUCAAGCGUGGCAGGUAACUCGUUUUUUGAAAAUAUACAUGUCAGAGACGGACAACUCUCAAUGUGUAAGUGCUCAAGAAGAGAUGAGGUGUACCUUCUGCUGCUGCUACUCUGGAUGCCCUCUUCCACUGUCAAAGUCCUUAUAUUAUCGCACUUGUGAAUC